UAGCACUCAAUGUCAACGAUAUAUAUAGCAUUAACAGUAUAUGUCUCAAUGCUCAUCAGCUACAAGCAAGGGACAAACACUUACAAUGAAUAACUCACGUCAACAUUCCUAAACAGGACAUAGAAGUGACAGAUCUAUAUAUAGAACACUGCAUAUGAGUCACAAGAAAAGAUAAUACGGGUGCAUAGCAGCUCUUAUAUUACAUAUUACUCAUACCGUUCAAAUUCACUCAGUUGGGAUGGGUGGGAGAAGGAGGCCUCUGGGGUGGCUUGUGCGUGUGAGAAGUGGAAGAAAGUUGAAUGGAAUGAAACUGAAAAACAGGGUAGAAUAGAGGUUUCUUGAAUCUUCUGAAAUCUUUAUUUUUCUGAGAUUUAUUCUCUGUUUUUGUGAGUCGUGACUCUACAUAUAUACAUGUAUUUAAAGUUAGUUAUGCCUUAUAACUAAUUAUCUAACAGUACCAAAACUAAUCAUCUAGUUGCAUGUUUCUAAUUAAUGCUAUUUAGUUACAACUAUAUAUGGCUUAACAUCCUCUCUCAAACUCAAAAGUCUAGCUAGAACAGUGAGUUUGCUUCAUAGAUUGAGAAAUUGUUGAAUAGGUAAGGCUUUGGUAAGAGCAUUAGCAAUCUGGUCAUAAGAAGGAAUGUGUUGAACCACCAAAGUCUUAUUGAGCACCUUUUCCUGAACAAAAUGGCAAUCUAGUUCCACAUGCUUAACUCGAGAAUGAAAAUAGGAUUGGCAGCAAGAAAGGUGGCUGAAAGAUUGUCAUAGAACAAAACAAAAUAGGAGAAUAAGAAGAUGAGAUAGAAAACUCCUGAAGAAGAUGUUGAAUCCAUUGAAGUUCAAAAGCAACAUUUGCUAAGGCCCUAUACUCAGCUUCAUUGCUGGAACGAGACACAACUUUCUGCUUACUGGAGUUCCAGGAGACUAGAUUAGAGCUAAAAAAGAUGCAAUGACCACUUGUACUUCGACGAUCAUCAGGGCAACCAACCCAAUCAACAUCAGCAUAAGCAGUAAGUUGAAAAUCAGGAGAAGAAUAAAAGGAAAGACCAAAGGAAGUAGUGCCCUUAAGAUAAUGCAACAAUCGUUUAACAACUUGCCAAUGAAGAUCAGUUGGUUAUUGCAUGAAUUGGCAAAGUUUAUUGAUAGAGAAAGAGAUGUCAGGCCUUGUAAUGGUACAAUAUUGCAGGGCUUCAACAAUGUUGCGAUAUUGAGAAGGGUCAGCCAAGAGGGAACCUUUAGAGGCAGAUAAAGUGUGAGAGGUAGUCAUUGGUGUAUCAAUAGGUUUAAAAUAUGGAAGACCAGCACGAGUUAACAAGUCCUGAAUAUAUUUGGUUUGGGAAAGAUGAAGAGAAGAUCCUUGCCAACAUACUUCUACACCCAAGAAGUAAUUCAGAAUACCAAGGUCCUUGAGAGCAAACUGAAAGUGUAAAGACGAAACCAUUUGGUGGACUAGCACGGUAUUAAGACCACUAACAAUAAUGUCAUCAACAUAGAUGAGAAUAAUGAUCAUGUCAGUCCCUUUCCGAAGAGGAGCUUGCUUCAGACCCUACAAGGCUUUGCGAAGUUUACAGAAAAAACCGGGUUUAGAAUGAUCAACAAAGCCUGGAGGUUGAACCAUGUAAACCUCUUCUUCUAACUCACCAUUGAGAAAGGCAUUAUUAACAUCUAAUUGUUCCACUAACCAACCAUGAGAAAUAGCAAGAGAAAGAACAAUUCAUAUAGUAGUUGGUUUAACAACAAGGCAAAAGGUUUCAAAAUAAUCAAUACCAUAUGUUUGAUUAAAACCCUUUGCAACUAAGUAGGCUUUAAAACGAUCAAUUGAGCCAUUAGCUUUGAGUUUCAGCUUGUAUAUCCAUUUACAACUAAUAAUGCGUGUAUUAACAGGUUUAGGAACCAAUGUCCAUGUGGAAUUGGUGAGAAGAGCAUCAUACUCAGUCUUCAUAGCAGCUUGCCAAUUAGGAUGCAAUAUUGCUUCUUUGAAAGAGGAGGGUUCGACAACAGUAGUUUGGAUAGCAAGGCUAAAUAUUUUUUUGGGUUUAAAAAUACCAUUUUGGCUACGAGUAACAAUAGUUCGGUUUGGAAGUGAAAGAGGAUCAGUGGAGGAGGCUGGAACAAGGGAUUGUGGUAAAGUAGGAAAGGAAGGUGGAUGAGAUGGAACAAAAUCAGUAGGGACAAUAAUGGGAGAAGAAAAAUUAGGUGGAGAAUGAUGAGGAUUCCUUGAAGAUGGUGUAGGAAUAGAGAGAAUACCAGAAUCAAGAAGUGUUAAAGAAGAGUUGGAUGAUGAUACUGGUUGACAGGAUAAAGACUUUGUUAAAAAUGGAAAUCGAGUUUCAUCAAAUACAACAUGACGAGAAGCAUAUAUCCGAGAGGAAGCCAUAUCCAAACAGAGGAAUCCCUUGUGUUUAGCACUAUAACCCAAAAAACAGCAAACAACAAAUAUAUUUGCUAGCUUGUGAGAAGCAUAAGGGCGAAGAUAAGGAAAACACAAGCAUCCAAAACUUCAAAGAGAUGUAUAAUAAGGUAAACGAUUAUAAAGAACUCCAUAAGGAGAAUUUUGUGAAAGAACAGCAGAGGGAAGGCAAUUUAUGAGAAAAAUGGCAGUUUGAAAUGCAAAUGACCAAUAUUUGAGAGGGUAUACCAGCUUGUAUUAACAAAGAAAGACCAACUUCCACAACAUGACGAUUCUUUCUUUCAACUCUUCAAUUUUGCUAAGGAGUAUAAUGACAAGAGACUUGAUGAAGAAGACCAUUUGUAGCCAAAUAAUUCUGAAAAGCUGAAACUGAAACUCAUCAAAUUGAUUUUUAGUAUCAAAUUUUCUUCAGACUGAACACAUUGAUUUUUAGUAUCAAAUUUUCUUUCAACCAUGGCUUGAAAAUGUUGGAACAUAAGUAAAGCUUCAUCUUUAGUUUCCAAAAGGUACAACCAUGAGAAUAUGCUAAAAUCAUCAAUUAGCAAGAGGAAAUAUUGAGCAUUACCAUUGACAGAAACUAUAGGAGUUGCACCCCAAAGAUCAACAUGGAUGAGACCGAAUGGUUUUAUUGCUCUAGAAGUGGAUAUUUCAAAUGGAAAACGAUGGCUUUUAGCCAACUGACAAGACUCACAUACAGAGUUAUUAUUGUCAUGUUUCAAAGGUAUUUUAUAAAGAGAUAAGAUUUUGGAAACUACAUUAAUAGAGGGAUGACCAAGUCUAUUAUGCCAAAGCCUCAAAGAACCAACGGCUAAAGUACUACUAGUAGAGUAAAAUACUAGUGGAUGACCAACAACUCUUGGUGUAGCAAGAAGUUUAUAGAGACCCUUCUCAAUUUUUCCUUGAAGAAGAGCAAGUCUCGUUUCCUGAUCCUUUACCACAAAAUGAGAAGAACGAAAUUCAAUAAAGGUGCCAUUGUUUGAGUAAAAUCGUUGCACGCUAACUAAGUUGGUGGUAAUAGAAGGAACAUGUAAGACAUCAUUGAAAAACAAAGAACCACUUGAAGAGGCAAGAGAAAAUUUACCAAUAUUUGCAAUGGAUAAACCCUUACCAUCUCCAACAAUUACUUUGUCACCACUGGUAAAUGGAUUAUGGAUUGUUAAAUUGUUAAGAUCAGAUGUGAGAUGAUGGGUAGCCUUUGUAUCAAGAAACCAAUAAGUGUCUCCCAUUGUUGCAGAAGUUGUAGUCAUAGCCUCAGGAUUGUUAGAGGUGGAAUGUUUAGAAUCUUUUGGCUGAUAAUCAGAGUUAAACCGAUACCAGCAUUGUAAAGCGGUGUGUCCGAACUUACAACCGAGAGAAAUAAUCUUUACUUAUUCUCUAAAAACUGUUCUUUAUUCCACACAUUAUUUCUAAAAACUGUUUCUAGAUAACAAUGACAAAAUAGUAUUAGGAAUUUUUAAAAAUAAAAAUUGUUUUUAAAUUACAUGAUCUAUAUCAUUCACAUUUGACCAUUAUAGCUUUGUUCAGGAAAACACUUGAAAGUAACCUUAUCGUGAUAAGAGAUAUAAGUUGGCUGUAGUUUCAAACUGAAAACAGAGGAUGGCAAUAGAAAGCAAAGCAUUAGUUAUCUGCAAUCAGUGGUGAUCAUGCCCCAUGUCAAUUUCGGACCCAUAUCUUAAAACCGUAUAAUUUGCAUUUCAACAUUUCUGAUUUCUCAGAUGUUUCAUACUCCACAGAAGAACAUUGUUUGUGAAAGCAUGCAUUUAUGCUGGAUUUUGGAUGAUGUGGGAACUGGGGCAAGGAUCAUAUGGAAGAGUGGUCGAUUUUUUCUGUACUUUAACAUUUGAAAUAGGAGCAGCACGGGCAUUUGUGGGGCUUAAUUGAUUUUGAAGCCUGAAAUUGCGUUUCUGUCAUUUUGUAAAAAAUAUGGCAGAUUCCAUGCUCUCAUAUGUUUGGUCUGUGGCCAUGUAUAGAUGCCACUUAGUGACCAGUUUGUAACUGUCAAUCAUAGUGUUUUGACUCUGGCUCAACAACAUCAGCCAUUGACGGAUUUUCAUACAUGCAAAUCAAAUAGUCUUCUUCCUCCCUUAGGAAUUUCGGUUUAAAUGUUAUUAAGCAUACAUUUGGCUGACAAUUAUUAACCACUUCAUGAUAUGGUUUCUUACCCUUAAUCAAUGGUUUCUAAGUGAAUAUAUGCAGAAGGAAAUCUGAACUGUAGACAGCAGUAUUGAUAAUUAUCAAUAUUCUUUAUAUAAGAGAAUAAACAACGUCAUAGUGAUCGUCGCCUACAAGAAAGGUACAUUUCCCAACAAGAUGUAGUUGUGACUGGUACAUGGACGUAAUUAACUCGUAGAAAAGGAUAAGACCAGUGCACGGCAGCUCUUAUUUUACAUGCUAAUUAUGCUAACCAAAGUCACUCAGUUGGGAUGGGAGGGAGAUGGAGGUUUGUGCGGUGGCUUGUGGGGCGGAGUUGGUGGCUUCUUUUCAGGAGCUUGUGGCUUUUUCGGAGCUGAAGGAGGCUCAAUCUUAUGAGGCGGCUUGUACGAGUCUUCUUUACUCUCGACAGGAGGGUGGCCAGGGUUGUGACCAUAAUGUGGUGGCUUCUCUCCCUUAGGUGGCUUGCCAACUGGGGUUGGUGGCUUGUGUUCAGGAAGUGGUUUCUCUCCCUUGGGAGGUUUACCAAUUGGGGUUGGUGGCUUGUGUUCUGGGAGUGGUUUCUCUCCCUUGGGAGGUUUAGUGGGUGACUUGUGUUCUGGAGGUGGCUUCUCCACCGGAGGCUUGUGCUCCGGUGGUGGCUUCUUGGUUGGAGGGGGCUUGGGGUAAUCAGCAAGAGAUGGGGGGGUGAGAACCACCACUCCAAGGAACAACACUAGCAAGUAUGUGGGAGACAUUUCUGAGUUUGAGCUGAUCAGAUGAUGCAAAACUAGAAGAAUUACGUGACCUUUUAUAGCAAGUAGCUCCCAAUACCCACAUGACACGUGUUACUGUGACCAUAAAUAUUAUAGGGUCCAUUUGUGCCCUACCGGGUUGAAAACUUGGACGCUUGGCCGAGGACACACCGAACUAUGGAGGACUAUUGACGUGUGAUCACAGCUUUUGGAUUUUUCUUCCUGUGCAGCUGUCUAGCGGUUGGCAUUAUUUUUUUAAUCUUAAAUAAAGGCAUAGUUAUAGAGUACAUUUAUAUAUCUUCAGAUAGCCAUUAAUAUAUUUGAUGAAGAAAGACAAGUGCAUACAACAUGUAUACGGCUUGCUUCAAUCGAGUACAUUUAUGAUCAGUUUUCCAGUGCAAGUAAACCAGUUUUUUGUUCCACAACUAUUUUGGAAUCUUGUUUAUCAGUUUCUAUCAUUAUAAUGUCACAUAGGCUGCAAACUUGGGCACCCAAAGAUCUAGUUGGGCAAAUUUGUUUCAGAAUUUCAAUGGUGGAUUCAGUAAUUGUUAAAAGGUGUUUCUUCAUUAAGGAAAGAGUCCUGUAAAAAUAUUGUUAAAAGGUGUCAUAGAAACUAUAAUAAUUAAAUAACUUCUUUUCCCCGUGGGUGGUGUUUCUUCUGGGGAUACCCAAAAUGAGUUCAGAUUAAAAUUGGUUCGAGUCAAAGCUGUCUCUUUUGUCCAGAAAUCAACUAUUUUGCGCAUUGCAUGAAUCGAUAAAGAAAAAAUGAAAGCCAAAUCACACCUCCCCUGCAAAACCUAAACCCCGGUUGCUAACUUUCUAUGUUUCAGUCCUAUUCAUACAGGAAUAUUGGUUCAAGUUUGAGAAAAAUGGCAACUUACCUAGGGAUUACUUGGUUGUGGUUUGCGACGACUAUUUACGCAACCAACCAUGAGUUUGACUUUAACGUCAUGGGUUGAAGCCUCCUACAAUCGUGUAUGAUAGUUCAAAGCUCGUAGUAGAAAUUAUACAGGAAGGAAGAAACCUCCAAAGCUAGCUCCAAAAGAGAAUUAUCACAUCGAUAGCUCCAGAGAUUCCCAAGGGGACUGAAUCAAAGACAAGUUCCUCACUUUUUCUUCUUUUGAGGCCAAAUAUGAACCAAGGAUCACACGACCUCAUUCAACUUCAUAAGUUUGAUUUCAUGCAGUUGAACACUGGGUGAAGGCCAUGACAAGAAUUGAUUAAAAAAUUCUACCACUGUUUUAAGUAAUGGAAGAUUAUUAUCUCUGAUUGGCACCACAACAGCACAUGCUGCUAGAUCUUUCUAGACACUCCAUGCAAUGAAAGUACAAUGGAUCUUGUAACGAUAGAAACUAAGCCAUGCUACAGUACUAGAUGACGAGGUAAAACUAUUAGACAUGGGUGGCAGCCUAUAUGGGAGGGACACAAGUCUAAUUGAUUUGCAUUUCAGCGUUCUAGAUGGGUAUGUUUUGGAAGAUUUGUUCUGGAAAUACCGCACCAAGUAGGAUUCUUUUUUCUCUUGAGUGGGUCCACUUGCAUGCCAAUUAUCGAGUUGAAAAGUAGAGCACCUACCUCGUGCUCGUGGAACCGAAGGUCAGUGAAGUGGGGCUCCUUUUGGCCUCUUGUGUUUCUGUUCCAACCAAGGCGGCGGAGGGAAAAACAGCAAUAUGUCUCCGCUAAAUAUCAACGCAUGAUAGCGAAUGAGGGAGAAAAAAAGUAAUUGGCAUCUCAAUCUCACAAACUUGGUACAGUAGUGACAUUAAUAGUCUUCCACAUGGUUUUUAUUUUAUUUUAUUUUAUAUUUUAUAUUUUCCAUUUUUUUAUUUUUUUGUAUGUCAAGGCUAAUGAAUAAAAUGCGUUAGCUUGUUUUGUGAUUGGAACUGCAAAUGUCCAAAUUGGAGUUUCUCCAUUUCUCAGUUCGGAUGGUUAACUUUAUAAACAAGAUAUAGGAAACAUGUGAACGUCUUGAGGAACAAUUCGAAUUAUUGAUUAGAACUCCUAGGUUGAGUUCCAAGAUUUAAAUCAGACCCCUCUAGCAGCUUCAGGGGUACCUAGCAAUUAGAACAUAUUAAUGAAGAUUUAGGAUUUAGACUCCGGAAUACAAAUUAAUAUGUAUCUUAUGCUCUGACUAGCUUCCCUGCAUAUGCACAAAAUGGAGAUGACCCAAAAAAUAGCAGAAUCGCCUUAGUUUAUGUGGUUAAGGUGAUUCUCCGGUUAAUAUCCACAUUGGCUCAUUAUGCAAAUCAACUGAGCUAUUUUUUUUUUAAUGUCAAAUAGGAACUCCUAAUUAACCUAACCAUUGGCCUGUGUAAAUUGAUUUCACAUGCACAAUGUUGUAGUAGAAGUCCACAUUUUGAAUUUUAUUUUUGGAAAGGUAAGGAAAAUGAAGCAUUGUGUAAUUAUAAAAAUAACUUCAUUGGAAUUCACAAGGUUCACCCAAAAUGGAGCUACAUCCGUAUUCUAUCUUACAGUAGACUAUAUAGAUUGUACAAUAGUAAAUUGCAAAUACAAUUAAUAAGUCUUGUGUUUCCUUACUAAUAAUCCUUUGACAUAAACAUUGCAGCACUAAGGUCCUCUUGGGCAGACACCUUGCACCCAUGAGAGCACUAAGAGGAAGCAAGGCGGAGUCAUGGGUGCAAUGUCAUGACUUGUUGCACUAAGAGAGGCUUGGUGAUGGCAUAGUGCUGCAGUAGCAAGAAUGUUGCCUUGGCAGGGACACGAUCUAGGGACAGAUGCCAAGAAAGGCUUAGCACUCACAUGAGUUGCACAAAGAUGAAUGAAAUAGAACAUCAAAGAGACAUCUUGGCAAGCUCAAGAAAGACAUGUGGGUUGGUAAAUGAAUGGAUGCAAGAGGCAACAACAUGAGGAGUUUCAAAUGGAUAGGGAAUGAGUCAAAGACAUUUGAAAGCUACAAGUUGGAUUCUAAUUACGAUUGCAAUUUGAGUUUGAGUAGGAGUUUAUAUUAUGAUUGUAAUUGUAGUAUGAGUUGGACUAGGAUUGCUUAUCCCUAGUCAAAAUAGGAGUUGUUCAUGCCACACCCUAUGAAAAGAGUUUGAGUAGGGACUAGGAUUGCUUGCUCCUAGUCAAAUAUGGAGUAGGUGGUGCCACACCUAUAAAAAAAAAAGGGACAACAUGAGAGAGAGAGAGAAUGAAUUCACCAAAGAUAUUGUGGGAGUUUUGCUUUGUUACAUCUUGUAUUAUUAUUUAGAAUAGUAAUAAAAUACAAGUUGGGGCUAGAGCCCCAUAAUCUCGUGUGCCUUUGUGGGUUAUUCUUUAUUUGCCAUCUCGUGUGGAUUGGAUUAGAUUGAUGAGGCGAAAUAUUAUGUGGGAAAUUUAUGUUGGGACACUUACCAUAACCAGGUAAAAUCUACCAAGUCUUUUGUAAUAUCUUCUACAAAUAUUUUAGACCAGUUCUUCACAAAACAUCAUAAUAUGUUUUGUGUUUCUCUUGGAUUUUGAGUUGAAUUGUCUUAGAUCAAUUGAAUGCAUCUCAAUAUUAUUAUCUUGUUUGAAGGCUUGAUGAUUUUCCAUUUAACUUUACUUUCUUUAGGUUAUGCUUGAUUCCUUAAAAGUACUAAGGAAAACAAAAAAUAAAAAAAAAUAAAAAAUGCAGAGGGUUAGGACAUGUGUUAUCUAAUUGUCCUAUCCAAAGAUAUUAAGAAAGUCAUGUAGGAAAGUAAUUGAAAACUAGGUCAAGAAAGGAGCAAAAGGGAAUUGUUUUGGUAUUUUCUUUUUUAUUCUUGAAGGUGGCAGAGCUAAAAUUUGAGAAAUCAAGCAAAACAUACUGAAAUUACAUUGAAAGAAAGAAAAUGGUAGUUAAUGUCUUGCAGUACAUGAUAAGGACUUCAUGCAUGUAGUGUGACGACCCAUGUCUUGGACUGAUGCCACACUCACGGUUACACUUAUACCCUUGGUUCUCUCUUUACUACCUUGGCUAACCUAGAUCAGGCUAUGAGAUAGGCUCCUCACCACACCAUCACUUGCCCAGUAAUUAGUGACAUUUUCAAGCAAUGAGGUAACAUGGUGACACCAAGAGGGUUUAUCCCUCGCCCCAACAAGUCUAGACUCGGUCUCAAAAAAAUGGAGAAAAAUGAGGUGUCGUUAUGCAGAAAUACAACAACCAUGCCUUCCUUAUUACUUAGAUUCAGAAUGUGAAGGUGAAAUUGAGAAACAGAAACUCUUGAAACCAGAAUGAAAAUUGAUACUUUUACGAAGAAUUACAACAUUAGAGGAAGACUACAUUCUUCCUCUAUAUUCCUACGUUUCUACACUACUUCUACUCCACUCCAUAUUUCUACAUACAUCUUUAAUCAGUUUUCCCUCCUUUAUAUAGAGCCAUCUUCACACAAAUUCCGCAAGGUAGAAAAGAGGAAUGAAACUUGGAGCAAGGUUCGACUACUGGUUGUCGCUUGUCAAGGCUGGAAUUGAACUUUUUUUCUUGGCUUUUCUGGGCAUAGGUAGUAACUUGUGGUUCCUUUUUGGAAUGAAAAUGGUACAGCUAGAACAUGUGGCACUCUCUUGUUGGAUUAUGUGUCAAACAUGUGGCAGCCAUCUAGUGGAGAUUAUUUCAAUUUUGGGAUGGAGAGUUGGCAUCCAAUUGCAAAGAAAUAUGACAUCUACCAACAUGCAAUGUAAACCUAUAUAGAUCAUAUGGAGAUAGAGAGGAAACAUAUAGAAAUGGAUAUAUACCUAGAACUAGCUUUUUAUUAAAUGAGACGGAGAGCCAACAAUGAAGGAAAAUCAAAAUUUUUGGCUCAUAUCAAAGAAUUCACAUUGUGUUACCCUAGGUUUUCUUAAAGCUUGCACAAAGCCAAAAAGCACACAAAAAAUUAUAUUUUCUAGCUCUCUACCUUGGAUGGUCUCUUGAUCCUACUUGGAGAUGUGCAUAAAUAAAAGGAUUUGAAAAUGACAAUUGACUAAGUAUGUAGUCAAUCAAUUACUCAUUAAUUGACUAGUUGAUCAAUUAACUUUGCAACAUCAUAUGCAAUCCUAAUAGCUAGUCAUCUAAUCAACUAGGUAGUAAAUCAAUAGGCCAAAAAUAUGUUUAUAAUGACUAUUUUGUACAAAAACCACCUAUAUGGUUAAAUAUAAUGCAUUUCAUUUAUAAAUCUUCUAAUUCUUGAAUAACGAUCCUAUCAUCCUUUGAAAGUUUUUAUUACACCUUUUAUACUUUUGUUCUAAAACUUACACAUGUACAUCACCCUUAAUUGUACCAUGAGAACCUAGCUUUUUUUUUUUUUUUUUUUGUAAUUCAUCAAAGUUAGCUUUUGUAUUCAUUACUGUACUAUUUUUAUUGUAACUUAGAAAGCGAGUGUUUUCAAGUGAGUGAAAUUGACUUAUAAAUAUUGUAAAGAUUCAUUGAUGUGUAUCUUAAACUAAGUGUACAAGUUGAAACAUUUGCUAGUAGAUUUUCUCAAGAUUUAGAAUAGAGCUUGAGGCUAUUGAAAUAGGUGGGGUUGCACCAAACCACAUCACAUUGUUGUUUGCACCUUUUUUUCACUCUCUUUUACUUAGUUGCUCUAUAUUUGUUGUCUAGUAAUAUCCUAUAGGCUUGAUGGGUUAGGGAGCAUCCCUUUGUGAAAAAUUUUCAUUCAAUCCUUAGUUGUAUCACGCAUAUAUAAAAUGCCUCAUUGUUUUAAUGGUAUUCAGUCGUGGCAUCACAGAUAUGGGCAUCUAAAUUUUAAAAGUUUGAAACUUUUAUCUAAAGAAAAUAUGGUGCUUUGCCUUUUUGUAAAGCAUGUUGAUGAAAUCCAUGAGAAUUGUGUACUUGGGAAGCAACAUCGAGAUGACUUUUUUUUUUUUCAUUUUUUAUAAUGCGACACCUAAGUCCGGUUUCUAAAUGCUGAAGUGAAAGGGUAGGUAUGGACCAUUGAAAUCUGAUCACAACUUUUGGCCUUUUCCUUUCUCUGCAGCCAUGUUGUCUCUUUUUUCUUUUGCAUGAUUUUCUUACCUAAACAGAAUCAUAGACUUGUUUAAUCUCUAAAUGGUAUUUCAUCCAGCUUUAAGCUACUGUAUUAUAUCUUGGUGGAGGACUUUUAAGAGUGAAACCGACAUAGAGCACAUGCAAGUGGGUAUAUGGGACAUGAAAUUUCUUCUUAUAAAGACUGCAUGGUUUUUAUAUUAGAGUUGUUGAGGCGCAAUGUAUUUAGCUUGUUUUGCAGUUAAAUUAAUUGGAUAAGUAGACAUUGUCGUUUCUAAAUUUCCCACCUAAGAUAGUGACCUUAUCCUUGACUGCUUGAUGAGAUACACAAACAAUUAUACCUUCAAAAUCUACUGUGAAGUGCUUCAUGUAUGUGUGAAGUAUUAGAAAUUUCUUUCUUGGCAACUUGUUUUUUCUUUGCCCUCUACUGAUAGGUUUGACUCAAAUUAAAUUCCCUGUCAUGCUAAUUAAUUUUCACGUGCAUGCUCAAAAGGAUCACGUCAACUCUGGUUUCUACUAUUCAGGUCCAUUCCCAGAUAAACUGGUUCAAAUUUGAGAAAAUGGCAACAGCCCUUUAGUGAUGUUGGUUUGGAGCCAGUAGCCAAACCCGCCCUGAGCUUUACCACUAAUGUCAAGGGACAAAGCCAUUUGAACAAAAACAAUAGCUUCAAGAGACUGAAUCGUGGAUGAAAUCUGAUCCACAUUUCUUCUCAUUUUGGGAACAAAUGAGAACUUAACUACAAAGAUUCUACUGCCUCAUAGUGCUUUUCCUGAUCUAAGGUUGGUUCGUUUCCCAAAUUGUGAGGUACGUGCCAUUCUCACGCUCAGGAGUGUAUCCACGUGGUGGACAUAAGAUGGUGGCUUAAUAUCUGGUGUCGGUGGCUUUACUUUACUAGGAGAGUAGUGUGUCUUCAUCUCAUUCACUGCCGGAGGGUGGCGUAAGCAGUGACGCUAAGGUGGGGCACAGUCAAUAUCAUUUGCAUUUGACCAUUAUAGUUUUCUCCCGGCUUGAAAGUAACCUUAUCGUGAUAAAGGAUUACUAGCACUAGUUCAGAUGACAGUCAUGUUAAAUUCGGACCAUGUUUGUGUCACAUUAUCAGCAACCAUGUGUUUAUGGUUCAUGCUAUCUGCAACUAAACUUGAUAUAUAACCACGUGAACUUCAAUCUAAAUUCUGGAAGUACUCUUGUGAUAGAUGGUGCCUGUCUGCAGAGUCCAUCAAUUGAAAAAUGGAGUGAGUGUAUCUAUAAGAGGGAAGGCUUGGCAAAUGUUCAGUUUUCUGGGAACUCAACAAGGAUCUAAAAUAGAUUGUUUUCUUUGCUGAUUUCAAUGGUUGAAAUUUGAGAAGAUUGUGUCCACAUAACACAACUAUUACUGGUCCUUCUGUUGCAAUUUAUCCUCUAAGGCUCUAACAUGUCUUCCAAUUCCCACUUCCCUGUUACUCCAGGAAAGCUAUUUCUGUCAUUGUGAAGAAGAAAAGAGAAUGUACAUAUCGAUGGUUUUAAGUGACUGGGGCAUUCAUAUCAGGUGGUCUGCAGCCAUAUAUGCCACUUUGUGAAGGUUGGAACAGUCAAUCACCAGGCUAUAUUAGUGUGGCCCAGCCACUUCAAUCAAGGACAAGUCUUCAUACUUAAAGUCAAAUUCUGCCUUUAGUCUCAUUAUAAAUUGCUGUUUAAAUAUUAAGCAAACAUUUGUUUAAUGCGAUUAAGACAGUACUAACUCAAUACUUGUUCUAUUUUUGGAUGCAAAUGCUUGAUGGUUUCAUCAUUGGAUGGGAUAAAGGUGCAUUCAUGAUUAUGAAUACUUGUAGUUAUAUUUUCAUUCUCUUUUUUCUCAAUGAGACUUGUUGGCACAAUUUUGCUGUUCAGAAACCUACCUCUCCAUCGAAAAUCAGUUGUGAUUGAUAGUACUGGAUAUAUUCAAGAAAGCUAAAUAUAGAUAGCACCAAAUAUUAUCGAUAUAAAUAGCAUUAACAGCGUACGUAUGUCUCAAUGCUCAUCAGCUAUAAGCAACGGGCAAACACUUACUAUGAGCAACUUGCGUCAAAAUUCCAGAAUAGGACAUAGAAGUGACAGAUCUAUAUAUAUAUAGAACACUGCAUAUGAGUCACAAGAAAGGAAAUUACGGGUGCAUAGCAGCUCUUAUUUUACAUCCUACUCAUACUGAUCAAAGUCACUCAGUUGGGAUGGGUGGGAGUAGGAGGUUUGUGGGGUGGCUUGUGCGGAGGAGUUGGCAGCUUCUUUCCAGGACCUGGUUGCUUCUCUGCUGGAGUUGAAGGAGGCUUAAUCUUCCGAGGUGGCUUGUAUGAGUCUUCAGCAUUCUCAGCAGGAGGGUGACCAGGGUUGUGACCAUAAUGUGGUGGCUUCUCUCCCUUAGGUGGUUUGCCAACUGGGGUUGGUGGCUUGUAUGAGUCUUCAGCAUUCUCAGCAGGAGGGUGACCAGGGUUGCGACCAUAAUGUGGUGGCUUCUCUCCCUUAGGUGGUUUGCCAACUGGGGUUGGUGGCUUGUGUUCUGGGAGUGGCUUCUCCCCCUUGGGAGGUUUUUCCAAUGGGGUUGGUUUGUGUUCAGGAGGUGGCUUCUCCACUGGAGGCUUGUGUUCAGGAGGUGGCUUCUCCACCGGAGGCUUGUGUUCAGGAGGUGGCUUCUCCACCGGAGGCUUGUGUUCAGGAGGUGGCUUCUCGAAUGGGGGAUGCUCAGGGUAAUCAGCAAGUGAGGGGUUGGUGAGAACCACCAUGCCAAGCAACAGGACUAGCAAGUAUGUAGGAGACAUCUUUGGGUUUGGACUUAAGACAGUGGAAAACUGCGAGAAUUCUCUAGCCUUUUAUAGCGGGUCGACCCAGUACUCACAUGACACGUGUCAUUAUGACACAUGUGCCAUGGGGUCGAUUUGGGUCCUACAGUGUUGAAAAGUUGGGCAUUUGAGGUGUGAGCACAACUUUUGGCCUUUGCUUUCUCUACAGCCGCCAUGCUUUUCCCUUUUUUCCUUUUCCUUUUGUUUUCCUCCUGCCUCGUGUUCUCAACUAAACACAAUUAGGUUGUUUAAUUGUUAAAUGAGAUUUUUGUCUGUCAAUCAUAUUAUAUCCUAUCAAGAGAGAACAGAGUGUAAUGUAGUACACAUAACACGAGGCAGUAGUAAUUUUAUCAUUUAUUUUUAUAGCUUGGACCACCGCAUUUUUUCUUCUAAAAUAUUCUGUCUUGUUAAGAGACGCAAUAAUACACAAUUUUAUCUGCCAUUCAACAUUUACUGUAAAGUUCUUUUAUCUCUUUGUAGUUCUAGAAAAGUACAAAAUGGAACAUCAUGUAUAUGGUGCCUUCUGUCCUAAAAAAGAAACUGGACAAAUUAUGAACUGCAUGCUAAAAAGAGGCAAAGGAGCUUAAUUCGCAGCAUAAUUAUUUUGGUUUCUAGAGAGCCCGGGGCCUUUUGGUUGGUUUGGGGUCAGAAAAUGAACAUCAUAGGGAUUGUGCCCUUAACUGGCCUUGUUACUACAAAGAAAUUGCCAUAGAAAUUUAUUCCAGGCUGAGUAUCUCCGGAUAGACCCCAGAAAAGAAGAGUCAUAAUGAGAAUCAACCUUUGUUGAGUUUGAUUCCAUGCCUCCAUUGUGUUCAUUUCAUGAAUCUGAUUUGCAUUUAACAUUACAGUUUUGUUCUGGAAACAAUCAAAGGAGCAUCGUUUGCUUCUUGGGUGACCCAUAGUGGUGGGUGGGUCGAUUUGCUUAGUUGAAAAUUGGACAAUUGGCUCCAUCGCCUACCUCUUGGAUUCCAUGCUCGGAUAAAACGACAACAAAUAAAUAUUUAUAACUUACAACUGGGGAAAGGAAAAAAUAGUACUAAAUUCAUGGUACAUGAUAGUGAGAGAAGGGGGUGUUACACUCAGCUAAAGUUCUUUUCUAAAUAUUGCAUGGUGUUUAAUUUUAUGUGUCGGCGCGCGUGUGAAUGGAACCUGCAAAAGUCCAAAUUGGCGUUUCUCCAUUUUCCACAUAGGAUGGUGACGUUAAUAGACAAAGAUACAAUAUCUGUAGACAUUGCUUAAAAAUCGAUGUGAAGUAUUAGAAAUUACAGGCCACUGUACUGGGGGAGCGGCUGCCCCGCCAAAGGAAGAAUGUAGCAAUUUCUUCUGUUAGCCAGGCCUUAGGAUUUAUGCAUGGGAUGCCUAAUAACAAACAGAGAAAAUAUGCUUUUGGGGAAGGUAUCCAACAACAGACACCAUCAUUCAGAUGGUGGGAAGGUAUCCAACAGAUGCCAUCAUUCAGAUGGUAACAUAUAUAUACAUUUAUUAGUGAGUUUUUUUAAUACCUAUAAAAAAAAUAUACACUUUGAUAUUGUGGCUGAAUCCAUUACAUACUCAACUAACCUUGCUCAUUAGGGAUUUGACGUAACAAGGGCAACGUUGCAGUAAAAGCUCGAAACUUUAUGCAGGUGACAUUACAUUUGGUAAAGAAGAGGAAAAUAAGGAAAGCCAUCCAUAAAAGCAAAAUUCCUCAUGGGAUGAAAUUCACAAACUUCAUUUACGUUAGAGUCGCAUCCAGGCAAUUAAUUCCACAUUAGACCGCCUUUUGACAUGUGUACGGAUCUUUUUUCAAAAAUUAUUUAUAAAUAAUUGAUACUUACAAAAAUAAUUUAAGAUUUAUAAAGGAUAAAAAAAUAUUUUCAAAUCUAUGACAAUUUAUAAAAUAUUAAUAAAAAAUUAUCUCUUAAACUUAGUAUAGUUUUAUCGUAUUAAACUUUUAUUUUGAACAAAUAAUUUUAAUCUAAGUUUUAAAUUCUAAAAUUAUUUCCUUAAAAUAAAAUUUUAAAAUUCAACACUUCAAUUGAAAUUGUCUUUUAAAAAAAAUAUCUUCUUAUUUUAAUCCUUAUAAACUAUAGUUGAUUGAAAAUACUAUUGAAGUUCUCUCUUCAAAAAAAGUCUUAUUUUAAUCUUCAUAAAUUGCCCUUGAUUUGAAAAUAAACUUUGGGUUAUCAUAUUUUAAAUAAUAUAUAUAUAUAUAUAUAUAUAUAUAUAUAUAUAUAACAAAUACUCUAUUUUUUUUUUAAAUGAACUAAUUUUAAUUAUAUUUUAUUUUAUUUUUUUAUAUAUUUUUAAUGAUAAACCAAACAUAGAAAAUCAUUUUUCUAAAUAUUUUAAAAUUUCUAAGCAACCAAACAUAAUCUUCAAAAUAAAAGGAGAAUAAGGAGGGACAAGUGAGAAAUGGCGAUUAAAAAAAAGUGUACAAAAGCUCAAUUAAUUUUCUUCUAGUCUUUUAUAUAAAAAAGUAUUGGUAUGUAAAUUAAUAUUUGGAUUUUAAUAGUAUUUUAUUUGUCUUUCUCUAUCUCAUGUAAAAGAGAAUUUAAGAUAUUUCCUAAAGCAAAGCAUUAGUUAUCUGCAAUCAGUGGUGAUCAUGGUCCAUGUCAAUUUCGGACCCAUAUCUUAAAACCGUAUAAUUUGCGUUUCAACAUUACUGAUUUCUCAGAUGUUUCAUACUCCACAGAAGAGUAUUGUUAGUGAAAGCAUUUUGUAACUGUUACUCAUAGUGUUUUGACUCUGGCUCAACAACAUCAGCCAUUGACGGAUUUUCAUACAUGCAAAUCAAAUAGUCUUCUUCCUCCCUUAGGAAUUUCGGUUUAAAUGUUAUUAAGCAUACAUUUGGCUGACAAUUAUUAACCACUUCAUGAUAUGGUUUCUUACCCUUAAUCAAUGGUUUCUAAGUGAAUAUAUGCAGAAGGAAAUCUGAACUGUAGACAGCAGUAUUGAUAACUCUCAAUAUUCUUUAUAUAAGAGAAUAAACAACGUCAUAGUGAUCGUCGCCUACAAGAAAGGUACAUUUCCCAACAAGAUGUAGUGGUGACUGCUACAUGGACGCAAUUAACUCGUAGAAAAGGAUAAGACCAGUGCACGGCAGCUCUUAUUUUACAUGCUAAUUAUGCUAACCAAAGUCACUCAGUUGGGAUGGGAGGGAGAUGGAGGUUUGUGCGGUGGCUUGUGGGGCGGAGUUGGUGGCUUCUUUUCAGGAGCUUGUGGCUUUUUCGGAGCUGAAGGAGGCUCAAUCUUAUGAGGCGGCUUGUACGAGUCUUCUUUACUCUCGACAGGAGGGUGACCAGGGUUGUGACCAUAAUGUGGUGGCUUCUCUCCCUUAGGUGGCUUGCCAACUGGGGUUGGUGGCUUGUGUUCAGGAAGUUGUUUCUCUCCCUUGGGAGGUUUACCAAUUGGGGUUGGUGGCUUGUGUUCUAGGAGUGGUUUCUCUCCCUUGGGAGGUUUAGUGGGUGACUUGUGUUCUGGAGGUGGCUUCUCCACCGGAGACUUGUGUUCUGGAAUUGAUUAAAAAAAUUCUACCACUCUUUUAAGUAAUGGAAGAUUAUUAUCUCUGAUUGGCACCACAACAGCACAUGCUGCUAGAUCUUUCUAGACACUCCAUGCAAUGAAAGCACAAUGGAUCUUGUAACGAUAGAAACUAAGCCAUGCUACAGUACUAGAUGACGAGGUAAAACUAGUAGACAUGGGUGGUAGUUGAUUACUACUCAAAAAGUACUCUUUUAUAGUUUGAAACUAACUGUUUUAAACACUUUUGAGUAGUAGUUAAUAAAUUUUAACUCAAUUGGCACAUUAAGGAACCUAGCAAGGGUUACUAAUAAACUUUUGGCAAGUUUUGGUGUUUUUGGUAGUUAUUCGAUCAUUGAAACAAGCCAAGAAUGAGGGAGAAUUUUGUGAAGUCCAUGGCAAUGCAAGUUAAAGCUCAAAUACACGAAGAAUCCAAGCUUUGGAGCACUACAUAGCCCUUUGCCAAGCCAAUUAGAGAUGCAAGGAACAAAACCAAAGGAAGAAAUCCAACAACCAACAUUUUCGCAUGGUUGUGUGAAAUUUCGCACACCAUGCGAAACCACAAGAGGUAGCCAAAGAAUUUCACAUGGUAUGCGAAAUCUUCUCAUGCACCGACUCCGUUAGAUUUUUAUCUUCAGAUAUUUUGUGUAAUUUCCUAGUUUCUCCUUGUAACCAACCUAGAUAUUUUCUUUUAUAUCUUUUUUUAUAUUUUUUAGGUAACAUCAUAUAUAAGGGGAGAGACAUAAGGAGGAUAUGGAUGUUUUUCAUAGAACACUUGUAAAUUUUCAGUAGUAAGAAAUAUACAAAGCUUUUUGCUAUGCCUUACCUUCUCAUUUUGUUUUCACCUGUCUUUCUAGCCAAACAACCUCUAAGGAUGAUUUCUCAGGGGAUGAGUGGCUAGGUUUUACGUUUCUUGGAGUGAGGGAAGCUAGGUGAAGGACCUGAAUGCAAAGAUGAGAGUUUUCCUUGCUUUAAAUGAAAGUAGUUGUUAAACAUUAAUGGUUUUUAUUUUAAGGUUUAGCUUUAAAUCCCUUAAAAACACCUUGAAUGACCAAUACUUGGUAAGCUUUUCGGAUUCUAUGGAUGCUUAUUGCUAGAUCCAUGGAUGUCUAUUAGUUAUCAUUUACGAGCCUUUGGAAGGUGAUUCAAGGUGAGGGUCUUUAGUGUUUGAAGCCAUUAAUGGGAAGCAAUUACCAUUUUUUCAUGAAUCCUUUGGAUCAAAUCUUAAUUGCUAAAUAUAAAACCGAUUUGGGAAAUAACCAUCCUUUAUGUUAUUAUCCCCAACGCAAGGAGAAGAUCCGGAAUCUUCCCUUUUGUCUAAGGAACCCGAUCCUAGUGACCUAAAGCUCCAAGAGACCUUUUCUUUGUAGUUAACUUCAUUUAUUGUUUUUGCUUAACUUAAAAUCAAUCUUUGCAACCACAAUUCCAUUUUCUUUAAAAGCUAAUUUUUAUAAGGAAAAACACCAUUUUAUUUCCUUCACUAAGUCAACUGUACGAUGAAAACCCAUCCCUGUGGACGAUCCUAGAGCCAUUAUACUAUGUUAGCUAUGCUACCCUAGUGUGAGGUGAUUUAGGUUUUAUAAAUUUUGUUGAUAACACCCAUCUGAGCCAGAAUCAAAUGGCACAACUGAACCAGGGACGAAUCAAAUGGCGCCGCUAUCGAGGAUGGUGCCAAAGUACAUUGACAUGACUUUUGGUGAACACUUGUGAUCUUCAUCACAAGUUUGGUGAUUUUUCUAUUACUAAUUUUUUUCUUUGUUUUUAUUUUAGCUUAUCUUUUAUUUAGUUUUUAGCUAACCUUAACUUUUUCUUAGAAUUGUAUUUCUUCUAUUUUCUUUGUUUUUGUUUCAGUGAUCUUUAGUUGUGCAUGCCCUAUUGGAUAAGAAAUAUUGAGGGAAUACUUGUGAAGAUUGAAAAUCCUCGAGAAACUGAGUUGGAAGUGUGAUUGAACAUCAUGGAUGUUCCACCUGAAGACCAGAAUAGCCAACAUGGUUAAGAGGAUAAUUUCAAAGCAUACCGAUCCAUGAGGGACUGCAUGCAUCCACCUCGUAUGAGUGCACCGUCAUGCAUAGUGCCUCCCACUGAGCAACUAGUAAUCUGACCUCACAUUGUGCCACUCCUACCUACUUUCCAUGGGAUGGAGAGUGAGAAUCUCUACUCGCAUAUUAAGAAAUUCGAGGAGGUUUGUAAUACAUUCCAAGAAGGAGGAGCUUCAAUUGACUUGAUGAGGCUCAAGCUAUUUCCUUUCACUUUGAAGGAUAAGGCUAAGAUUUGGCUUAAUUCUUUAAGGCCAAGGAGUAUCCGAACUUGGACUAAUUUGCAAGCCGAUUUUCUUAAGAAGUUCUUCCUUACCCAUAGGACCAAUGGUUUGAAAAGGCAAAUUUCGAACUUCUCAGCUAAAGAGAAUGAGAAAUUCUAUGAGUGAUGGGAGAGGUACAUGGAAGCUAUUAAUGCUUGUCCUCACCAUGGCUUUGACACAUGGCUCUUAGUGAGUUAUUUUUACGAUGGUAUGUCUUCUUCAAUGAAGCAACUCCUAGAAACUAUGUGUGGAGGAUACUUCAUGAGUAAGAAUCCGAAGGAAGCCAUGGACUUUUUGAGUUAUGUGGCUGAAGUUUUAAGAGGAUGGGAUGAACCAAAUGCUAGAGAGGUGGAAAGAAUGAAGUCUCAACCUAAUGCUAAGGGUGGGAUGUAUGUUUUGAAUGAAGACAUUGACAUGAAAGCAAAGGUUGUAGCUAUGGCAAGGAGAUUGGAAGAGCUAGAAAUGAAGAAGGCACAAAAAGUGGAAGCCAUUUCUGAGACAUCAGUGCAAGCUAUGCCUUGUUCCAUUUGUCAACCUAAUGCUAAGGGUGGGAUGUAUGUUUUGAAUGAAGACAUUGACAUGAAAGCAAAGGUUGUAGCUAUGGCAAGGAGAUUGGAAGAGCUAGAAAUGAAGAAGGCACAAAAAGUGGAAGCCAUUUCUGAGACAUCAGUGCAAGCUAUGCCUUGUUCCAUUUGUCAAUCUUAUGAGUACCUAGUGGAGGAGUGUCCUACAAUUCCAGUAGUGAGAGAGAUGUCUGGUGAUCAAGCAAAUGUUAUUGAUCAAUUCAAGCCUAAUAAAAAUGCUUCAUAUGGCAACACCUACAAUUCAAAUUGGAUGAACCAUCCAAAUUUCUCUUGGAAACCAAAGCUACCUCAAUACACACAACCUGCUCAAGCACCUUAGCAAUCCUCGAAUCUUGAACAAGCUAUUGUGAACCUUAGUAAGGUUGUGGGAGAUUAAAAGUCCAUCAAUGCUCAACUGAAUCAGAGAAUUGACAGUGUAGAGAGUACAUUGAACAAAAGGAUGGAUGAGAUGCAAAAUGAUCUGUCUCAAAAGAUAGACAAUGUCCAAUAUGCAAUCUCAAGGCUUACCAACCUCAACACAGUGCAAGAGAAAGGAAAGUUUAUUUCUCAACCUCAUCAAAAUCCCAAGGGUAUCCAUGAAGUGGAGGCUCAAGAGAGAGAAUCUUCAAAGGUGAGGGAAGUCAAAGCAGUUAUCACCUUGAGGAGUGGUAAAGAGGUUGAUCAACCCACAUCCAAGCCAAAGCAUAAUGAAGAGAGUUUUGUAGAAAAAGAAAAGAGAGGAAAAUAAAGGAAAGAGAAUAGAGAAAAGUACAAAGAAAGAUGACCAUGAGUCUAGUGUGGAUGAAGAGCCCAAGAGGAUAGUGAUCAAGGAAAAUAUGAUGAAGAAACACAUGCCUCCACCUUUCCCCUAAGCUUUGCAUGACAAAAAAGGAACCAAUAAUACAUCGGAAAUUUUUGAAGUAUUGAGGCAAGUGAAGGUCAAUAUCCCUUUGCUAGAGAUGAUCAAACAAGUGCCGACAUAUGCAAAAUUCUUGAAGGACUUGUGCACUGUAAAGAGAGGGUUGAAUGUGAACAAGAAAGCUUUCUUGACCGAGCAAGUGAGUUCCAUCAUACAGUGCAAGUCUCCAGUGAAGUACAAAUAUCCGGGCUACCCUACCAUCUCAGUGAGUAUUGGAGGUACUUGUGUGGAAAAAGCUUUGUUGGACUUGGGAGCAAGUGUGAAUUUGCUACCCUACUCUGUCUAUAAGUAGUUGGGACUUGGAGAGUUGAAGUCAACAUCCAUCACCCUAUCUCUGGCAGAUAGAUCAGUGAAGAUUCCAAGAGAGAUGAUAGAAGAUGUCUUGGUUCAAGUUGACAAAUUCUACUAUCCAGUGGAUUUUGUUGUUCUUGAUACGGAUCCGAUUGUCAAAGGAACUAAUUAUGUUCCUAUCAUACGAAGACCCUUCCUAGCUACAUCAAAUGCAAUCAUCAAUUGUAGGAAUGGAGUCAUGAAACUCACGUUUGUCAACAUGACAUUAGAGCUCAACAUCUUCCAUUUGUACAAGAAGCAUAUCCAUUCAGAAGAAAAAGAAGGUCUAGAGGAAGUGUGCAUGAUUGACACUUUAGUGGAGGAGCAUUGUGAUCGACAAUGCAAGAAGAUUUAGUUGAGAGUUUUGGGGAUCUUGAUGAAGGGUUACUUGAACCCUCAGAUUUGCUUGCUACCCUACUCCAUUGGAGGAAGAGAGAAGAAAUUCUACCCUUAUUCAAUGAGGAGGAGACACAAAGAGCUGCUAAAGAUAAGCCCCCAAAGCUUAUUCUUAAGCCACUACCCACAGAGUUGAAGUAUGCAUACUUGGAAGAAGACAAGAAGUGCACUGUUGUUAUAUCUUUAGCUCUUACCAUUCAUCAGGAGGAUUGUCUACUUGAAGUCCUUAGAAGAAGUAAGAAGGUAAUAGGGUGGCAAAUUUCUGAUUUGAAAGGGAUCAGCCCUUUUGUCUGCACCCAUCAUAUUUACAUGGAGGAUGAAGCUAAGCCAAUUCAUCAACCUCAGAGAAGGUUGAACCCUCACAUGCAAGAAGUGGUGAGAGUUGAAGUUCUUAAGCUACUUUAGGCUGGUAUUAUUUACCCCAUAUCAGAUAGCCCAUGGGUGAGUCCUACUCAAGUUGUGCCAAAGAAGUCGGGGAUCACGGUGGUGCAAAAUGAUAAGGGAAAAGAUGUCUCUACAUGUCUCACUAUAGGUUGGAGGGUGCGUAUCAAUUACAGGAGGUUGAAUGUAGUGACAAGGAAUGACCAUUUCUCGUUGCCCUUUAUUGAUCAAGUGCUUGAGAGGGUCUCUGGGCAUCCUUUUUAUUGUUUCUUGGAUGGCUACUCGAGGUAAUUUAAGAUAGAAAUUGAUGUUGAAGACCAGGAGAAGACCAUUUUCACAUGCCCAUUUAGAACCUAUGCAUAUAGGAGAAUGUCUUUCGGCUUAUGCAAUGCACCCACAACUUUCCAAAGAUGCAUGUUAAGCAUUUUCAAUGAUAUGGUGGAGCAUAUUAUGGAAGUCUUUAUGGAUGAUAUCACCAUAUAUGGAAGUGCAUUUGAUGAAUGCUUGGUCAACUUAGAAGUUGUUCUGAACCGAUGCAUUGAGAAAGACUUAGUGCUUAAUUGGGAGAAGUGCCAUUUCAUGGUACACCAAGGGAUUGUCCUUGGGCACAUCAUCUCCAAGCAAAGCAUUGAAGUUGACAAAGCAAAGGUUGAACUCAUUGUUAAGUUGCCAUUCCCAACAAAUGUCAAAGGAGUAAGGCAAUUCCUUGGCCAUGCCGGGUUCUAUAGGAGGUUUAUCAAGGAUUUCUCUAAGCUUGCAAGGCCUCUUUGUGAAAUAUUGGUGAAGGAUGUUAAAUUCAUAUGGGAUGAUAGAUGCCAAAGGAGUUUUGAAGAAUUGAAGCUAUUUUUGACAACCUCACCAAUAGUGAGGGCUCCCAACUAGCAACUGCCCUUUGAGGUAAAGUGUGAUGUCAAUGACUUUGCUAUAGGAGCUGUUCUUGGGCAAAGAGAAGAUGGAAAACCUUAUGUGAUCUACUAUGCGAGCAAGACAUUGAAUGAGGUGCAAAGAAACUACAUAACCACCGAGAAAGAAUUGUUAGCUGUAGUUUUUGCCUUGGAUAAGUUUCGUGCUUACUUGGUGGGAUCCUUCAUCGUGGUUUUUAUUGAUCACUUUGCUUUGAAGUAUCUAUUGACUAAGCAAGAUGCUAAAGCAAAACUGAUUAGAUGGAUUUUCUUGCUUCAAGAGUUCAAUCUCCAGAUCAAAGACAAGAAAAAAAUGGAGAAUGUGGUAGUAGACCACAUUUCAAGGCUAGCUAUCGCACAUAAUUCCCAUGCUUUGCCCAUUAAUGACGAUUUUCUAGAGGGGUCUCUCAUGUUGGUGGAAGUUGUCCCUUGGUACGCUCACAUUGCUAACUACCUGGUCACAAGAGAAGUUCCAAGUGAGUGGAAAGCACAAGAUAAGAAGCACUUCUUUGCAAAAAUUCAUGCCUACUAUUGGGAAAAGCCAUUUCUAUUCAAGUAUUGUGCGGAUCAGAUAAUAAGGAAGUGAGUUCCUGAAGAAGAGCAACAGGGGAUCCUCAGUCAUUGCCAUAAAAAUGCAUGUGGAUGCCACUUUGCUUAUCAGAAGACAACCAUGAGGGUGCUGCAAUCGGGUUUCUGUUGGCCAUCACUUUUCAAAGAUGCCCACACCAUGUGCAAGAGUUGUGAUCGAUGCCAGAGGCUUGGGAAGUUAUCAUGUAGGAACAUGAUGCCUUUGAACCCCAUUUUAAUAGUUGAUCUUUUUUAUGUUUGGGGCAUUGACUUCAUGGGACUUUUCCCUAUAUCUUUUGGCUACUCUUACAUCUUGGUGGGAAUAGAUUAUGUUUCUAAGUGGGUUGAGGCAGUCCCAUGCAAACACAAUGACCAUAGAGUGGUUCUCAAGUUUCUUAAGGAGAACAUCUUCUCAAGAUUUGGGGUGCCCAAAGCCAUAAUUAGUGAUGGGGGUACUCAUUUUUGCAACAAGCCUUUUGAAACUCUCCUAGCCAAGUAUGGGGUGAAGCAUAAGGUAGCUACACCUUACCACCCUCAAACUAAUGGGCAAGUUGAGUUAGCAAACAAGGAGAUUAAAAACAUAUUGAUGAAGGUGGUGAACACAAACAGAAAAGAUUGGUCAGUCAAGCUCUUCGAUUCACUAUGGUCAUGUAGAACAGCUUACAAGACCAUUAUCGGGAUGUCUCUUUAUCACCUAGUCUAUGGAAAAAAUGCCAUCUCCUUGUGAAAUUGGAAUACAAAGCUUGGUGGUCAAUCAAGAAGCUCAACAUGGAUUUGAGCAGAGCUGGGUUGAAGAGGUUCUUAGACCACAAUGAGAUGGAGGAAUUGAGAAAUGAUGCCUACAUCAAUUCAAAAAUUGUAAAAGAAAAAUUGAAGAGGUGGCAUGAUCAGUUGAUUUCCCGCAAGAAUUUUCAAAAUGGAUAAAGAGUCUUGCUCUAUGACUCUAAACUCCACAUCUUUCCGAGCAAGCUGAAAUCAAGGUGGAUAGGUCCUUUUACCAUUCACCAAGUGCAUUCAAAUAGAGUAGUGGAACUACUCAACUCCAACAACAUCGGGAGCUUCAAAGUGAAUGACCAUUGUCUCAAGCCCUUUGUAGAGUCUUUUUUCUCGCGACAAGGAGGAAUUCAUCCUCCUUGAUCCACAUCAAGCUUGACAAGACCAGUUUUUUUUUAUGGACUUAGUCUUUCUAAAGACUAUCGAGUCCAUAACUUUUUAUUUUAUUUUUUAUUUGAGAGUUUUUCGGUAUUAUUACUUGUUUUGUUUUUUAUUUUUCGUUUUACUUUUAUUUGGUUUGAUUUAACUUAGAUUUUUUAUGAUCAAUUGCAGGGGGGAUUUCAAAUAGAGGAAAAACCAAGAUAAUUCGCACACCCUGCGAAAAUUUCGCAAGGCAUGCGAAAUUUAUGGCUCAUUUCGCAUGGGAUGCGAAAUUUCGCACACCCUACGAACCAAUUUCGCACACUUUGUGAAAAUAAACCAACCCUACGAAAUCAUUUCAAAUACUCUACGAAAUUUUCGCAGAGCAUGUAAAAAAUUUCGCAGACCAAACACCAUUUCGCAUACUAUGCGAAAAUGUAAGGGGUCUACAAAACCAUUUCGCACCUCCAAAGCCAUUUCGCACAUUGUGCAAAAAUGAAAAGUCGCCCUAUCAUCCAUUUUUAAACCCCUUGAGCCCUGAAAUCCCCAUUUCGCAAGCACCCCUGUCCUUGCGAAUCCCUCAUUUUCCUCUGCCACCUUGCGACCUUGUCCCUCUCCAUUUGAUAUCGUGCCCUGCGCACAUCUCAUUUCAAAGACUCGCACUCUGCGCCCUCUCAAAGCACGAACCCAAGGCUCACAUUCCAUUUCCGACAUGGCACAGACCCGAGGAGCCCUUCCCGCCCCUUCAUCGAGACGCACACCAAGGUAGAGAGCCUCUUUUGCUCAGAUGCCAAGUGAUUCUCCAUUUCAGGCCACGGAGGCCCUGCGGAUUCCACAUUCCAAGGGUAGAACAGCCACUGGUCCUUCCUCUUCUAUUCCUCAGCGUAGAUAUGAGACGAGGAGACCACCUACUACACAAAGGGCGACUACUUCGCGCCAUGAGAAUUCGGUACGACACCCUCCUGCCAAGAGGGCCAGGACUUCAGGCCCAGGCGAGUCAUCCAAAGCUUCACAGCCUGAGCCUCCUGCAGAUUCCGAGGUUCCUACUGACAUAUCAUCGGAGUCUAUUAUCAAACGCCCGAUGCUCACAGCACCGCCCAUUGAGGGCAACUCUGAUUGUAGAGCGAGACCUUUCCACUUGGAGCUAUAUUUUAAUUAAGAGGCCAUGCCACAGCAGCCUGAGCUCCAAGACUCUUAUGGCUUACUACAGAGGUACCAUCUUGAGGACCUUAUGACUCCUCGUGAGUUCUUUUAUCCCAGAGUAGCACUAGACUUUUACCAGUCCAUGACUACUCGUGGCGUCCCGAGUCCUACCGCGAUGCACUUCACCAUUAAUGGACGUCAUGGUAUCCUCGAGGCCAGACAUAUUGGAGAGGCUCUACAGAUUCCUUUCGAGCUAGAGGACCCAUCUGUUUUCUGCCAAUGGUCCCCAAUAUCUCAGAGGGACAUGGUCCAUAUUUUAUCCAGGGGGACAUCUACAUAUUCGAUCCUUCUACGGAAGGAGCUUCGACCUGGGAUACUCCUCGUAGAUGUGGUGCUACUUUCCAACCUCUUUCCCUUUUAGCAUUCGAUACAUAGGCGAGGAGCUAUUUUGGACGCUUUAUUCUGUAUAUCAGAGGGCUUCUACUUUGGCCCGCACCACUUGAUCAUGGUUUCCCUCAUCCAUUUUGAGGAGAAGGUCCAUAGAAAGAAGCUUCAGAGGGCGAACACCAUUCCAUUACUAUUCCCGAGGUUGCUCUACUAGAUCUUGGAGUACAUGGGCUUUCCUACUGAGCCUCGGCUUGUGUGCCGCCGCCUUUGUCAAGAGCGAUCCACUCUCGACAAAUGGAAUCAGUUGGCGGGCUAUUCUACACCUCCAGGAGCCCCUCCCAUGGUAGCACCUCUAGUGUCCCCACAGGCAGAGUAGGGCAAGCUCCCGGUAGAGACUGCACCCCUAGUGCCCACACCUGAGGCUACUUCUGCUGUUCCGCCUACGACUCCUACUGUUCCACCAGUUGGUCCUUUUACAUCUGAGUCUUCCAUCAACAUCUCGACUUCGGAGUUUCGCGCCCUUGUGCAUACCUUUCAGACACUCACCACCACACAUACUGCUCUCUUCUAGAAAAUGGCUGAGAUGCGUGCCCAUCAGGACCAGCAGACUACUAUACUCCGCCAAAUUCAACAGCACCUGGGACUUCUGCCUCUGCCUCAGCUUGACCUUCCCACAUCAUCAGAGCCUCUAGCUCCAGUUGAGGAUACUAUUCCACCUGAGGACACUACCACAGUAGAGGUUCAGAUUCCACCACCUCAGGAGGCCACCACAGCUACAUUAGAGGAUGCAUCAUCUCCACCUGAGGCUCCCACUACUUGAUCAUAGGACAUCUCUUUAUCUUAUUGUAUUUACAUAUUAUAUUACUGGAGAUUUGUCUUUGUUUUGAUACUUUAUAUUCUGGCAUUGAAUGUAUUGCCUAAUGAUAUCUCAAUUGUACUUUCUCAUAUUAAUAUAUAGACAUCAAUUUUUUUUAGUAUACUUAGGAUUUUUCUAUUUACUCUACUCAUUACUCUUUUGUUUUUUUUUUUUUACUCAUGUGGUUUCUCCUAUACGACUCAGACUCCAUUUCACUCAGGAGGUACCACUUCUUCCCUUUAUUUUCAAUUGCUCUUGAAACAUUGAGGGCAAUGUUGAUCUUGGUUGGAGGGAGAGUUGAGGAAGGAAGUGAUUACUACUCAAAAAGUGCUAUUUCAUAGCUUGUAAUUAACUCUUUUAAAACACUUUUGAGUAGUAGUUAUCACCUUUUAACCCAAUUAACAUAUUAAGGACCCUUGCAAUCAAUUCUAAUCAAAUUGUGUUAAGUUUUGGUAUUUUGAUAGCUUUUUUAUCACCAAAGCAAUCCGAGAUUGAGGAUAUUUAUUUGGAAUCCAUGGCAAAAGAUGUUUGGACAGGACGUCCGGACACACCAUCGGAGGGCGGCGGAACGUGGGCUGUGGCAGGCUGUCGGAAUGACGUAGCAAGGCUUGUGCACUUUAGCCAAUGAUCGGGAUAACAUAUCCGAAAUUCUGCUCCGCCGACAUUCCACCCGGAUGUCUCACAUCCGGAAUUCUGCUCCGCCGACAUUACACCCAGAUGUCUCACAUCCAAAAUUCUUCUCCGUCGACAUUCCAUCCGAAUAUUUCACAUCCGACGCUUGACGCCGGAUGGGAGAGGAGGGCGUUUCAACUUCCCCGGUCAGACAUAUCCGAAUCCUUUGAUAACGCUUACCCGGAGAGUUUCGCAGCCAUUUUGCACAGUGCCGCGGUGUUCUCUUGAAGCUUCCCGAUAUGUGCGACCGACAUUUUGAGAUAUUUUGCUUUAGAUAUUUGAUGUCUAAAUCCCCAAACUCUCCUUGUAACCCACCAAUUAUAGGAUUCCUUAGUUAUUAAGUUUGGAAAAAUGGUGAAUAACCCCUUAUAUAUAGUUUGCAAUUUUCAUAAAAAAGAUAUGUAGAAUCUCGGGAGCUUGUUCCCAGAGAGACGCAUCCUUUGUACAGUUUUGGAAGGAAGUAAAAUACAGAGCACUUGCUCUGCUUUUCAUAUAUAUUUUUGUUUUCUCGUUCUUUUUAUUUCUAGCCAAUCAAAGUCUGAGGAUUUUUCCUCAGAGGAUGAGAGGCUAGGCUCUUCGUCUCUUGGAGUGAAGAAAACUAGGUAAGUUUCCACAUGCAUAAAUUGAAAGUUUUGUUGUUUUAGUUUUUAAUGAAGAGAAAGUGUGACCCGUUAAUGGUUUUUAUCUUUUUAGUUAACUUAAAACGCCUUUAAAUCACCCGGGCCAACACUUGAUAAGGCAAGUGGUCUCCAUCCAUUGAGAUGCACUAGUUUAUCUCUUGCGAGCCUUUGGGAGGUGGUUUGAAGGUAGGAUUUUCUAGAAUAACCAACACUUGAUAAGCUUUUGGACUCUAAGGAGACAUCCAUUAGUUAUCUCUUGCGAGCUUUUGACGGGUAAUCCAAGGUUAAAGAUCACCUUGAAUGGCAAGUACUAGGUGAGAGGUAUGAGCCAUUGCAAGAUGCAUUAGUGAGAGGGAUUUAGUGUUUGAACCCAUUAAAGGGAAGCAUCUGUACCACACCGGUUCGGGAAAUAACUAUAUGUUAAAUCCCCAAUGAGAGGAAAAGAAACAAGUGACCGGAACUCCCUUUUUGUAUAAGGAACCUGAGCCUAGUGAUCUAAACUCCAAGAAACACUUUUCUUUGUAAGUAAAAUCAGUUACUAUUUUUGGUUAGUUUAAAACCAAACCUUUUUCAUUCAAACAUCUUUAUGUUUUCUUUUAAAGCUAACCUUGAAAUGAAAAGGCACCAAUUCAUAUUUGAAUUAAUAUCAAUUGUGAAGUGAAAACCCAUCCCAGUGAACGAUCCUAGAGCCACUAUGCUAUAGUAGCUUUGUCUUUGCUACCCUAGUUCAUGGUUUAAUAGGUUAUAAAUUUUGUUGAUUACUCCCACAAUCAAAGGAGCACCAGUUGGACAUGAAUCAACUGAGACACUAAUUGGGCACAAAUCAGGAAGUUUUGUUAAUAAUGCUAGGUUAAUUUGUUAAUUUAGUUACUUUCUGCUUAAUUUUAAAAGUUUUCACUUUACUUUCCAUAGUUAUUAAGGAAAAAUUCUCAAAAUGAAAUGGGAGAAAUUGAAUUCUUACAUUUUUACUUGAAUUUUAGAAUUUGUAUUAUGCUUAUUGAAGCUGAUGAAUUAUUGAAACUCCUAUUGAAUUCAACCUUAUUUCUUCCACUUUAAUCUUACCACACACGGUGCACAUUAGGUUCCGAUUAUAAGAGGUGCGUUCUUAGCCUAUUGGAGGUUGGUCAAUUUGUUAAAGUUUGAGAAAGAUCUAGGUUAGGGGAGAGAGAAUAGUCUGACAUACUAUAAUCGAAAACUAAUAAACUUAACACUUAGAUCUUUGUGGAAGAGUAAGGAUUGGACCUUUGGGAGUGGAAAUUCGUUUGAUGCUUAAAUUUGCAUAAUGCUUACACUUUAUAAAUUGUGAUUAGGCAAGAGAUUUGAUGACUCUUGUUCAAGGUUGGGUUUUGCCUCUUUGAUGUUCCAUGAGAGAGUAUAAUCCUCAUCAUGCCACUUGAAAUUUUUUUUGGAGUGAUUAACAUGAUUUUGUAAAUUACUUUACUGUCUAUUUUUUUUUUAUCUCUCCUUCAUUGCUAAUGGACUAGCAAUAUGUCAGUUGAGGGGAGUGAUUACUACUCAAAAAGUACUCUUUUAUAGCUUGAAACUAACUGUUUUGAACACUUUUGAGUAGUAGUUAAUACCUUUUAACUCAAUUGGCACAUUAAAGAACCUAGCAAGGGUUACUAAUUAGUUUUUGGCAAGUUUUGGUGUUUUUGGUAGCUAUUUGAUCAUUGAAACAAGCCAAGAAUGAGGGAGAAUUUUGUGAAGUCCAUGGCAAUGCAAGUUAAAGCUCAAAUACAUGAAGAAUCCAAGCUUUGGAGCACUUCAUAGCCCUUUCCAAAGCCAAUCAGAGAUGCAAGGAAGAAAACCAGAGGAAGAAAUCCAACAAUUAGCAUUUUCGCAUGGCUGUGCGAAAUUUCGCACACCAUGCGAAACCACAAGAGGCAGCCAAAGAAUUUUGCACACUAUGCGAAAUUUCGCAUGGUAUGCAAAAUCUUCUUGUGCACCAACUCCGUUAUAUUUUUAUCUCAAAUAUUUUGUGUAAUUUCCUAGUUUCUCCUUGUAACCAACCUAGAUAUUUUCUUUUAUAUAUUUUUUAGGUAACAUCAUCUAUAGGGGGAGAGACAUAAGGAGGAUAUGGAUGUUUUUCAUAGAACACUUGUAAAUUUCCGGUAGUAAGAAAUAUACAGAGCUUUUUGCUCUACCUUACCUUCUCAUUUUGUUUUCACUUGUCUUUCUAGCCAAACAACCUCUGAGGAUGAUUUCUUAGGGAAUGAGUGGCUAGGUUUUACGUUUCUUGGAGUGAGGGAAGCUAGGUGAAAGACCCGAAUGCUAAGGUGGGAGUUGUCCUUGCUUUAAAUGAAAGUAGUUGUUAAACAUUAAUGGUUUUUAUUUUAAGGUUUAGCUUUAAAUCCCUUAAAAACAUCUUGAAUGGUCAAUACUUGGUAGGCUUUUUGGAUUCUAUGGAUGCUUAUUGCUAGAUCCCUGGAUGUCUAUUAGUUAUCAUUUAUGAGCCAUUGGAAGGUGGUUCAAGAUGAGGGUCUUUAAUGUUUGAAGCCAUUAAUAGGAAACAAUUACCAUUCUUUCAUGAAUCCUUUGGAUCAAAUCUUAAUUGCUAAAUAUAAAACUAGUUCGGGAGAUAACCAUCCUUUAUGUUAUUAUGCCCAACGCGAGGAGAAGAUUCGGAAUCUUCCCCUUUGUCUAAGGAACCCGAUCCUAGUGACCUAAAGCUCUAAGAGACCUUUUCUUUAUAGUUAACUUCACUUAUUGUUUUUUCUUAACUUAAAAUCAAUCUUUGCAACCACAAUUCCAUUUUCUUUGAAAGCUAAUUUUCAUAAGGAAAAUCACCAUUUUAUUUUCUUCCCUAAGUCAACUGUACGAUGAAAACCCAUUCCCAUGGACGAUCCUAGAGCCACUAUACUAUGUUAGCUAUGCUACCCUAAUGUGAGGUGAUUUAGGUUUUAUAAAUUUUGUUGAUAACACCUGUUUGAGCCAGAAUCAAAUGGCGCAACUGAACCAGGGACGAAUCAACAACUUAUAUGGGAGGGACACAAGUUUAAUUGAUUUGCAUUUCAACGUUAUAUAUAGGUAUGUUUUGGAAGAUUUGUUCUGGAAAUACUGCACCAAGUACGAUUCUUUUUGUCUUGAGUGGGUCUACUUGCAUGCCAAUUAACGAGUGGAAAAGUAGGAGCACCUACCUCAUGCUCGCGGAACCGAAGGUCAGUGAAGUGGGGCUCCUUUUGGCCUCUUGUGUUUCUAUUCCAACCAAGGCGGCGUAAGGAAAAACAACAAUAUGUUUGUGCUAAAUAUCAACGCAUGAUAGAUGUUUUUGUUUUUUGGUAUGUCAAGGCUAAUGAAUGAAAUGCUUUAGCUUGUUUUGUGACUGGAACUGCAAAUGUCCAAAUUGGAGUAUCUCCAUUUCUCACUUCGGAUGGUUAACUUAUAAACAAGAUAUAGGAAACAUGUGAACAUCUUGAGGAACAAUUUGAAUUAUUCAUUAGAAGUCCUGGGUUGAGUUCCAAGAUUUAAAUUAGACCCCUCUAGCAGCUUCAGGGGUACCUAGCAACCUAUAGCAUAUUAAUGAAGAUUUAGGAUUUAGACUCUAGAAUACAAAUUAAUAUGUAUCUCAUGCUUUGACUAGCUUCCCUACAUAUGCACAAAAUGGAGAUGACCUAAAAAAAUAGCAGAAUCUAGCUUCCCUACAUAUGCACAAAAUGGAGAUGACCCAAAAAAUAGCAGAAUUUCCUUAGUUUCUGUGGUUAAGGUGAUUCUCCGCUUAAUAUCACAUUGACUCAUUAUGCAAAAUCAACUGAGCUAAUUUUGUUUAUUUAUUUAAUGUCAAAUAGGAACUCCUAAUUAACCUAACCCUUGGCCUGUGUAAAUUGAUUUCACAUGCCCAAUGUUGAAGUAGAAGUCCAUAUUUUGAAUUUUAUUUUUGUAAAGGUAAGGAAAAUGAAGCAUUGUGUAAUUAUAAAAAUAACUUCAUUGGAAUUCACAAGGUUCACCCAAAAUGGAGCUACAUCCGUAUUCUAUCCUGCAGUAGACUAUAUAGAUUGUACAAUAGUAAAUUGCAAAUACAAUUAAUAAGUCUUGUGCUUCCUUACUAAUAAUCCUUUGACAUGAACAUUGCAGCACUAAGGUCCUCUUGGGAAGACACCUUGCACCCAUGAGAGCACGAAGAGGAAGCAAGGCAGAGUCAUGGGUGCAAUGUCAUGACUUGUUGUUGCACCAAGAGAGGCUUGGUGAUGGCAUGGUGUUGCAGUAGCAAGAAUGUUGCCUUGGUAGGGACAUAAUCUAGGGAUAGAUGCCAAGAAAGGCUUAGCACUCACAUGAGUUGCACAAAGAUGAAUGUAAUAGAGCAUCAGAGAGACGUCUUGGCAAGUAAAUGAAUGGAUCCAAGAGGCAACAACAUGAGGAGUUUCAAAUGGAUAAGGAAUGAGUCAAAGACAUUUGAAAGCUACAAGUUGGAUUCUAAUUACGAUUGCAAUUUGAGUUUGAGUAGGAGUUUAGAUUCUGAUUGUAAUUGUAGUAUGAGUUGGACUAGGAUUGCUUAUCCCUAGUCAAAAUAGGAGUGGUUCGUGUCACACCCUAUGAAAAGAGUUUGAGUAGGGACUAGGAUUGCUUACUCCUAGUCAAAUAUGGAGUAGGUGGUGCCACACCUAUAAAAAAAAAGGGACAACAUGAGAGAGAGAGAGAGAGAGAGAGAGAGAGAGAGAGAGAGAGAGAGAGAGAGAAAGAGAUAAUGAAUUCACUAAAGAUAUUGUGGGAGUUUUUCUUUGUUACGUCUUGUAUUAUUACUUAGAAUAGGAAUAAAAUACAAGUUUGGGCUAGAGCCCCAUAAUUAAUCUCGUGUGCCUUUGUGGUUAUUCUUUAUUUGUCAUCUCGUGUGGAUUGGAUUACAUUGACUUAGAGGGCUUCUAAGCACCACCUUUGUGGGUUAUUAUUUAUUUUCCAUUUCUUGUGGAUUAGAUUAGGUUGACUUUGAGGGCUUUUAAGCACCACCUUUGUGGGUUAUUCUUUAUUUUCCAUAUCGUGGGGAUUGGAUUAGGUUGACGAUGAGAAAAAUUAUGUGGGAAAUUUGUGUUGGGACACUUAUCAUAACCAGGUAAAAUCUGCCAAGUCCUUUGUAAUAUCUUCAACAAAUAUUUCAGACUAGUUCUUCACCAUAAACAUCAUAUUGUGUUUUGUUUUUCUCCUGGAUUCUGAGUUGAAUUGUUUCAAGUCAAUUGAAUGCAUCUGAAUAUUAUUAGCUUGUUUGAAGGCCUGGUGAUUUUCCAUUUAACUUUACUUUCUUUAGGUUAUGCUCACUAUAAGAAAAAUGAGAAAUAAUGACGCUUUUUACGCGUUAAGAAAGGCAACAGAUGAUGCUUCUCUAAAGCGUCCUCUUCGGCUCUGUCAUUAUAUGUGUUAGCCAAUAAUGACGCUUCUAGGAAGUGCCAUCUUUGAAUAAUGUUAAUAACGACACUCGUAAAAAGUGUCAUCUUUAAACAUAUUCUGGUCAAAUAAUUUUUACAAAAUUAGUAAUCUUCAAGCCGUUUCUGAAUCAUAUCUGAGCCUAUUUCUGGGGACCAGAAAACCAUCUUUUUUCCAUUCGCCUGAGAGGUCUGAUUAGCAUUUCUGGAAUCAAUCUCUAAACCCAAGCUUCCCUCAUCUACCCAUUUAACCCUCAUGCCCUCCUGUUUGAACAACUUUCCCACUAUAUACACAAAUUUUUUACCUUCUGUUGUUGGUAUUCGACCUCUUCCCAUUCCCAGCACAGAAUCCACCAUUAGUGCCACUUUGUGAAUAAAAUCAUCGAACCAGAUCUUUCGGGCGGAAGAUGAGCUCCAGAGAAAUAAAAUUUUUGGGGUCUUCCCAGCAUGAAAGUCAUAGGUAGCAUUAAUGACAUCAAGAAAUGGGGCACUGUUGAGAAAAAACAUGUUCCCAUCAACCACCCAAGAAUUGUACCAGACUCCAAACACUUCUGGAUUACAUAUGCCUUUACUAAGAUAUAUUUCUUGAUCUCCAUAUCAGAAUCUUGGAGACUCUUCAUUUUAUGAGCUCUGACACUACUGUGAAAUUGGUCCACAUCAAUCACAGGAUGACCCCUUCUAGCAAGAUCAAGCAGGAAGUCUGAAUUCGGGCCCAUAAAAAUGUAGUUCUGAAUAUUGAAACUCUCAAAGUGGCACAACAAAUUCCUUAUGACUCUUUCAGAUGCUCCAAACAGGCUCACAAGUAUAAUGGUAUCCUGUUUUUGCACAGAGUAAAGAAAAUAUCCGAGUUCUUCAAAACUCCUUACAACUAUUCCAGGAUGUACUUCUUUGAAACAGAAAUCGUACCACUUUAGCUUAGUCAGAGGUUGAAUCUAAAAUAACAAAACCCAAACUGAAAUCAAAAUCGAAAUCAACCCUAAUAGAUUUCAGAAACAACAAAUUAAAAGAGUAAAGCACAAAAGGGGGAAAACACAUAUGAAGCAAUCUCCAUACAAGCCCUAACCUUAGAUAAACCCAAAAAAAAAAAUCAAAGCAGAGAGUUACCAUAGAGCAUCUCUGUUUCAAGCUUAGAAAAUGUUUAAUGCCAUUGAUAACUAGUUGGCUAGUGGUGGACUUCAAGCUUCUCUAUUUCGGUGUUAGUAGCUCUCAAUGGCUAUGGUGAGAACAAAGAAAUGAGAGGCUUAGGGUUUGGGAUGUGAGGUUAUUGAUGAUGAUGAGGAUAAAGUUAUGGGCUCUUGGAGGGGUUAGGGAAAUUGAAGAUGGCUGAGAGUAAAGGCUAGGGUUUUUGAGAUAGUUAAUAGCUUUUUAGGGUGUGACUGUCCAUAGAUAGAAGAUAAAUGAGGGUGUGAGAAUUUAUAGAUCUCUAGGUGAUAUGGCGGGUGUGAGAAUGAAAUUUUAGAGGGAAUUGUGUGUUUGGUAGAAAUUUCACACAUGCAUAUAUAAUGUUUCAGAACAUGGCACUUUAAAAAUACGACAAGGAAGAAAUUAUUUAUUGACGCUUAAAUAAAGCGCCAAGGUCUCCAACAUUUUUGCAAUCAAUGACGUUUGUAAAAGGUGCCAUUGAAUAGGAGUGCCAUUGCUUUCCCACAAAGCAUCAUUGUUAAUCAAGCCUUUAAAAAACGCCAAGAUAUGUUGCCACUUAGGUUAAAUAUUGACGCUUUUAAAAAACGCCAAGGAAAAAAACGUCAUUAUUCAUGUUUUUUGUAGUAGUGGCUUGAUUCCUAAAAAGUAAAGGAAAGCAAAAAGUAAAAAAAUAAAAAUGUGGAGAGUUAGGACAUGCGUUAUCUAAUUGUCCUAGUCCCAAAUAUAUUAAGAAAGUCAUGUAGGUUACUUGGAGUAACGAGUCAAGUAAAGCAAGCCUUCUAGUGUUUAAGACAUUAGAUAUUACCGAACUGAUUAUGUCAUUAAUGUAUUGCAUUUGUUGUUUCUAAUAUAUAGAAGAAGAUGAAAUUAUUGGAAUAAGUGGGAAAUAGGAAUAAAUCCAAGGUACCAAAAAGUCACUUUAUCUUAGAUGUUGUUGGAAACAUAAGUGAUUUCACAAUAACGACUAUGAGACAAUCAAGGAUUAAUAAGAUAGACUUUAUAUGAUAUACCUCCCAAUUAGAGCCUAAAAAUAUGGAUGAAGCACUUAGAGAUGAAUCUUCAAUUUUUGUACUAUAGGAAGAAUUAAAUCAAUUUGUUAGCUAUUCUUUGGAUAUUUGAUUCAUCACAAGCUACAAAUCACUUUUGAUGACCAAACACGAAACUAAGAGGAUUGGGCCCAAUUCGAUGCCUAUCAACAAUGAUUUGUAUUCCACCUCAUUAAUUAUUCAAAGUUGGGAAGCUAGGUCUAACCACUUUCUCUACCUGUUCACCCUUAGAGGAGCAGAAGAAAAUUCUAACUUUGGUGCCUAAUGCCUUUGACAAUCUUUCGACAAAGAGAGUUCACUAAUUACUUUGAUUAUUUCUCUGUUGGUCACUGGGGGACAAGACUUUUGUAAUGAAGUCAACUAGAACUUGCCCUUUGAGGGCCAUUCAUGGACGAUAUUACACCAUGAAUUCCCUUAGGUCAUGUUUGGUAUGUGAGAAUGAGGAGUGGAAUGGACAUCUUAUUCAUUUUUUCAUCUAUUCAAAUGUUGGGAUAACUCAAGUGACCAUGAGAAUGAAAUCAAGAAUGAUUCAAGGGAAAUGAAAUCUUACUUAUAAGUGUGAUUUCAAUUAAUCUCUAAUAGAAAUUAUUUUGAAUCAAUAGUGCAAGUUAUUUUUAAAAACAUUUUUCCAAAAUUAAAAAAAUCAAUUUUUUUUUUUUCGAUAAGUUGUUUUUAAAAGGAUUUUUUUUAUUUUGUAAAAAGAAAAUUGUAAUUCAAUUUAUAUAAUAUAAACUAAAUUUUAUUUUAUUCAAAAAGAAAUAAUUUUUUAAUUAUAAAUAAAUUAAAAAUAAAUACUUUUAAUAAAAUAUAAAUAGUAUUAUUAUAAUAAAAUCAUAAAUAAAUUUAAUUUUUUUUAUAAAUAUUAUAAAAAUAUGGAUAUUAACAUUGGAUAAUUGAUUUAUUUUGUUAAAAUAAAAAAUAAUAAUUUUUAAUAUUAUUUUAUGUUAAAUGAAUUUUAAAAUAAAGAAAGUUUAAUUAUUUUAAGGUAUAGAAGAGCCAAAUUUUGCAUUACAUACAUAACAAACAAUAUUUAUUAGAAACAUUUCUCAAGGAGAAUCUUAUUCCAUCUCACAAAGAUACUCGUUUAUUCGAUGUUUGACCAUCCGUAACAAUCAUGUCAAUUCUACUGAUUUAAUAAUUCCUUUACAUUUAUUACUCACUUAUGAACAUGGUAUUGUGAUUUAUUUAUUUAUUUGAUGUAUAAUUAAUUAAUCAAUUUUUUAAAUUUCAAAUUAUUUUUAAAAACUAUUCAUUAAGGAAUUUAAAGCAUUAAUUAUGUCUAUUAUUUUUUAUAGUCAUUAUAUAUAUAUUGAGUUUUAAUUUAUUUUUAAAAAUUAUUAAACUUAUUAAUAAAUUCAAUAUAAAGUCUCGUUUCAUUUGAAAUUCAUUUCUUUAGUGAAAAUUUUGAAAAAAAAAUUGUUAUUUAUUUUACUUUGUUUUAAAAAAAUUGUUUCUAGAGAACAAUAAUCAAAUAAUGGUAUGAAUUUUUAAAAACAAUUUUGUUUUUAAAUCAUAUGCCCAAAUAAUUUUUUUUUAUUUAGCAAAAAACUUUGUUGUAGUAUGUGGCUCAUAUUGAGGGAAAGACAUAUAUGGAGAAAAAUGUGCAAAUGUUGGAGUGGAGCGGAGUGGAAUGACGACAUUUGUCAUUCAAACUUGUAUUUUUAUUGUUAAGGGUGACCGAUAGGUUGGUACGGUUUAGGGGUAUUUUUGGAAUUUCAUUACCUGAGGGUUAGUAUAAAUACCAUUUUAUGUAACCCUAAUUUUACAUAUAAUGUAAGUUUUCUUCCUUGUUCUUGUGGACAUAGGCAAUCCGUCGAACCACGUUAAAUCUGUGUGUUUUUUUUUCUUUUUUCUUUUUCUCUAAUUUCUUCACCAGGAAUCGUUACACUAAGAUCAACAAACUCUCAAAGAUGAUUUUUAAAAUGAAAAAAAUAAUGUAUAGUGUGAGAAUUUUUUAUUUUUUAUUUUUUUAAAAUGAAAAUAAAAAAUUGCUUUAAGGUAAAAGUGUGGAUAUUAUUGUUAAUUUAUUUCAUUUUUCAUUUUCAUUUCCAUUGUUACCUACAAUUGAAAUGGAAACAACUAAUCAUUACAACCUUACAUUCUUAUAUGCAUCCAAAUACAAAAAUUGAAAUCACCAAAUUCAUAUUCAAGGCAAAAUAGGAAUGAAAACAAAUAUUCAUUCUCAUUCUUUAUUCCCACGUGUCAAACAUGACCUCAAAGUUAUAAACAUGAACAAGAAGUCCUUGAAACACCAAUGAUCUCUUCUGGUAUAUAUAUGAGCUUGAUUGACAACUGUUUUAAAUACAGUUUUUUUUUUUUUUGUUUUCAAAAUCAAAACAAAUUUAUUUUUAUUUUUUAUAAAUAGUAGUUUUUUAAUAUUUUUUUUAAACCUUAUUAUGAAAAUAGGAUGUUUUCUAAUAUCAUAUUUUAAUUAUUUUCAAUUAUUUUCCCUUCUUUUAAGGAGGGCUAUUUUAAAAAUAUGAAAAAUGAUACAAAAUAAAGCAUUACAAAUAAAAAUCAUUUUUAAGAAAUAUAUGAAAAUAAUUUGAGAACAUUUGAAGUUCCUUAAUUAAACUUUUGUUCUAGAAAAUGCAAGAAAACUGUUUUUGAAAAUUGUUUUCAUAAUGAUAUGCAUUGAUCGUUUAAAAUUUAAUUACAUGAUAAAAAGACCUAUGUAAAAACCAGAGUUAUAUAAUCAGUCAUAGAUCAAAUCUACUAAAUAUGAAAAGUAAGUACAUAGUUGUAUAUGACUUAGAUGGAGCCUUCUCCGAAUGACAUUCUUUAGUCGGUACUCAUAUUUUUUUGUUUCGUGUCUUCAACAUAACACCUCAUGAUCCUUAAUAAAUCACCUGAAAACUAUAUUAGCACCUUAUUGUUUAAUAUUUCUCUAAAUUUUUUUAUUAAGCAAAUAAAUUCCAAAUUUAAAAUGACAAAUAAAAUUUAUUAAUUUUUAAAAAUAAUUUAAAACUCAAAAACCAAUUUAAUUGAUAUUAAAAGUCAUGAAACUUAAUAAUAUUAGAAAGUCAUGUAUCCAAAUUUAUUUUAAAUGACUUGUUUAAUUUCUUGUUUAUAUAUAUUAUAUUUUUAUAAUUUUUUUUACUAUACAAAUAAAUUUUAAAUUAAACAAAACUUAAUGCGUUGAAUUCAUUAACGAGUCUAAUAAUUUUUAAAAGUUACUUAAAAUUUAAAUACUAAAUCAAUUAGUACCACAAAUUCAUGGAAAAAAAUUGAUUUAUUACUACUAUAUUGUUUCUCUAUUGCAUAGAACCAUUAUUUUUCAAUUUUUUCAUUUGGCAAAUGAACAUCAAAUUAAACAAGACUAAGUGUAUUAAAUUCAUUAAUGGGUCUAGUAAUUUUUUAAAAUAAUUUAAAAUUCAAAUAUUGAUACUCCAAAUUAAACAAGACUUAGGUGGUGUUUGUUUUUUGGUUGAAUAGAAAAAGGUAAAAUAUUUGACUUUUUCUAUUUAGUUAAAAGUAACUUGUUGACAUCGUCCAAUAUAAUUAAAGUAAACCUAUUGAGGGCAAGUUCACUUUAAUUAUGUUGGACGAUGUCAACAGGUUACUUUUAACUCAAUAGAAAAAAUCAAAUAUUUUGACUUUUUUUUUAACUCAAAUAAUAAAUCCAUUAAUACAAAAAAAUUAUGGAUAAUUUGAAACUUUCUUUCUUUUUUUUUUUUUUUUUGCUACACAUAGCUAUAUUUUUAUAAAUUUUAUCAUUAGAGAAAUGGAUUUCAAAUCAAGUGAAACUUUGUAUUGAAUUAAUGGAUUUAACAUUUUUUAAAAAUAAUUUGGAACUAAAAAAAAAAGAUUUAAUUACUAAGAAAAUCAUAGAUCAAAACUAAUAUAUUCUGAUCCAUGAUUUUAUUAUUUUUCCUAUACAUACAAUUAUAUUUUUAUAAUUUUCUCACUAGGUAAAGAUAUUAUAAAUUAAGUGACACAUAAUUAAUAAUUUAAAUUUUUGAAUGAAUCUUUUAAUUUUAGGAAUAAUUUGAAAUUUAAAAAGUUGAUCCAAUUAAUUGUAAAUUAACUUAAAAUAUUAUAAAAUAUUAUGUUCAUAAUUAAGUACUAAAUGUAUAUAUGUAAUGAAAACUUAACUAGUUACAUGUUACAAAAGCCAAAAUUUAUUCAUUCUUUAUUUUAAAUAAAAUAUUAUUAAUAAUUAUUUUUUUUAAAAUAAUAUUUAGUAAUUAUUGUUUUUAAAUUAUUAUUAUUAAUUUUUAAUAAAAAAAUUGCAAAGUUAUUAAUAUCAUUAUAUUUCUAACAUAAAUUUAAAUAGUAUAUUUUUUAAUAUAUAUAUAUAUAUAUAUAUAUAUAUAUAUAUAUAUAUAUAUAUAUAUAUAUAAUUUAUGAUUUCAUUAUAAUAUUUUUAUUCAUGAUUGACGAAAAAUUAUUUAUUGUUUAAUUUAUUUGAAUUGCAAAACUAUUUUUCAAAAUUCAAGCGAGAAAAUAGGCCUGGAUUUGAAUUUCCUGUAGAAGAGAAGGAUGUGGAGAAUAUGUUGGGAGUAUUUGUGGAUAAAGAAAAGGCCAGGGUACUGAGAAAGGAGAGAGAACUUGCUCUUGCCAAAAGAGCCCUGCACAGGUAUUCUACUGAUUCUAAUUAUCGGUUCUUACAUGAUCAGAUUUCAGAUUUAUUUGCUGAGCUUCUGAAAUCUGAUACAGUAUUUAAACUCCGGUGAGCUUUACAAGAUUAGUCUCGCAUCCAAUUCCAAAUGGUGUCCCACAAUUGAUUCUUCUUAUGAUAAAUCCACCUUGAUAUGUGAAAAUAUUGCUCGAAAGGUUUAUCCUCGCGAGGAAUAUCCAGAAUACUAAGGAAUUGAGGAGGCUCACUAUGUUUAUAGAGUCAGGGAUAGGUUGAGAAAACAAGUAGUUGUUCCAUUACAUAAGGCCCUGGAGUUGCCAGAGGUUUUCAUGUGUUCGAACAAGUGGGGAUCACUUCCCUACAACCCUGUGGCUUCAGUGGCCAUGAAAUCAUACAAGAGCCUCUUCUCAAACCAUGAUACAGAGCGGUUUGGUGAGUAUCUUGAGAAAGUGCAAACUGGGAAGGCUAAGAUUGCAGCUGGUGCAUUACUUCCCCAUGAGAUUAUAGCUUCAUUGAAUGAGGAGGAUGCCGAGAGAGUUGCCGAGCUUCAGUGGGCAAGAAUGCUGGAAGAUUGAUCAAAGAAAGGGAGGCUCACAAAUUGCAUUGCAGUAUGUGACGUAUCAGGAAGUAUGAGUGGAACUCCAAUUGAGGUGUGUGUGGCUCUGGGGCAGUUAGUUUCAGAGCUCAGUGAAGAUCCAUGGAAAUUAAGGUAAUGUAAUUACUUUCAGUGCAAAUCCUGAGCUUCACAAGAUCCAAGGAGACAGCCUUGUAUCCAAGACUGAAUUUGUGAGGAUGAUGGAAUGGGGUGCCAACACUGACUUUCAGAAAGUUUUGACAGAAUCUUACAAGUAGCAGUGGAGGGAAAUAUGAGUGAAGAUCAAAUGAUAAAGAGGGUUUUCGUUUUCAGUGAUAUGGAGUUCGAUGAAGCUUGUGGGAGGUAUAACUAUUGUGACUAUGACUAUGAUAUGGAGGAAAUUGACGAGAGUCAGAAGGCAUCUCAGAAGUGGGAGACAGAUUAUGAAGUGAUACAGAGGAAAUUCCAGGAGAAAGGAUACAGAAAAGUUCCAGAGAUAGUGUUUUGGAACCUUAGAAACUCAUCAGCGACUCCAGUGACGGCCACAGAGAACGGGGUGGCCUUAGUAAGCGGGUUUUCAAAGAAUCUGUUGACCUUGUUUUUGGAAGGAGGUGGAAUUCUGAUCCCUCAGGAUGUGAUGGAAUUCGCCAUCUCUGAUGAAGAUUACAAGAAACUUGUUCUAUUUGAUUAAGAUAUCAAGAGAUUUAUCAAUAAUAAUAUAUUUUUUUUCUAUGUGAAAUACAUAUAAUAUUAACUGUGGAGUUAUCAAAGUUCUGGAGGUUUAAUUAUUUCUUCUUUUCAAGUUUUGUUUAUUUAAGGUUUUCUUUGUCUUUGUUAGGAAUUCCCCUUGGGUGGACCCAGCUGGGGAGUUGGAUUGAGGAAGUAAGCAGGCGAACUUGUGUUCUUCUAUGGACAGAGAAAAAAAAUAAAAUAAAAAAAUAAAAAAGGAGGUUAUUUGCAUUUGGAUGUCGUGGUUUGAGGGUACAACUACAAGCUCGAAAUUGUACAUAAUGUGAAAACUCCUGUGUCCAUUGCUGAGAACAGCAUAAAUGAUGGUGAUUUUCAAGUUGUGCCUGGUAUUCUACAGGAUGAAACAAGAAAGGAUCCAGGUGGUAUAUUGAACAAUAUCCCAAUCAUGUUGGUGGCAUCUUUAUUUAGUUAAUGGUAUUCAUUUGGUGGAAGCUGGUUGUUUAUGAUGUUUUUAAUUUUUUUUAACAUGAAGUUCGAUCAAAUACGUAUCUUAGUAUGUUUUGUUUGAGCUAAUUGGCAAAUGCGCUUUAAACAUGGUCACAUGGAUGCAGUUUUAUUUGUGAAAUGAUAAUAGUCGAUUACUUGGUCAGUAAGGUUUAUAUCUCUAACUUCAACAUCUUAUUGUAGUCUUUUAAAAUGUCAAAAGUUUAAUGCUUGAGAAAUUUUGGAAUGGAGACAUUCUAAACAAAGUUAAUAAUCCACAAGACUUGGUAAAACCGAUCAGAUGAUGCUUACGUACAUCAAUGCCUUCUUUAAGCCAUAUCCUAUUUUCAUUGAACGGGAUGUGCCAUCUAGUUUGGUUCUUUAAGCCUCCAAAUCCUAAACCUAGUCUCAAUUUAGAGCAAAUUUAGGGUGCAGGGCCUGCAUGCCUCCCCCUCCCCCUUCCACAAAUAGUAGUGACCUUGCUAUGCCUAUGCAUUGUCAAUGCCUCAUUUUCUAUGGUCUCCAAUGUAAUAUCUUAGUUUCAAUGUCUCUUUCCUUACUAUCUCCAAUGCAAUAGAUUGAUUUCAAUACCUCUUUACAACUAAGACCUCCAAAUUUUCUUGGUUCAAACCUACCAGAAUUUUUCUUCUCCUUUGCUUUCUAUCAAUAUUAGUUCCCCUAAUUUAAUAUAUACUUCUUUAUUACCUUCAACUCUACCUCUCUUUCUUUCUCUAAAAGCUUCCUCAAAGAUUUAAUUGCUUUCUUGCAUGUUUUAAGAAAACAAACAUGCUCAUAUUACAUUACCUCUACUUGAGAUCUACCUUAUACUCUACCUUCUUUCUUUACCUCCUAUAUCAUCUACUACAUUAGCUUCAAAAAUAUUAUUUAGUUUGAUACUAAAUAAGGCUCCUAAUCCUACUCUUCCUUCAACAAACUUUCUUUUUACAAGUUCCUUAAACUUUAUUUUUUAUUUUUUAUUUUUUGGAAAUUCGGGUUAGAAAGAUUCCAUUACUCUUACCUAAUAUUUCAACCAUCAAGUUGAAUCCACUUAUUGCCUAAAUCCAAGGAGUCUGCCCUCCACAAAAACAAGGAAAUUGAUCCCACAAUAACAAGGAGAUUGCCUUCCACAGAAACAAAGAGAUCUCCCUUCACAGAAGCCGAAUACAUUGCAAUCUAUUUUCUUUCUUGUAAGAUCAAAUCUUCAAUCGAGCUCCAUCUUAUGGGGGCAUAUUAGAGAAAUUUAAUAUUAUCCUUAAUUUACAUAUUAAUAUUUAUCUAUUUAUUAUAUAUUGAAUUAAAAUAGAAUAUAGAAUUUGAAUCAUAGUAGAAGUUUACUAUAAGAUUGAAUUACAAUAGUUAAUAGAGUUUAAAUUAUAAUAACUCAAAUACAUUUAUAUAUAUUUGACCUUACGAGAUUUUCUAUUUAUGUAUUUGAACUACAAUCCUUAUGAUCCUUAGGUCUCUAUACCUUCGUGAUGGGCUCCUUGACAUUUCAUAGGUUGUGCUACACAUGCAUUUGAAAUUUAGAGUGCAUUUGACAGUGAUUCUGGGAAGUGUUUUUGGCAUUUCUAACACUUAAAAUUUUUUAUUUUUCAAGUAUUAGAAAUGCUACAAACACUUUUGAAAAUUACUGUCAAACACACUCUUAGGAGCGCAUAUAGUAGAAAACUAGAAAUUGUGGUUUUUUUAGGAUUUACUGUAAUGUCAUUAGGAGGGUAGUAAGUUGAAACUGAGUAUGAAUAAAUAUUUCUUUCUUUGGGAUGUUCUUCUGGUAGGUGCUGAUGAAACUGUUCUUUUUACUGCCAAUGUCACAUAUCAGCCAGAAAUUGAAAAUUUCAGUCAAGGUGUCCUCGGUUUUAGUGGUGAGGAAAGCUAGAAAUUUUAAGGUGAAGUUCUGUUAAAAACCUUAAGUAGCUGGGAUAUCAGGCCUGUUUUGCUUGAAAAAAAAAGUUGCAAGAUAACUCAUAUGCCAAACAGGUUCUGAUAUUGUGAAUCUAUCGGCAGACAUCAGUAAUCUCAUCUUCUGAGAUGGAUGUUGGGGGUGCAUGUGGUGGUGGAGGGGCAAGGUUUCAUUUGGUUUAUUUUGUUGAUGGAUAUUGUCUAGCCCCCUGCGCCAAGUUUGAGGGGUGGUGGGUUGUGAUGGCCCUACAAUUACUAUUAAUUUCUUCCUCUUUUACCGAUUAAAGUGUCCGAACAGUCGAAGUUACCCUUAUGCAUGUCAACUUGAUCACUUACCUCUUCAAUGGAGUUUAUGCUGGUUCAUUUAGGAACUGAUUUUUAUUGUUAUGCAUUCUAUGCUGAUGUUUAGGCCUCUCCAUCAUCACUAUAUACAAAAAUUCUAGGUUGAUACUAUAGGUUGAGAUUUAUUUUUUAAAUAAAAAAUAAUAAAAAUAAAAAUUAUGGUGAUGUUUAGUUGUUUUAUGGAAAAUUUUAACAAGUUAUUUUUGGGCAAGUUUUCAAACAAAAAGAAAAGUAAAAGUUGUUUUGACAAAAACAUAUAGAAAAAAAAAAUCAUAGAAAAGAAAUAAUUUCCCCAUAUUCUAACUUUUUUUAAUUUUUCUCAAUGGGCAAAGGAAUAUCAAAUCAAGUUUGAGUAGGAUUUCUUAAUUUUUAAAAUAACUUACAAUUAAAAAAUUUUGGUGUUUUCAUUUUUGGACAAUUUUUUAUUAAGCAAAUGGACUCUGAGUCAUGCAAGAGAUAUGGUUGAUUAAUGGGUCAAACAAUUUUUUUAAAAUAAUUUAAAACUCAAAUACAUAAUCAAUGUCACAAAAUUUAUAAACAAAAAUAGGUUUAGAGAAGAUCUACACAUAAUUUUACUUUUCUAAUUUUAUUUUAUUUUAUUUUUUUGUUGGAAAAUAGUCUUCAAAUCAUGUAAGAUUUAAUAGGUUAAAUUUGUUAACAAUAAAUUUUAAAUUAUAAAAUAUAAUCUGGAACUUAAAAAUCAAUUCAAGUAAUGCUAAAAAAAAUCAAAUUUGGUAUAGAAUGACUACGUAAAAUUUUUUACAAAACAAAUGAAUUUUAAAUCAAGUGAGAUUUAAUGCAUUAGAUUUUUAUCAAAUAUAGUAAUUUUAAAAUUUAAUUUGGAACUCAACAAUAGACACAAUAAAUACCAAAAAAUAAUGAACCAAAAUUGGUUUGGAAUAACUCCACAACCUCUUUUUUUUUUUUUUGGUGCACACGAAUUUUCUUACUAGGUAUAUUGCUUUCAAAUUGAGAAAGAUUUACUAUUUAGAUUUUUUUUUUUAAUGAGUUUAAUGGUAUUUUAAAAUAAUUCAAAAUUUCAAAAAUUGACUAAUUACUAUUAUAAAUUCAUAAACCAAGACUAAUUCAAAAUGCAUUGGGGGCUAAGGGGGUUGAAAAUAGGGACAAUGGGAUGGGUUUGGGACAUGACACUCAUAUCUCAUUUCCAUUCCAAUUACAUAGUUAUCUCCCAUCCUUAUCCCAAACUUGUGUUGGAGCAAGUUGAUUUGUUCCCAUCUUUGUUGAUGAAAUGACUAAUAACCUCAUCCCCUCCUUAUCUUAGAUGUACAUUUUGUCAAAUUUGAUCAGGUAUGAUUGAUCCAAGCCCUAACCCUAAUUGGUAAUGACUGGAUACUACACCUAAUUGCAUUCUUCUUUCGUCGCAAAAUAAUGAGAUUAUAAUAAUCUAGCAAAUAAGAAAAAAUAGUAUGGAAGUUCAAUUUAACACCAUAACUAUCAAUAAUUUUAAGCUUAUAGAUGACUUAAAUGAUUAAAAACUAAUGCAAAAUACCAAAAAAAAAAGUUCAUAUAAAGAAUUCACAAGAGAACAAAAUGAACAAAAACCAAAUAUGAACAUGGGUCAACAUUAGUUAUGGAUUUGGAUUCCUUUCAAGGCCAAUCUUUGAACCAAGACUUCAUCAAAUCUACUACUUCAAAGGCUUUUGUGUUCUUCUUGGGUUGUGCUCUCAAACAAAGACUUCAAGGUGAUGCUCUAGAUGAUUGCAUUACACAUAUUUAGGGUGGAGAGAUUGGAGAAGCUUGAAGAUGCCAACGAUGGGUACAAUUGAGUGGUCAAUAAGAACAAUGUAGCCUAUGACUAGUUUGAUGUCGUGGUACAAGAGUUUUAGGCAUUGAGGUUAAAGCAAGAGCAACAUGGAAUUGAUUUUGGAGUCUUUCAAUUAGUGUAAAGGAGGAAGAAGUGGUAUUGAUUCUAGAAAUAGGGUUUUAGGUGGUGCGUUAGAGGAUGAAGAAGAAGAAAAAGAAGGAUCUGUUGGAAUUAGUGUGAGUGUGAAGAGAGAAGUAUAUAAAUAAGGGGAAGUAAAAGCAAAGUUCUAAAAGCUAUAUUUUUUUUUAUUGUUGGUGUAUGGUUGCAUGAUUAUCCCUAUAAAUAAUAGGAGUUUUUUUGGUAUUCUACUAGUAGUUGAAGGAUAAUUUCAUAAAUUUAUAUUUAGAGUGGGGUGGGGUGAGUUGUGACAAAAUUCAUACCCGUCCUAAACCUUGGUUCAGAUUUUUAAAAUAUCCUCAAACUUAUCAUAUACCCAACUUUUAUAUUUCAUACUUGUCUUGAUAGAGGCAGGUUAGGCCGGGUUACUUGAGUAACCUACAUAAUUGUCAUCCCUAGUUGAAAUACACUUUUUUGGCAGUGGCCACCAACUGAGCUAGAAGCUUGAUCGAUUGACCUACAAGAUUAGUUCUCAUCAUUUUAAAAAAAGUUUUGGCCUUGGUUGUGAGUGCAAUUGAAUCUAAACUGGCAUUUCCUUAAUGCAUCUACUUCAAUCCUAAAUUUCUUACUUCCUAAGCCUCAAUUGUUGUUAGGAUUUUGGAAAGCCCAUUUCCUUAAAUUGUAAAUUUAAGAAAAAAUAAAAUAAAAGUGAGACAUUUCUUGAUUGAAUAUUGUUAAAGGUCCCUUGGCAUUAAGACUUGGUUGAAGCCUUGGAAGAUUAGUGGAACUCUCAACUUGUGUUUGAAUCUUGAGGAGAGUGGACGUAAGCCAAAAUUUUGUCAAACCAUUAAACAAAUUGAGUUUGAAUCCUCAUUUCUUGAUUUCUUAUUUAUUUGCUUUUUCUUAUUAUUACUUGAAUUGUCAUUUGCAUUCAUUAAUGUUAAAAUUGGUUAUAAUUAACCAACACUAAUUCUCUUUCCCCUUCCCUUUCUUGGGUGUAAACCUAGGUUGGAUUAACUAGAUUAAUUUAUAAAAUCUAUUAAGAUGGUAAAAGAAUAAUUAUUCUUAACACACAUAAGAUCAUCUUCAAUCAAAUGACUCAUUGGCUAAUAUGUUGAAUUUGCUUAUUACUUGCAACUCAAAAUUGUGUUCUAGUUGAUAUGUCAAGUCCCCAGUGUAUGGACAUUAAAUUUGUAGUACGUGAUGGUAAUUAGAUGGUCCAACUCCAAGAAAGUGAUUGAAAACUAGUUCAAGAAAGGUGCAAAAGGGAAUUGUUUUGGUAUUUUCGUUUUUAUUCUUGAAGGUGGCAGAGCUAAAAUUUGUGAAAUCAAGCAAAACAUACUGAAAUUACAUUGAAAGAAAGAAAAUGGGAGUUAAUGUCUUGCAGUAGAUGAUAAGGACUUCAUGCAUGUAGUAUGACCCAUGUCUUGGACUGAUGCCAACUCACGGUUACACUUAUACCCUUGGUUCUCUCUUUACUACCUUGGCUAACCUAGAUCAGGCUAUGAGAUAGGCUCCUCACCACACCAUUACUUGCCCAUUAAUUAGAGACAUUUUCAAGCACUGAGGUAACAUGGUGACACCAAGAGGGUUUAUUCCUCGCCCUCCUCGCCCUCAACAAGUCUAGACUUGGUCUCAAAAAAAUGGAGAAAAAUGAGGUGUCGUUAUGUAGAAAUACAACAACCAUGCCUUCCUCAUUACUUUGAUUCAGAAUGUGAAGGUGAAAUUGAGAAACAGAAACUCUUGAAACCAAAAUGAAAAUUGAUACUUUUACGAAGAAUUACAACAACAUUGGAGGAAGACUACAUUCUUCCUCUUUAUUCCUACAUUUCUACACUACUUCUACUCCACUCCAUAUUUCUACAUACAUCUUUAAUCAGUCUUCCCUCCUUUAUAUAGAGCCAUCUUCACACAAAUUCCGCAAGGUAGAAAAGAGGAAUGAAACUUGGAGCAAGGUUCGACUACUGGCUGUAGCUUGUCAAGGCUGGAAGUGAACCUUUUUUCUUGGCUUUUCUGGGCAUGGGUAGUAACUUGUGGGUUCCUUUUUGGGAUACAAAUGGCUAGAACAUGUGGCACUAUCUUGUUGGAUGAUGUGUCAAGCAUGUGGCAGCCAUCUAGUGGCGAUUAUGUCAAUUUUGGGAUGGAGAGUUGGCAUCCAAUUGCAAAGAAAUAUGACGUCUACCAACAGGCAAUGUAAACCUAUGUAGAUCAUAUGAAGAUAGAGAGGAAAAAUAUAGAAAUGGAUAUAUACCUAGAACUAGCUUUUUAUUAAAUGAAACGGAGAGCCAACAAUGAAGGAAAAUAAAUUUUUUUGGCUUAUAUCAAAGAGUUCACAUUGUGCUACCCUAGGUUUUCUUAAAACUUACUUUUAUGAUAACAAAAAAAAAAAAAAACAUUAUUGUUUAAUCCUUUGUUUUAAACGCAUGUUUAGCAAGUUAUAAAAUGUAAAAAUCUUUCUAAGUUCAAAUAUGAAGAUAUGACAUCAUUUCAAGCAAGAUAGUCUCUAGGAAUUAAUGUAAAGCUAAAUUAAGGUGAAAUUAAAUUAGUUCAAUGCAUUAAUUUAAGAAACUUGACCUAUCAAAAGUACAAAAUUAGAUGAAAUCCAUUUCAAUGGUUAAAAUGAUCAAAAUCAAACUUUUUCUAAGUAUUUUUUAAAAGUAUCAAUAUUGAAAGACAAUUUUAUAUUUAGUCAGAGUUUGGACAAAACCAAAAAGCACACAAAAUCCAAGCGACCAUCUCUAGCUUGGAUGGUCGCUUGAUCUCUAGCUUGUGUACUUGGAAAGCAACAUCGAGAUGAUAUAUAUAUAUAUAUAUAUUUUAUAUAAUAUUGUUUGUCCAAAUUCCCUAAAAAUUAGGCCACCACAUGUUCAUAAUUCUCCCUUCUUGAAUUUGAAAACUCGGACAAUUGGACAAUGCGACACCUAAGUCCGGUUUCUAAAUGCUAAAGUGAAAGGGUAGGUAUGGACCAUUGAAAUGUGAUCACAACUUUUCUCUGUAGCCAUGUUGUCUCUUUUUUCUUUUGCAUGAUUUUCUCACCUUAACAGAAUCAUAGACUUGUUUAAUCUCUAAAUGGGAUUAAUUUCAUCCAGCUUUAAGCUACUAUAUUAUAUCUAGGUGGAGGACUUUUAAGAGUGCAACCGACAUAGAGCACAUGCAAGUGGGUAUAUGGGACAUGAAAUUUCUUCUUAUAAAGAUUGCAUGAUUUUUAUAUUAGAGUUGUUGGGGCGCAAUGUAUGUAGCUUGUUUUGCAGUUAAAUUAAUUGGAUAAGUAGACAUUGGCGUUUCUAAAUCUACUGUGAAGUGCUUCAUGUACGUGUGAAGUAUUAGAAAUUUCUUUCUUGGCAACUUGUUUUUUCUUUGCGGUCUACUGAUAGGUUUGACUAAAAUUAUAUUCCCUGUCAUGCUAAUUAAUUUUCACGUGCAUGCUCAAAAGAAGAGUAUGACCUUAGUGCACCAAAAUCACUUUGAUUAAUUUGUGAUAGGUUUUUGUGCAUCAUGACAUUAGCCUUAUUCAUUUAGAUAAUGUUUAGUUUUUAGAAAGUAUUAAGAAAAGGAAAAUAAAUAUUAAGAAAAAUAUUCUUAUAUUUGAUUGUAUUAUGAAAAAUGUCAUAAAAAAAUCAAAUAUAAUUUAAAUUAAUUAAUAAUUUAUACAUUUUCAAAUUAUUUAAUCUUUAUAUUGAAGAUAUAAUAUAAAUGAAAUGAGUUUUAAGUAUUAUAUAAAAGUGAUUUAUUGAUCUUGCAUAUAUGUAUUUCUUUUUUUUUUCUUCUAUUUUUUUUCUUUAUUUUAUUUUCCUUAUGUUUUCCUCAACAUUUUCCGGAACCAAACAUAGCCUUAGGAAAUCCACAAUUACCUUCAACUGAGUAUAUUCGGUUGUUUUAGCAAUGUUAGGCUGCUAACUUGUGUUGGUACGAACCUGUUAAGCCUAAAGAUGUAAUUAGUUAGGAUAUUCUUUUCCCUCUAGUCUUGUAGCUCCACGUGUAUAGUUGGUUAGGACCUCAUUGUAUAUAAUGCCUGCCCUGUUAUUGUUGAAGACAACAGAGAUAAAUAAUAUUAACAUUUUUCCUCUCAUCUCUCUUUGUUUCCCUCUGUUUUCAUCUCCUCUCUCAUCUUGGUAUCAGAGCCUCCAUGGAUUCUUUCAAAGAAACCUCCGAAUCACCUUCUGCUAGCAUUGUUAAUGUGCAAAACCCAUUAUCUCAGUCAAACAACCUUCCUUCACCAGCAGCCACACCCUCUUUUUCUUUCUUGUCUAUGAAUCAACCUCUCACAGUGAAGCUGGAUAAUGGAAACUACCUCAUCUGGAAGAAUUAGCUUCUGAAUGUCAUCAUUGCGAACAGACUCGAUGAUUUCAUUUAUGGAACUCGACCCUGCCCUCCUUGAUUUCUCAAUCUGCAACAACAAACCCUCACUCCAGAGUACUCGGUCUAGCAGAGAUACAAUCGACUUCUAAUGAGUUGGCUGUACGCAUCCUUGUCCGAAGAUAUAAUGACUCAGAUUGUUGGGUAUUCAACAACUGUGGAGAUUUGGAACGUCCUUAAUCAGAUUUACUCUGCCUCUUCAAUGGCGUGGGUUACCGAGCUUCACACCAAGCUUCAAACGCUCAAGAAAGAUGGACUCUCAGUUGGUGAAUAUAUUCAAAGGCUCAAAUCCAUUUGCAAUAGUCUUGCAGCAAUAGGAGAACUAGUUUCUGAGAAAGACCAGCUUAUCUAUUUGUUCAAUGGAUUAUAUUGUGAGUAUAAUUCUUUUGUUACCUCCAUUCAAAAUCGAUCUGACCAACCAACUAUUGAGCAAAUCCAUAGCCUAUUGCUUAGCUAUGACUUUCGGCUUGAACAACAAAACUCUGUUUCUCUCCAUUAUGCCCAAGUCCGUAUGGCUCAUCUGAACAAGAAACCUUAUAAAUCAACUCCUCAACCUACAUUCAAUCAUAUUCACAUUCAACCUAGAUACUCUUCUCCACCUUUUAAGCCAACCACUAGUCAAUAUCAACCCAGGAUUUUGGGCAAACCACAACCACAACCAUGACAGCCUCAACCUCAAUGGAAACCACAUUUUUCAAUCCAGAAUCAAAAGCCUCAGUGCCAAAUUUGUGGUAAAUUUGGACACACUGCUCUUAUUUGCUUCCAUUGCACAAAUUUGAACUAUUCACCCCAACCUUCUCCUAAAUCUUUCAAUACUGUUCUCACCACAAAUUCCCAGCUCCCUAAUCCUCCAAAAUUUUCUUACCCUACAAUGGCUCAUCCUGCUGCUACGCAUAACACGAUUCCUGAUACAAAUUGGUACAUGGACUCAGGUGCUACACAUCACUUUACUCCGGACAUCAACAUGCUUGACACUGUGACACCAUUUAGUGGUUUAGAACAGGUGACAGUUGGGAAUGGUAAGCAACUCUGUAUCUCACAUCUUGGUACUGCAAAACUACCAUCCUCGUAUUCUCCUCUUGUUCUACAUCAGGUAUAUCACACUCCAAAAAUUUCAAAUAAUCUUAUUAGUGUUAGAAAAUUGUGUUCUGAUAAUAAAGUUUUUGUUGAAUUUUAUGCCACUCAUUUUCUUAUCAAAGAUCAAGUUUCGAAGAGAGUUCUCUUUCAAGGUCAACUUGAUAAUGGCUUAUACAAAGUUCAGUCGUCAUGCUCUCCUUCUACUAUUUCCUUUCAUCCUCAAGUUUUCAUAGCCAACAUCAAGGAUCAAAAUUUGUGGCACAAGAGACUAGGCCACCCAGCUUUAUCUGUUAUUAAUCAAAUCUUGGAUUCUUGUAACAUUGCUCGAACACAGAAAAUUGGUUUUAAUUUUUGUAGUUCUUGUCAAUUAGCAAAAAGCCACAGGCUUCCUUUUUCUCUGUCUCCAUCCAUUGCAGAAAAACCUUUUGAGUUAAUUCAUACAGACCUAUGGGGUCUUUCUCCUGUUCGCUCUAUUUCUGGUGCUCGUUAUUUUUUACUUUUCAUUGAUGAUCAUACUCGUUUUACUUGGUUUUAUUUGCUCAAAACAAAAGAUGAAGCAUAUCCUACUUUUCUCAAGUUUCAAGCUCUCAUUGAAAAUCAAUUUAAUACCAAGAUUAAGGUUGUCCAAUCUGAUUGGGGAGGUGAGUUUCGAUCUCUCUCCAUACUGUUUUCAAAUAUGGGCAUUGUCUAUCGUUUAUCAUGUCCAUACACCUCACAACAGAAUGAGUGGGUUGAGCGAAAAAAUCACCAUGCGGUUGAAAUGGGAUUGUCCUUUCUUGCUCGCUCGGGUAUGCCCUUAUCUUAUUGGCCUUAUGCCUUUCAAACUGCCACUUACCUUAUUAAUCGUCUCUCUACCCCUGUGCUGCACCAUCAAUCCCCUUACUUCGCACUCUAUCACAAAUUCCCAGCUUAUACUCAUCUUAAGGUCUUUGUUCCUCUUGUUUUCCAUAUUUACGCCCUUAUAAUACCCAUAAACUCCAAUACAGGUCACUGGAGUGUGCUUUUCUUGGUUGCAGUUCACACCACAAAGGUUAUCUAUGUCUUGACAUUCAUUCUAGCAGGGUGUAUAUUUCUCGCCAUGUGAUUUUUAAUGAAGAUUCUUUUACAUUCAAGAAUUUGAAAUCUUCUCUCUCUUAGUCUAUUUCUUCUUCCUCUUCUUUAUUAGUUCCUCUGUUCAUUUCCUUGCCUCCCCUCUCCCCAUAUCCUCCUAUUUCUCCAUCUAUAUCUCAUUCUUUUCUCUCUUCUUCUUCUACCUCUAGUACUUGUUCCCCUCUCGUUGCUCCUACCUCUCUUCCUCCCUCUUCACACUUUGUGUCCCAUCUAUUCCACCUCCUUCUCCACCUUCUUCGAGUGUGGACCUGCUUGUACCUUGUGUGAAUACAAAUUUACUUACUUUUUCUCGCACUCACAAUAUUCAUCCUAUGGUGACCAGAUCUAAGGGUUUGUAUCUAUAAACCUAAGUUGCUAUUGAGUGUCUCCAUAGGUUCUCUCACUAAGCCUACUUCCUUUCUUCAAGCUAUUAAAGAUCCUUCAUGGAAGCAAGCCAUGGAAUUGGAGUUUGCUGCCCUUCAACACAACAAGACCUGGCAUCUAGUUCAUUCACCUUCCUCAGGCAAAGUAAUUGGUUGUAAAUGGGUCUAUAAGAUAAAGCUUUAGCCUGAUGGCUAAUUGAGAGAUACAAGGCCCGCUUAGUAGCUUAGGGUUAUCAUCAAACUGAAGGUAUUGACUACUUCGAAACAUUCAGCCUGGUUGUCAAGCCUUCUACUACCGUAUUGUGCUCAGUCUUACUUUUUCCCAGAAUUGGUGUAUUAGACAGCUGGAUGUUCAUAAUGCCUUCUUACAUGGUGACUUAGCUGAAGACGUUUUCAUGGAACAACCACCUGGAUUUGUUGAUCCUCUCUAUCCUACUCAUGUCUGCAAGUUGGAUAAGUCUCUCUACGGUCUUAAUAGUCACCUCGGGCUUGGUAUACUAAGCUGAGUACUUCUCUACUACACUUGGGAUUUGUUACUUCUAAGAAUGACUCUUCCUUAUUUAUUUGUCAUUCGUCUCAUGGGUUACUUCUUGUUCUUGUCUAUGUGGAUGAUAUAAUCGUCACUGGGAGCCACUCUCCUCAAGUUACUCACCUUAUCCAAUAGUUGCAUCAUCAGUUUUCUUUAAAGGAUCUUGGUCAUUUACACUAUUUUCUGGGCUUGGAGGUUCAUCACACCCCUACUGGUAUUCACCUCAGCCAAGCAAAGUAUAUCACUGAUCUCCUUACCCGGGCGGCUAUGUUGGAUGCCAAGCCAUGUCCCACUCCUAUGUCCUCCAACACAUAUCUUUCUCUUCAUGAUGGAGUGGCUCUUGAAAAUGGUUCAGAUUAUUGAAGUUUUGUUGGUGCCCUUUAGUAUUGUACCAUGACACGCCCAGAUAUAGCUUUUGCAGUAAAUAAAGUGUGUCAAUUCAUGCACCAUCCCUCUGAUGUUCACUGGCAGGCUAUAAAACGUAUUCUCCAGUACUUAAAGGGCACAUCUCAUUUUGGUCUCUUCCUACAGCCUUCCUAUGACUUCAACAUCACUUGCUAUACAGAUGCCGACUGGGCUUCCUGCCUUGAUGACAAGUGUAGCACCAGUGGCUACUGCCUCUUUCUUGCCUCUAAUCUGGUUUCUUGGUCAUCUUCCAAACAAAAAGUGGUCUCCCGCUCCAGCGCCAAAUCAGAGUACCGAGGGGUAGCAAAUGGGGCUGCUGAAAUUGCUUGGACUGAAUCUCUUCUUUGUGAACUUUCCACCCACUCGACCUCCCCUCAUUGUCUGUGACAAUAUCAGUGCCACAUACUUAGCUGUCAAUCCUAUUUUGCAUGCCCGCACCAAAACAUGUGGAAAUCGACUAUCACUUUGUCUCGGAACGUGUUCUUCAACGCUCUCUCUCUCUCCAGUUUACACCUUCGGAUGAUCAACUUGCUGAUUGCAUGACCAAGCCUCUCUCCACCCAACGUUUCAUCACUCUACGCUCCAAGCUCACUGUUCUCACUAGACCAAUGAGCUUGAGGGGGGAUGUUAAGCCUAAAGAUGUAAUUAGUUAGGAUAUUCUUUUCCCUCUAGUCUUGUAGCUCCACGUGUACAGUUGGUUAGGACCUCAUUGUAUAUAAUGCCUGCCCUGUUAUUGUAGAAGACAACAGAGAUAAAUAAUAUUAACAUUUUUCCUCUCAUCUCUCUCUCUGUUUCCCUCUGUUUUCAUCUCCUCUCUCAUCUGAACCAAAUGAUCCAUGUUAACCUUGGCUUGGUUUGAUUUGGCUCUAUCUUAGAGAGCUCAAGGAUCACGUCAACUCUGGUUUCUACUAUUCAGGUCCAUUCCCAUAUGAACUGGUUCAAAUUUGAGAAAAUGGUAACAGACCUUUAGUGAUGUUGGUUUGGAGCCAGUUGCCAAACCCGCCCUGAGCUUUACCACUAAUGUCAAGGGAGAAAGCCUUUUGAACAAAAACAAUAGCUUCAAGAGACUGAAUCGUGGAUGAAAUCUGAUCCACAUUUCUUCUCAUUUUGGAAACAAAUGAGAACUUAACUAAGAAGAUUCUACGGCCUCAUAGUGCUUUUCCUGAUCUAAGGUUGGUUCGUUUCCCAAAUUGUGAGAUGCACGGGCCAGACUUCAGAACUCUCACGCUCAGGAGUGUAUCCACGUGGUGGACAUAAGAUGGUGGCUUAAGAUCUGGUGUCGGUGGCUUUACUUUACUAGGAGAGUAGUGUGUCUUCAUCUCAUUCACUGCCGGAGGGUGGCGUAAGCAGUGACGCUAAGGUGGGGCAUAGUCAAUAUCAUUUGCAUUUGACCAUUAUAGUUUUCUCCCGGCUUGAAAGUAACCUUAUCGUGAUAAAGGAUUACUAGCACUAGUUCAGAUGACAGUCAUGUUAAAUUCGGACCAUGUUUGUGUCACAUUAUCAGCAACCAUGUGUUUAUGGUUCAUGCUUUCUGCAACUGAAAUUGAAAUUGAUAUAUAACCAGGUGAACUUCAAUCUAAAUUCUGGAAGUACUCAUGUGAGCGAUGGUGCCCAUCUGCAGAGUCCAUCAAUUGAAAAAUGGAGUGAGUGUAUCUAUAAGAGGGAAGGCUUGGCAAAUGUCCAGUUUUCUGGGAAUUCAACAAGGAUCUAAAAUAGAUUGUUUUCUUUGCUGAUUUCAAUGGUUGAAAUUUGAGAAGAUUGUGUCCCACAUAACACAACUAUUACUGGUCCUUCUGUUGCAAUUUAUCCUCUAAGGCUCUAGCAUGUCUUCCAAUUCCCACUUCCCUGUUACUCCAGGAAAGCUAUUUCUGUCAUUGUGAAGAAGAAAAGAGAAUGUAGAUAUCGAUGCUUUUAAGUGACUGGAGCAUUCAUAUCAGGUGGUCUGCAGCCAUAUAUGCCACUUUGUGAAGAUUGGAACAGUCAAUCACUAGGCUAUAUAUUAGUGUGGCCCAGCCACUUUAAUCAAGGACAAUUCUUCAUACUUAAAAGUCAAAUUCUGCCUUUAGUCUCAUUAUAAAUUGCUGUUUAAAUAUUAAGCAAACAUUUGUUUAAUGCGAUUAAGACAGUACUAACUCAAUACUUGUUCUAUUUUUGGAUGGAAAUGCUUGAUGGUUUCAUCAUUGGAUGGGAUAAAGGUGCAUUCAUGAUUAUGAAUACUUGUAGUUAUAUUUUCAUUCUCUUUUUUCUCAAUGAGACUUGUUGGCACAAUUUUUCUGUUCAGAAACCUACCUCUCCAUGGAAAAUAAGUUGUGAUUGAUAGUACUGGAUAUAUUCAAGAAAGCUAAAUAUAGAUAGCACAAAAUAUUAUCGACAUAAAUAGCAUUAACAGCGUACGUAUGUCUCAGUGCUCAUCAGCCAUAAGCAUGGGGCAAACACUUACGAUGAGCAACUUACGUCAAAAUUCCAGAAUAGGACAUAGAAGUGACAGAUCUAUAUAUAUAGAACACUGCAUAAGAGUCACAAGAAAGGAAAUUACGGGUGCAUAGCAGCUCUUAUUUCACAUACUACUCAUACUGAUCAAAGUCACUCAGUUGGGAUGGGUGGGAGUAGGAGGUUUGUGGGGUGGCUUGUGCGGAGGAGUUGGCAGCUUCUUUCCAGGACCUGGUGGCUUCUCUCCCUUAGGUGGUUUGCCAACUGGGGUUGGUGGCUUGUAUGAGUCUUCAGCAUUCUCUGCAGGAGGGUGACCAGGGUUGUGACCAUAAUGUGGUGGCUUCUCUCCCUUAGGUGGUUUGCCAACUGGGGUUGGUGGCUUGUGUUCUGGGAGUGGCUUCUCCCCCUUGGGAGGUUUUUCCAAUGGGGUUGGUUUGUGUUCAGGAGGUGGCUUCUCCACUGGAGGCUUGUGUUCAGGAGGUGGCUUCUCCACCGGAGGCUUGUGUUCAGGAGGUGGCUUCUCCACCGGAGGCUUAUGCUCUGGUGGUGGCUUCUCCACCGGAGGCUUAUGCUCUGGUGGUGGCUUCUCGAAUGGGGGAUGCUUAGGGUAAUCAGCAAGUGAGGGGGCGGUGAGAACCACCAGGCCAAGCAAGACCACUAGCAAGUAUGUAGGAGACAUCUUUGGGUUUAGACUCAGAUGGUGCAAAACUAGGAGAAUUGUCUUUUAUAGCGGAUCGCACCCAAUAAUGAAAUGACACGUGUCUUUAUGACCCAUGUGUAAUGGGGUCGAUUUGGGUCCUACAGUGUUGAAAACUUCGACAUCCACUUUUGGCCUUUUGCUUUCUCUACAGCCGCCUUGCUUUUUCCCUCUUUCCUUUUGUUUUCCUCCUGCCCCAUUCUAUCAACUAAACACAAUUAUGUAGUUGUUUAAUUCUUAAAUGAGAUAUUAUCCGUCAAUCGUAUCAUAUUUUAUCAACAGAGAACGGAGUGCAAUGUGGCAAUCCAAAGAAAGAAGAUCCAUAAUGCAGCUGUAAUUUUAUCGUUUACUUUUAUCUCUUGGACCACUGCAUUUUUGUUAAGAGGUGCAAUAAUACACGUCUUUAUCUGCCAUUCAAUGUUUACAGUAAAGAGAGGGCACAAAACUCUUCACUGCUCUGCAUGUGUCCCAAAAAUGCAAUUGGACAAAUUAUGAUUUGCAUGCUAAAAAGAGGCAAAUGAGGUUAAUUCGCACCAUAAUUAUUUUGUUUUCUGGACCCCGGGGCCCUUUGGUUGGUUUGGGGGUCAGAAAAUGAACAUCAUAGGGGGUUUUUCCCUUAUGUGCAUUUGUAUCUGAUGGCUUUAACUCGCCUUGUUACUACAAAGAAAUUGUCACAUAUAGGAACUUAUUCCAGGCUGAGUAUCUCCGCAUAGACCCUAUAAAAGAAGACAAGUCAUAAUGAACAUCUAACCUUUGUUCAAUUUGAUUCAAUGCCCCAUUGUGUCCACCUCACAAAUCUGAAUUAUUAUAUCCAUUGAAUACAUAAAUUAAUGAAGAAAAUAUGAAACCCAAGAUACAUCUCUGCACAACCUCAACCCUGGUUGCUAUGUUUCCCUUCUAUUCACAUGAGGAUAUUGAUUACGGAAUAGGGAAACCUAGCAAGGGUUUACUCGGCUCUGGUUUGAUGCUAAUUGCCAAACUUGCAACAAGCCCUGAGUUUGAAGCUCACAGAAGAUGUUAUACAGGCAGGGAAAAACCUUCAGAGUUCGCUGCCAAAGAUAAUUAUUAAGGAGAUAUCACCAAGAGAAUUCCAAGGAGUCUGAAUCAAAGACAAAUUGGUCGUUCGUGGAGGUUCUUACUUUCUUUUGGGUAUAACUCACUGAGGGCACUGUCUUUUUUAUUUUCAUUUCACAUUUAGAGUUCUGUUCUGGAAACAUAUAAAAGGAGCAUCAGUUUGUUCUUGGGUAACCCAUAGUCGUGAGUGGGUCCAUUUGCAUGCUACUUAGUUGAAAAGUUGGACCAUUUGCUCCGACGCCUACCUCCUGGAUUCCAUGCUCGGAUAAAACAAGAAUAAAAAAAUAUUUAUAAUUUACAAAUGGGGGAAAGAAAAAAAUGUCAACAACAAACUAGGAAAAAAGAGUAGUAAAAUUCAUGUCACAUGCUAGUGAGAGAAGGGGUUGUUACACUCACUCGAAGUUCUUUUCAAAAUAUCGCAUGGUAUUUUAUUUUAUGUGUGAGCGCAGUUGUGAAUGGAACGUGCAAAAGUCCAAAUUGGUGACCUUUAAUAAAUAUUUAAAACAAAAAACGAAAAAAAGGAGGGAAAAGGGAUCAGAAAAGAUAAAACAAUGUGUACAAAAGCUCAAUUAGUUUGCAAAUUACUGUUUGGAUUUUGAUAGUAUUUUAUUUGAUGUAAAAGAGAAUUUAAGAUAUUUCCGAAACAAAAGCAUUAGUUUGCUCCAUGUCAAUUUCGGCAUUUCUCAUAUGUUUCACACAUACACAGAAGAGCAUCGUUUUUUAAAGCAUGCAUUUAUGUUGGAUUAAUUUGGAUUUUGUGGGAACUGGGGCAAGGAUCACAUGGAAGAGAGGUUGACUUUUUUCAGUACUUCAAUGGUUGAGACAGGUGAAGGCCUGAUUGAUACUGAAGCCUGAAAUUGCGACUCCGUCAUUUGUCAAAACAUAUGACAGCUUCCAUGCUCUCGUUUGGUUGCAUUGUUCUGUGGUCAUGCAUACAUGCCACUUAGUGAUCAGUCUGUAACUGUCAAUCAUUGGGCUUUGACUGAACAACAUCAGCCAUGUAUAAAUACUUGCAAAUCAAACGGUCUUCUUCCUCCCAUAAGGAAUUUCGGUUUAAUUAUGAAGCAUGCAUUUGGCUGACCAUCAUAAACCACUUCUUUAAAUUGAUGAAUGAUAGUUUUUCAUUCAUUCUUUCAUUCGUUCAUAUACAGAGUAUAUAUAGAGGGUAAUCAUCAUUCUAAGAAUGGGAAAGAAUGAUACAAGGAAAUAAUGAUAUAAAGAAAUAACAACUAAUAUUCUAAUAUCUCAACUUUCCUAAUAUCUAAACAUUCCUAAUAUCUCAACACUAAAUGAUAUAAAGAAAGAAUGAUAUAAGGAAAGCAUUCCUAAUAUCUCAACACUCCUCCUCAAGUUGGUGCAUAGAUGUCAAACAUGUCCAACUUGUCUAAAAAUUUUGAGAACAGUUGACUUGAGACAUCUUUGGUGAGGAUAUCGGUCAAUUGAUCUUCUGAUCGAAUCUUAGGCAAUUCCACAAUCUUAUCAUCCAACUUUUCCUUAAUGAAAAAUCUAUCCAUCUCGACAUGCUUUGUACGAUCAUGUUGUACUAGAUUAUGAGCAAUGUCACAUGCUGCUUUAUUGUCACAAAACAAUCGGAUUGGUUGCCUAGAUAGGUAACCUAAAUCCUAUAAGAGGAGUCUUAGCCAUAAUGCCUCACAAAGUCCUAAAGUCAUACCUCUAAAUUCCGCUUCUGCACUUGAACGAGCGACGACAUUUUGCUUCUUACUUUUCCAUGUCACAAGAUUACCACCUACAAAGGUAAAGUAACCAGAUGUAGAUCGCCUAUCAUCCACUGCACCGACCCAAACAGCAUUAUACUUCUAUACUCUGAUGAUCAACAUUUUUAGCGAACAAAAUUCCCUUCCUAGGAGCAUUCUUCAAAUACCUCAAAAUACGCAUGACUACAUUCAUAUGUUGCUCUCCAGGAUUAUGCAUGUAUUGACUCACUACACUCAAUGUAUAAGCAAGAUCUAGUCUUGUAUGAGCUAAGUACAUUAAUCUCCCCACAAGUCUCUGGUAUCUUCCCUUAUCGAUUGAUACUUGAUUAGGCUCAACACACAAUUUCAGACCUUCUUCUAUUGGUGUAUUAAUAGGUUGACAUCCCGACAUUCCAGUUUCCUGUAGAAGAUCUAAGGCAUACUUUCUUUGAGACAGAAAAAUUCCUUCACUUGAUCGAGAAACUUCAAUCCCAAGAAAGUAUUUCAGACGACCAAGAUCUUUCAUUUCAAAUUCUCUAGAUAGAUACUUUUGCAAAGCUUUUCUUUCUUCAGGAUCAUUUCCUGUAACUACAUGUCAUCCACAUAUAUCAUAAGUGUCGUAAUCUUACCAUGUUGCUUUUUCAAGAACAAAGUGUGAUUUGAAUUACUUUGAUGAUAGCCAAAAGCUCUCAUUGAUUUUGUGAACCUUCCAAACCAUGCUCUCGGGGAUUGCUUCAACCCAUACAAUGACUUCUUCAAUUCGCACACCUUCUGACAUUGCUUUUCUGACACCAUGCAUCCUGGUGGAAGAUCCAUAUAUACUUCUUCAGAUAAAUCGCCAUGCAGAAAGACAUUUUUUACAUCGAACUAUUGUAAUGGCCAAUCUAGGUUUGCAGCUAAAGACAAUAAUACUCGAACUGUGUUGAUCUUAGCUACAGGUGCAAAUGUCUCUGUGUAGUCAAUUCCAUAAGUUUGAAUGUACCCACUAGUCUUGCUUUAAAUCGUUCAAUACUACCAUCUGCCUUGUACUUCACAGUAUAGAUCCAACGACACCCAACUAGCUUCUUUCCUGGUGGACAUUCUACGAGUUCCCAUGUUUCAUUUUUCUGCAAUGAUUUCAUCUCUUCAUUCAUGGUUGCUUUCCACUUUGGAUCAGCUAAAGCUUCCUGCACACUAUUAGGAAUAGCUACAGUAGAUAAUUGAUUUACAAAUGACUUAUUUGAUUCAGACAAACCAUGGUGUGGACCCGCAUUUUUCACGUGCGCCUCUACUCGAUCGGCGAGACUCGCUUUCUAUUUGUGAAAAAUUAAUUUUAGAAAAGUUGGAGUCGCCACCUAUUUUAUUUUUAUUUUGAAGGGAAAAUAAAACAAGAAAGAAAAACCCUAAAAAGUGACUCCAUAGUUUUGGAAAAAGCAUGUCUUUGGGAAACCUGAGUCUAGGUCCGGGGAUCAUGUUACUUAUUGGGAAGGUACCUCUAGGAGGUAGCACCCCUCUAAGCCUUAUGAAGGUCUCUACUAACUAAAUUAAGGGAAGUGUGGCAAUAAAUCGAUUGAUCAUAGAUACCUAAGUAGACUAGGUGAUUUUAAAGUGUGGCAUGUCAAACACAAUCAAAUUGCAAUAAAGGAGAGUUAGGGCGCGUACCUGAACCGCUUCUCAAGCGCUAUCAUAAAACAUCAAUGGUUAAUUUAAAUAAUAUAUCAUCCAGCAUGUAUUUUAUUAGAAAUAAUCAAACAAUGAAACAUGUAUAUCAGAACACUCAAGCAUUAUUAGACAUAAGCAUUAUUUCACUAUUCACAGAAUUCAGAAAGUAGGUGAUAGAGGACAUACCUGGAUAGCAUAGAUAAUUUGUAAUGUGCUUCCUCAAGUUGUAAGGGGUUAGAUAACAAAUAAUAAAAUAUAGAAAUCCUAGCAUGCUCGUUAUCUAAUUAGCAUAGCAAAAGUGAUCACAGUAUACAGAAUCAUCAAUUAUCACAUACAUCUUGUAUAUAAUUCCUAAAAAAAAUAGAUAGACAUGAUUUCAACAAGUGUCAAAUGUGGCAACAAAAAUAAAUUUUGAAAAGAUUUUCUUAUGUAGGGGUUUCACCAAUUCCCCAAAUUAAUAUACACGAAUUUAGCUUAGAAUUAUCCCAUUUAUUUGGGACUACAAGCUUUGAUUCGUGUUUUUGUUCAAAACCAAAAAUUUUUGUUGAAAAUCAAGAAGGAUGCGAACCGAACAAGAUAUGGUUGCAUAUUAUUUUUAAAUAAAUAAAUAAAUAAAUAAAGGAGAUUUUGAUCCUGAGGACUUUAAUGAGUUUUUUUUUUUAAAAUAGAUUUUUAAAAUGAUUUUUUUGAGAAAAGUAUUUUAUUUUAAAAUAAAAGGGAUUAAUUUGGGAAAAAAAUAAAAUAUAAGAAAUAAAAUACCAAACAAAACAAAAAUGAAACCUCAAAGUAAAAUUUUUUUAGUAAUUAACAAAAAUGAUAAUGGUGAUGGUAGAGGGCAAUCUUCAUGAUUUUCCAAUGGCCUCAGAAAGAAAAUCAAAUUAAAUGAAGGAUCACUAACAGGCAAGACAUUCUAAAUUAGACAAACUAACAAAGUAUCAAUUCAUGAACUAACCGCUAGGAUUUUGAAAGCAUAUAAGCUAAGAUAAGGGUGAUCAGGAACUAAUAUUAAUGAUUUUGAAAUAAAAACUAAAAAAAAGGAUCAAUUCGGGUAAGGAACUAAAAUUAUAAAAGUACCUAAACUAAUUAUGACGAGUUUGACUAAAUUAAACUAAAAACAUGAACUUUCAAACAUAGAAUUAAUUUUACUAAUGAACCAAAGCAAACUAAAAAUAUGUACUUUCAAGCAUAGAAUUAAUUUUAUUGAUGAACUAAACUAUAACAAAUAUCUAAACUAAAUAUAAUGAAUCAAAUUAAAUUAAAGCAACUUAAAAACGCAAACUUUCAAACAUAGAAUCAAUUUUAUCAAUGAAUUAAAACUAUAAAUGUAUUUGAACUAAAUAGAUGAAUCAAACUAAAUCAGAGCAAAAUUAAAAAAAAAAAAGAACUUUCUAACAUGAAAUCAAUUUUAUCAACAAAUAAAUGAAUGAAUAACAAGUAAUUAAAAGAAUAGCUACUACAUGAAUAACUGAAUGAAUAAAAUUCAAAUGUUUUCAAUCUGAAGCAAUCAAUCAAAAUUAAAUAGGGAUCAAAUCAAAAUAAUCGAAAUCGGAAAAACAAUAUGCAAUCUUUCUAAAGGUUUAACCAGACAAUUGAAUUAAAAUUAUGAAUAGAAUAAAUUAAUAAACCAAAUCGAAACCUAAAUUGUACCUAAAAAGAUUAAUUAAUUAAACUAAGAAAUCAAAAUCAAUAACAAAACUAAACUAAGGAGUAAAUUAAGACAAGACUAAUUAAAUUAAACUCACAAACACGUUUUAACUAUCAUAUGGAUUAAAACAAAAUUAGCAUGGACUUAUGAAUUACGAACAAAAAUAAUCAAAACUAUUUUAAAAAACUCACCUCUAUUAUAAGAAAAAAUCUGCCUUUGAUGCGUUGAGGUGGCUCCCCUCUCUGUGUGGAUCUCUCUGCUCCCCAGAAAAAAAAUGUCUCUUCCUCCGUUCUCUUUUGUUUCAGCAAAAUAAUAUAUCCCCUGCUGUGGAUCUCUCUACUCCCAGAAAAUAAUAUAUUCUCUCCGUGUCCUAAAGUGGACCUAGGGUGCCUAAGUGGACCUAGGGUGCCUAAAUGGGCCUAGGGUGCCUAAAUGGGCCAAGUGUAUCUAAAUAGGCUUAGGGUGCCUAAGUGGGCCUAAGUCUAAGUGAGCCUAAGUCUAAAUCAAGACUACCAAGGAUCAUAAUAAGGGGUUAGGCAAUCCCUUAACCAAAGUCUCCAAGGUGGCUAAAAAAAAGUAAGUAGUAUGAGUAGCUAUGGGUCACCAAGGAACUACUGUGGAGCAUUGAAAACGAAUUUAAAGACAUGUGCCAAAGGGACAAAAUUGAGGGUCUACAGAUGGUUAGACACAUAGUUGCUCAUGGGAUAUUUGACUUUGGUAAACAAUUCAGAUUCAUAUGUGGGUUUAGGAAUACCUUUAUUAUGACGGUGUGGUAAUCGUUUCAUGAAUGGAUCAGGUUGCAAAUUAAGAACACCCUCAGCAAACAACGAUUGGUUUGGUAUUUCAGUGAAGACAUCUUCGAACCCAAAUUGUUGACCACUCAUAUCCAACUCACCCGCUUCCUGGUUCACUAGUUCAGAUUGUCCAAAUUCAUCAUUCUCAUAGAUAUGAUAAUCAUAAUCGAGAGUCUGAAUUUCCUUAUGGUACUCCCCCUGAAGUUCAGACUUAGAUGAAAAAUACAUCGAAUAUUCAUGAAACAGCNNNNNNNNNNNNNNNNNNNNNNNNNNNNNNNNNNNNNNNNNNNNNNNNNNNNNNNNNNNNNNNNNNNNNNNNNNNNNNNNNNNNNNNNNNNNNNNNNNNNNNNNNNNNNNNNNNNNNNNNNNNNNNNNNNNNNNNNNNNNNNNNNNNNNNNNNNNNNNNNNNNNNNNNNNNNNNNNNNNNNNNNNNNNNNNNNNNNNNNNNNNNNNNNNNNNNNNNNNNNNNNNNNNNNNNNNNNNNNNNNNNNNNNNNNNNNNNNNNNNNNNNNNNNNNNNNNNNNNNNNNNNNNNNNNNNNNNNNNNNNNNNNNNNNNNNNNNNNNNNNNNNNNNNNNNNNNNNNNNNNNNNNNNNNNNNNNNNNNNNNNNNNNNNNNNNNNNNNNNNNNNNNNNNNNNNNNNNNNNNNNNNNNNNNNNNNNNNNNNNNNNNNNNNNNNNNNNNNNNNNNNNNNNNNNNNNNNNNNNNNNNNNNNNNNNNNNNNNNNNNNNNNNNNNNNNNNNNNNNNNNNNNNNNNNNNNNNNNNNNNNNNNNNNNNNNNNNNNNNNNNNNNNNNNNNNNNNNNNNNNNNNNNNNNNNNNNNNNNNNNNNNNNNNNNNNNNNNNNNNNNNNNNNNNNNNNNNNNNNNNNNNNNNNNNNNNNNNNNNNNNNNNNNNNNNNNNNNNNNNNNNNNNNNNNNNNNNNNNNNNNNNNNNNNNNNNNNNNNNNNNNNNNNNNNNNNNNNNNNNNNNNNNNNNNNNNNNNNNNNNNNNNNNNNNNNNNNNNNNNNNNNNNNNNNNNNNNNNNNNNNNNNNNNNNNNNNNNNNNNNNNNNNNNNNNNNNNNNNNNNNNNNNNNNNNNNNNNNNNNNNNNNNNNNNNNNNNNNNNNNNNNNNNNNNNNNNNNNNNNNNNNNNNNNNNNNNNNNNNNNNNNNNNNNNNNNNNNNNNNNNNNNNNNNNNNNNNNNNNNNNNNNNNNNNNNNNNNNNNNNNNNNNNNNNNNNNNNNNNNNNNNNNNNNNNNNNNNNNNNNNNNNNNNNNNNNNNNNNNNNNNNNNNNNNNNNNNNNNNNNNNNNNNNNNNNNNNNNNNNNNNNNNNNNNNNNNNNNNNNNNNNNNNNNNNNNNNNNNNNNNNNNNNNNNNNNNNNNNNNNNNNNNNNNNNNNNNNNNNNNNNNNNNNNNNNNNNNNNNNNNNNNNNNNNNNNNNNNNNNNNNNNNNNNNNNNNNNNNNNNNNNNNNNNNNNNNNNNNNNNNNNNNNNNNNNNNNNNNNNNNNNNNNNNNNNNNNNNNNNNNNNNNNNNNNNNNNNNNNNNNNNNNNNNNNNNNNNNNNNNNNNNNNNNNNNNNNNNNNNNNNNNNNNNNNNNNNNNNNNNNNNNNNNNNNNNNNNNNNNNNNNNNNNNNNNNNNNNNNNNNNNNNNNNNNNNNNNNNNNNNNNNNNNNNNNNNNNNNNNNNNNNNNNNNNNNNNNNNNNNNNNNNNNNNNNNNNNNNNNNNNNNNNNNNNNNNNNNNNNNNNNNNNNNNNNNNNNNNNNNNNNNNNNNNNNNNNNNAACCAAAGGAAGCAUGUUCCAGACGUCGAUGCCACAACCAAAUUUCAGACUUUUUCUUCUCCUCCUUAGAUCCAUCUGCCAUCAAGGCUUGUUGCAACUUAUUUGAAUCCUUUGAUUGCAAGUCCAAGUAUAGAGUUUCCCCCGCUUAAUACGACAACCAAUCGUCUGUCUUGUUUGAAUGUCCUUAAUCACACAAAAUUCAGGCCAAAAAAUGACAAUACAAGAUAAGGCUGCAGUGAUUUGAGAAACUAACAAAAGAUUGUAAUCUAAAGAUGGAACAACUAAAACAGAAUCCAAAUUCAAAGUAUCAGUAAGAGUUAAGGAUCCUUCCCCAAUGACUGGGGUUGUGUUACCAUUGGCUGUGGAAACAAUUUUUUGUGAGGAAGGUCUAAGGGGUGAAACCUGUCUAGAAUCAAAAGUCAUAUGAUCUGUAGCACCAGAAUCAAUUAUCCAUGCACUAUUAAUAACAGGUGUAAAAGUAUUUAAAAACUUACCACAAUGAUCUGUAGCGGCUACUAAUGCAGAGACUUUCUCAACAACAUUAGUCUUUGUUUUUAUUUCGGUAACAGUUGCAAUCAAGGUUUUCUUGGAAUUCUUCUUCCGUUGAUCACGAUUAUUAUCAUUAAUAACAAAGUGUUGAUAGCCUAAACAUGAUCUAAAGGUCCAUGGUGCAAACCCUCGGUUCCUCAUUGUUUUCCUGGUCAUACCAAGAGUUGUUGCUUUGAAAUUGUGGGAUAUCCAGACUGGUGGGAUCAGUUUUAUUGCAGUGAGUGCAUUUGAAUGUUGACUUAUCAAUAUUAGGGCUUGUCUUCGGAUGGUUGAUUGCUGUUGGACUACCAUAGCGACAAAAUAUCCAGGAUUUCAAUUCCAGGGCUCUGAUACCAUCUUCAAAUUGAUGAAUGAUAGUUUUUCAUUCAUUCUUUCAUGUACAGAGUAUAUAUAGAGGGUAAUCACCAUUCUAAGAAUGGGAAAGAAUGAUACGAGGAAAUAAUGAUAUAAGGAAAUAAUAACUAAUAUCCUAAUAUCUCAACUUUCCUAAUAUCUCAAUAUUCCUAAUAUCUCAACUUUCCUAAUAUCUAAACAUUCAUAAUAUCUCAACACUAAAUGAUACAAGGAAAGAAUGAUAUAAGGAAAACAUUCCUAAUAUCUCAACACCACUUCAUGAUAUAUAUAGUUUCUUACCCUUAAUCAAUGGUUUCUAAGUGAAUUUAUAUAGAAAGAAAUCCAAACUGUAGACAGCAGUAUUGGUAACACUCAAUAUUCUGUAUAUAAUAGAAUAAAUAGCGUCACAGUGAUCGUCGCCUACAAGCAAGGUACAAAUACCACAAAGAGUGACCCACAUAGACAUUCCCCAACAAGAUGUAGUAGUGACUGACACAUAGCCACAAUUAACACGUAGAAAAGGAUAAGACCGGUGCACAGUAGCUCUUAUUUUACAUACUACUUAUGCCAACCAAAGUCACUCAGUUGGGAUGGGAGGGAGAUGGAGGUUUGUGCGGUGGCUUGUGGGGCGGAGUUGAUGGCUUCUUUCCAGGAGCUUCUGGCUUUUUCAUCGGAGCUGAAGGAGGCUCAAUCUUAUGAGGCGGCUUGUACGAGUCUUCUUUGCUCUCGAAAGGAGGGUGGCCAGGGUUGUGACCAUAAUGUGGUGGUUUCUCUCCCUUGGGAGGUUUACCAAUUGGGGUUGGUGGCUUGUGUUCUGGGAGUGGUUUCUCUCCCUUGGGAGGUUUAGUGGGUGACUUGUGUUCUGGAGGUGGCUUCUCCACCGAAGGCUUGUGCUCCGGUGGUGGCUUUUUGGUUGGAGGGGGCUUGGGGUAAUCAGCAAGAGAUGGGGUGGUGAGAACCACCAGUCCAAGGAACAACACUAGCAAGUAUGUGGGAGACAUUUUUGAGUUUGGGCUGAUCAGAUGAUGCAAAACUAAAGCAUUACGUGACCUUUUAUAGCAAGUAGCUCCCAAUACCUACUUGACACGUGUUACUGUGACCCAUAAAUAUUAUGGGGUCUAUUUGUGCCCUACCGGGUUGAAAACUUGGACAAUUGGGCAAGGACCCGCCUGACUAUGGAGGACUACUGAGGUGUGAUCACAGCUUUAGGAUUUUUCUUCCUCUGCAGCCGUCUUGCCGUUGGCAUGAUUUUCUUAAUCUCAAAUAAAGGCAUAGUUAUAGAGUUGUUUAAUCUCUAAAUGGGAUUUUAUAUAUCUUCAGAUAGCCAUUAAUACAUUUGAUGAAGAAAGAAAGACAAGUGCAUACAACAUGUAUACGACUAGCUUUCAUGGAGUUCAUUUAUGAUCAGUUUUCCUGUACAUGUAAACCAAGAUCAUAUAUGUUUUUGUUCCACAACAAUUUUGGAAUCUUGUUUAUCCGUUUUUAUCAUUAUAAUGUCACAUAGGCUGCCAACUUGGGCGCUAAAUUAAAGAUCCAGUUGGGCAAGUUCGUUUCAGAAUUUCAAUGGUGGAUUCAGGAAUUGUUUUAUAAGAUAUGCAAAAUAGUAGAGGGAUGAAUAGUGUUUCAUUAAGAAAAGAGCCCUGUAAAAAUAUUGUUUAAAGGUGCCAUAGAAACUAUAAUCAAUAAAUAACUUUUUUUCCCCAUGGGUGGUGUUUCUUGUGGGGAUCAGUGACUGGUUUGAGUCAACGCCGUGUCUCUUUAGUCCAGAAAUCAACUAUUUUAUGCAUUGAAUACAUCAACAAAGAAAAUAUGAAAGCCAAAUGACACCUCCCCCGCAAAAACUAAACCCUGGUUGCUAACUUUCUAUGUUUCAGUUCCAUUCACACAAGAAUAUUAGUUCAAGUUUGAGAAAAAUGGCGACUUACCUAGUGAUAACUCGGUCUUGGUUUGCGAUUUGACUUUAACGUCAUGGGUUGAAGCCUCCUACAAUCAUCGUGUAUGCUAGUUCAAAGCUCGUGGAAGAAGUUAUACAGGGAGGGAGAAACCUCCACAGCAAGCUCCAAAAGAGAAUUAUCACAUUGAAAGCUCCAGUUGAACACUGGGUGAAAGCCAUAACAAGAUUGGUUUUCUAUCGCUCUUUUAAGUAAUGGAAGAUUAUUAUCUCUGCUUGUCACUACAACCGUGCAUGCUGCUAGAUCUUUCUAGACACUUCAAACAGUGAAACCAAGUAUGAUUCUUUUUCUCUUGAGUGGGUCCACUUGCAUGCCAAUGAACGAGUUGAAAAGUUGGACAAUUGGCCACAGCGCGCACUUACCUUCUGGAACCGAAGGUCAGUGAAGUGGGGUUCCUUUUGGCCCCUUGUGUUUCUGUUCCAACCUACUCCAGGAACCGAAGUUCAGUGAAGUGGGGCUACUUUUGGCCUCUUGUGUUUCUGUUCCAACCAAACAAAAAUGGGAGGGAAAAAUAGCAUUAUGCUUGUGCUAAAGAUCAACGCAUGAUAGCUGAAUAAGGGAGAAAAAGGCAUUGCUAUCUCAAUUUCAUAAACUUGAUAAGUAGUGACAUUAAUAGUCUUCCUCAUAGAUGGAUACAUGGUUUUAUUUUAUUUAUUUAUUUUUAUUUUUUUGUUUUAUGUCAAUGCUAAUGAAUGAAGUGCAUUAGCUUGUUUUGUGACUAGAACUACAAAUGUCCAAAUUGGAGCUUCUCCAAUAUAUUUCUCAGUGAGUUAUUGAUUAGAACUCUUGGAUUGAGUUCCAAGAUUUGAAUCAGACCCCUCUAGCAGCUUCAGGGGUACGUAGCAACCUAUAGCAUAUUAAUGAAGACUUAGGAUUUAGACUUAGGAAUACAAAUUAAUAUGUACCUCAUGCUCUGACUAGCUUCCCUGCGUAUGCACAAAAUGGAGAUGACUCCCAAAAAAAUAGCAGAAUCGCCUUAGUAUGUUUUUGUGGUUAAGAUGAUUCUCCACUUUAUAUAUCCACAUUGGUUCAUUAUGCAAAUUAAUCAACUAAGCUAUUUUUAUUUUUUCUUAAAUGUGAAAUAGGAGCUCCAAAUUAACCUAACCAUUGGCCUGAUUGAAUUGAUUUCACUUGCAUAAUGUUAUAGUAGAAGUCCGUAAUUUGAAUUUUAUUUUUGCAAAAGGUAACGUAAAUGAAGCAUUGUAAUUAAAUUUAUUUGUAAUUACAAACUAAUUUUAUUUUAUUAAGAAUUAAUUUAAUUACUCAUUUAAAAUAAAAAUCAGUUAUACUUUUACCAAGAUGAUAAUAUUCAUAUUUUUCUAGUUAACAUAUAUAAAAUAGUACACUUUUUCAUAUAAAAAAAUAAUUUAUGAUUUAUUAUAAUGUUACUAUUCACAUUUUACUAAAUUGAUGGUACAUGAUAGUGAGAGAAGGGGGUGUCACACUCAGCUAAAGUUCUUUUCAAAAUAUUGCAUGGUGUUUAAUUUUAUGUGUCGGCGCGCGUGUGAAUGGAACCUGCAAAAGUCCAAAUUGGCGUUUCUCCAUUUUCCACAUAGGAUGGUGACGUUAAUAGACAAAGAUACAAUAUCUGUAGACAUUGCUUAAAAAUCGAUGUGAAGUAUUAGAAAUUACAGGGCACUGUACUGGGGGAGCGGCUGCCCCGCCAAAGGAGGAAGAAUGUAGCAAUUUCUUCUGUUAGCCAGGCCUUAGGAUUUAUGCAUGGGAUGCCUAAUAACAAACAGAGAAAAUAUACUUUUGGGGAAGGUAUCCAACAACAGACACCAUCAUUCAGAUGGUGGGAAGGUAUCCAACAGAUGCCAUCAUUCAGAUGGUAACAUAUAUAUACAUUUAUUAGUGAGUUUUUUUAAUACCUAUAAAAAAAAAUAUACACUUUGAUAUUGUGGCUGAAUCCAUUACAUACUCAACUAACCUUGCUCAUUAGGGAUUUGACUUAACAAGGGCAACGUUGCAGUACAAGCUCAAAACUUUAUGCAGGUGACAUUACAUUUGGUAAAGAAGAGGAAAAUAACGAAAGCCAUCCAUAAAAGCAAAAUUCCACAUGGGAUGAAAUUCACAAGCUUCAUUUACGAUAGAGUCGCAUCCAGGCAAUUAAUUCCACAUUAGACCGCCUGUUGACAUGUGUACCAAUCUUUUUUCAAAAAAUAUUUAUAAAUAAUUGAUACUCACAAAAAUAAUUUAAUAUUUAUAAAGGAUAAAAAAAUAUUUUCAAAUCUAUAACAAUUUAUAAAAUAUUAAUAAAAAAUUAUCUCUUAAACUUAGUAUAGUUUUAUCAGAUUAAACUUUUAUUUUGAACAAAUAAUUUUAAUCUAAGUUUUAAAUUCUAAAAUUAUUUCCUUAAAAUAAAAUUUUAAAAUUCAACACUUCAAUUGAAAUUGUCUUUUUAAAAAAUAUCUUCUUAUUUUAAUCCUUAUAAACUAUAGUUGAUUGAAAAUACUAUUGAAGUUCUCUCUUAAAAAAAAGUCUUAUUUUAAUCUUCAUAAAUUGCCCUUGAUUUGAAAAUAAAUUUUCAGUUAUCAUAUUUUAAAUAAUAUCUAUAUUUAAAAUACUCUAUUUAAAAAAAAAUGAACUAAUUUUAAUUAUAUUAUAUUUUAUUUUUUUAUAUAUUUUUAAUGAUAAACCAAACAUAGAAAAUCAUUUUUCUAAAUAUUUUAAAAUUUCUAAGCAACCAAACAUAAUCUUCAAAAUAAAAGGAAAAUAAGGAGGGACAUUUGAGAAAUGGCGAUUAAAAAAAAGUGUACAAAAGCUCAAUUAAUUUUCUUCUAGUCUUUUAUAUAAAAAAGUAAAGGAAUUGAAAAGUAUUGAUAUGUAAAUUAAUAUUUGGAUUUUAAUAGUAUUUUAUUUGUCUUUCUCUAUCUCAUGUAAAAGAGAAUUUAAGAUAUUUCCUAAAGCAAAGCAUUAGUUAUCUGCAAUCAGUGGUGAUCAUGCCCCAUGUCAAUUUCGGACCCAUAUCUUAAAACUGUAUAAUUUGCAUUCAAACAUUACUGAUUUCUCAGAUGUUUCAUACUCCACAGAAGAGCAUUGUUUGUGAAAGCAUGCAUUUAUGUUGGAUUUUGGAUGAUGUGGGAACUGGGGCAAGGAUCAUAUGGAAGAGUGGUCGAUUUUGUUCUGUACUUUAACAUUUGAAAUAGGAGAAGCUCGGGCAUUUGUGGGGCUUAAUUGAUUUUGAAGCCUGAAAUUGCGUUUCUGUCAUUUUGUAAAAAAUAUGGCAGAUUCCAUGCUCUCAUAUGUUUGGUCUGUGGCCAUGUAUAGAUGCCCCUUAGUGACCAGUUUGUAACUGUCAAUCAUAGUGUUUUGACUCUGGCUCAACAACAUCAGCCAUUGACGGAUUUUCAUACUUGCAAAUCAAAUAGUCUUCUUCCUCCCUUAGGAAUUUCGGUUUAAAUGUUAUUAAGCAUACAUUUGGCUGACAAUUAUUAACCACUUCAUGAUAUGGUUUCUUACCCUUAAUCAAUGGUUUCUAAGUGAAUAUAUGCAGAAGGAAAUCUGAACUGUAGACAGCAGUAUUGAUAACUCUCAAUAUUCUUUAUAUAAGAGAAUAAACAACGUCAUAGUGAUCGUCGCCUACAAGAAAGGUACAUUUCCCAACAAGAUGUAGUUGUGACUGGUACAUGGACGCAAUUAACUCGUACAAAAGAAUAAGACCAGUGCACGGCAGCUCUUAUUUUACAUGCUAAUUAUGCUAACCAAAGUCACUCAGUUGGGAUGGGAGGGAGAUGGAGGUUUGUGCGGUGGCUUGUGGGGCGGAGUUGGUGGCUUCUUUUCAGGAGCUUGUGGCUUUUUCGGAGCUGAAGGAGGCUCAAUCUUAUGAGGCGGCUUGUACGAGUCUUCUUUACUCUCGACAGGAGGGUGGCCAGGGUUGUGACCAUAAUGUGGUGGCUUCUCUCCCUUAGGUGGCUUGCCAACUGGGGUUGGUGGCUUGUGUUCAGGAAGUGGUUUCUCUCCCUUGGGAGGUUUACCAAUUGGGGUUGGUGGCUUGUGUUCUGGGAGUGGUUUCUCUCCCUUGGGAGGUUUAGUGGGUGACUUGUGUUCUGGAGGUGGCUUCUCCACCGGAGGCUUGUGCUCCGGUGGUGGCUUCUCCACCGGAGGCUUGUGCUCCGGUGGUGGCUUCUUGAUUGGAGGGGGCUUGGGGUAAUCAGCAAGAGAUGGGAUGGUGAGAACCACCACUCCAAGGAACAACACUAGCAAGUAUGUGGGAGACAUUUCUGAGUUUGAGCUGAUCAGAUGAUGCAAAACUAGAAGAAUUACGGGACCUUUUAUAGCAAGUAUCUCCCAAUACCCACAUGACACGUGUUACUAUGACCAUAAAUAUUAUAGGGUCCAUUUGUGCCCUACCGGGUUGAAAACUUGGACGCUUGGCCGAGGACACACCUGACUAUGGAGGACUAUUGACGUGUGAUCACAGCUUUUGGAUUUUUCUUCCUGUGCAGCUGUCUAGCGGUUGGCAUUAUUUUCUUAAUCUUAAAUAAAGGCAUAGUUAUAGAGUUGUUUAAUCUCUAAAUGGGAUUUUAUAUAUCUUCAGAUAGCCAUUAAUAUAUUUGAUGAAGAAAGACAAGUGCAUACAACAUGUAUACGGCUUGCUUCAAUCGAGUACAUUUAUGAUCAGUUUUCCUGUGCAAGUAAACCAGUUUUUUGUUCCACAACUAUUUUGGAAUCUUGUUUAUCAGUUUCUAUCAUUAUAAUGUCACAUAGGCUGCAAACUUGGGCACCCAAAGAUCUAGGUGGGCAAAUUUGUUUCAGACUUUCAAUGGUGGAUUCAGUAAUUGUUAAAAGGUGUUUCUUCAUUAAGGAAAGAGUCCGGUAAAAAUAUUGUUAAAAGGUGUCAUAGAAACUAUAAUAAAUAAAUAACUUCUUUUCCCCAUGGGUGGUGUUUCUUCUGGGGAUCAGUGACUGGUUAGGGUCACCCAAAAUGAGUCCAGAUUAAAAUUGGUUCGAGUCAAAGCAGUCUCUUUUGUCCAGAAAUCAACUAUUUUGCGCAUUGAAUGAAUCGAUAAAGAAAAAAUGAAAGCCAAAUCACACCUCCCCUGCAAAACCUAAACCCCGGUUGCUAACUUUCUAUGUUUCAGUCCUAUUCAUAUAGGAAUAUUGGUUCAAGUUUGAGAAAAAUGGCAACUUACCUAGGGUUUACUUGGUUUUGGUUUGCGACUAUUUACGCAACCAACCAUGAGUUUGACUUUAACGUCAUGGGUUGAAGCCUCCUACAAUCAUGUAUGAUAGUUCAAAGCUCGUGGAAGAAAUUAUACAGGAAGGAAGAAACCUCCAAAGCUAGCUCCAAAAGAGAAUUAUCACAUCGAUAGCUCCAGAGAUUCCCAAGGGAACUGAAUCAAAGACAAGUUCCUCACUUUUUCUUCUUUUGAGGCCAAAUAUGAACCAAGGAUCACACGACCUCAUUCAACUUCAUAAGUUUGAUUUCAUGCAGUUGAACACUGGGUGAAGGCCAUGACAAGAAUUGAUUAAAAAAUUCUACCACUCUUUUAAGUAAUGGAAGAUUAUUAUCUCUGAUUGGCACCACAACAGCACAUGCUGCUAGAUCUUUCUAGACACUCCAUGCAAUGAAAGCACAAUGGAUCUUGUAAUGAUAGAAACUAAGCCAUGCUACAGUACUAGAUGAGGGGGUAAAACUAGUAGACAUCUUUCUAGACACUCCAUGCAAUGAAAGCACAAUGGAUCUUGUAAUGAUAGAAACUAAGCCAUGCUACAGUACUAGAUGAGGUGGUAAAACUAGUAGACAUGGCUGGCAGUUGAUUACUACUCAAAAAGUACUCUUUUAUAGCUUGAAACUAACUGUUUUAAACACUUUUGAGUAGUAGUUAAUACCUUUUAACUUAAUUGGCACAUUAAGGAACCUAGCAAGGGUUACUAAUCAACAUUUGGCAAGUUUUGAUGUUUUUGGUAGCUAUUUGAUCAUUGAAACAAGCCAAGAAUGAGGGGGAAUUUUGUGAAGUCCAUGGCAAUGCAAGUUAAAGCUCAAAUACAUGAAGAAUCCAAGCUUUGGAGCACUUCAUAGCCCUUUGCCAAGCCAAUCAAAGAUGCAAGGAAGAAAACCAAAGGAAGAAAUCCAACAAUCAGCAUUUUGGCAUGGCUAUGUGAAAUUUCGCACACCAUGCGAAACCACAAGAGGCAGCCAAAGAAUUUCGCAUGGUAUGCGAAAUCUUCUUGUGCACUGACUCUGUUAGAUUUUUAUCUUCAGAUAUUUUGUGUAAUUUCCUAGUUUCUCCUUGUAACCAACUUAGAUAUUUUCUUUUAUAUCUUUUUUUAUAUUUUUUAGGUAACAUCAUAUAUAAGAGGAGAGACAUAAGGAGGAUAUGGAUGUUUUUCAUAGAACACUUGUAAAUUUUUGGUAGUAAGAAAUAUACAAAGCUUUUUGCUCUGCCUUACCUUCUCAAGGGAUGAGUGGCUAGGUUUUCUUGGAGUGAGGGAAGCUAGGUGAAGGACCUGAAUGCAAAGGUGGGAGUUUUCCUUACUUUAAAUGAAAGUAGUUGUUAAACAUUAAUGGUUUUUAUUUUAAGGUUUAGCUUUAAAUCCCUGAAAAACACCUUGAAUGGCCAAUACUUGGUAAGCUUUUUAGAUUCUAUGGAUGCUUAUUGCUAGAUCCAUGGAUGUCUAUUAGUUAUCAUUUACGAGCCAUUGGAAGGUGAUUCAAGGUGAGGGUCUUUAGUGUUUGAAGCCAUUAAUGGGAAGCAAUUACCAUUUUUUCAUGAAUCCUUUGGAUCAAAUCUUAAUUGCUAAAUAUAAAACCGGUUUCGAGAGAUAACCACCAUCCUUUAUGUUAUUAUCCCCAACGCGAGGAGAAGAUCCGAAAUCUUCCUUUUUAUCUAAGGAACCCGAUCCUAGUGACCUAAAGCUCCAAGAUACCUUUUCUUUGUAGUUAACUUCAUUUAUUGUUUUUGCUUAACUUAAAAUCAAUCUUUGCAACCACAAUUCCAUUUUCUUUAAAAGCUAAUUUUUAUAAGGAAAAACACCAUUUUAUUUCCUUCACUAAGUCAACUGUACGAUGAAAACCCAUCCCUGUGGACGAUCCUAGAGCCACUAUACUAUGUUAGCUAUGCUACCCUAGUGUGAGGUGAUUUAGGUUUUAUAAAUUUUUUUGAUAACACCCAUCUGAGCCAGAAUCAAAUGGCACGACUGAACCAGGGACGAAUCAAAUGACGCCGCUACCAAGGAUGGUGCCAAAGUACAUUGACAUGACUUUUGGUGAACACUUGUGAUCUUCACCACAAGUUUGGUGAUUUUUCUUUUACUAAUUUUUUUUAUUUUAGCUUAUCUUUUAUUUAGUUUUUAGUUAACCUUAAAUUUUUCCUAGAAUUGUAUUUCUUUUGUUUUCUUUGUUUUUGUUUCAGUGAUCUUUAGUUGUGCAUGCCCUAUUGGAUAAGAGAUAUUGAGGGAAUACUUGUGAAGAUUGAAACUCCUCGAGAAACUGAGUUAGAAGUGUGCUUGAACAUCAUGGAUGUUCCACCUGAAGACCAGAAUAGCCAACAUGGUUAAGAGGAUAAUUUCAACACAUACCGAUCCAUGAGGAACCGCAUACAUCCACCUUGUAUGAGUGCACCGUCAGGCAUAAUGCCUCCCACUGAGCAGCUAGUAAUCUGACCUCACAUUGUGCCACUCCUACCUACUUUCCAUGGGAUGGAGAGUGAGAAUCCCUACUCGCAUAUUAAGGAAUUCGAGGAGGUUUGUAAUACAUUCCAAGAAGGAGGAGCUUCAAUUGACUUGAUGAGGCUCAAGCUAUUUCCUUUCACUUUGAAGGAUAAGGCCAAGAUUUGGCUUAAUUCUUUAAGGCCAAGAAGUAUCCAAACUUGGAUUGAUUUGUAAGCCGAGUUUCUUAAGAAGUUCUUCCCUACCCAUAGGACCAAUGGUUUGAAAAGGCAAAAUUUGAACUUCUCAGUUAAAGAGAAUGAGAAAUUCUAUGAGUGUUGGGAGAGCUACAUGGAAGCUAUUAACGUUUGUCCUCACCAUGGCUUUGACACAUGGCUCUUAGUGAGCUAUUUUUACAAUGGUAUGUCUUCUUCAAUGAAGCAACUCCUAGAAACUAUGUGUGGAGGAGACUUCAUGAGUAAGAAUCCGGAGGAAGCCAUGGACUUUUUGAGUUAUGUGGCUGAAGUUUCAAGAGGAUGGGAUGAACCAAAUGCUAGAGAGGUGGGAAGAAUGAAGUCUCAACCUAAUGCUAAGGGUGAGAUGUAUGUUUUGAAUGAAGACAUUGACAUGAAAGCAAAGGUUGCAGCUAUGGCAAGGAGAUUGGAAGAGCUAGAAAUGAAGAACAUACAAAAAGUGCAAGCCAUUUCUGAGACAUCAAUGAAAGCUAUGCCUUGUUCCAUUUGUCAAUCUUAUAAGCACCUAGUGGAGGAGUGUCCUACAAUUCCAGCAGUGAGAGAGAUGUUUGGUGAUCAAGCAAAUGUUAUUGAUCAAUUCAAGCCUAAUAACAAUGCUUCAUAUGGCAACACCUACAAUUCAAAUUGGAGGAACCAUUCAAAUUUCUCUUGGAAACGAAAGCCACCUCAAUACACACAACCUACUCAAGCACCUUAGCAAUCCUCGAAUCUUGAACAAGCUAUUGUGAACCUUAGCAAGGUUGUGGGAGACUUUGUGGGAGAUCAGAAGUCCAUCAAUGCUCAACUGAAUCGGAGAAUUGACAGUGUGGAGAGUACAUUGAACAAAAGGAUGGAUGAGAUGUAAAAUGAUCUGUCUCAAAAGAUAGACAAUGUCCAAUACGUAAUCUCAAGGCUUACCAACCUCAACACAGUGUAAGAGAAAGGAAAGUUUCCUUCUCAACCUCAUCAAAAUCCUAAGGGUAUCCAUGAAGUAGAGGCUCAAGAGGGAGAAUCUUCAAAGGUGAGGGAAGUCAAAGUAGUUAUCACCUUGAAGAGUGGUAAAGAGGUUGAUCAACCCACAUCCAAGCCAAAGCAUAAUGAAGAGAGUGUAGCAGAAAAAGAAAAGAGAGGAAAAUAAAGGAAUUAGAAUAGAGAAAAAUACAAAGAAAGAUGACCAUGAGUCUAGUGUGGAUGAAGAGCCCGAGAGGAUGGUGAUCAAGGAAGAUAUGAUGAAGAAACACAUGCCUCCACCUUUCCCCUAAGCUUUGCAUGACAAAAAAAGAACCAAUAAUACAUCAGAAAAUUUUGAAGUAUUGAGGCAAGUGAAGGUCAAUAUCCCUUUGCUAGACAUGAUCAAACAAGUGUCGACAUAUGAAAAAUUCUUGAAGGACUUGUGCACUGUAAAGAGAGGGUUGAAUGUGAACAAGAAAGCUUUAUUGACCGAGCAAGUGAGUUCCAUCAUACAGUGCAAGUCCUAGUGAAGUACAAAGAUCCGGGUUGCCGUACCAUCUCAGUGAGUAUUGGAAGGACUUGUGUGGAGAAAGCUUUGUUGGACUUGGGAGCAAGUGUGAAUUUGCUAUCCUACUCUGUCUAUAAGCAGUUGGGAUUUGGAGAGUUGAAGCCAAUAUCCAUCACUCUAUCUCUAGCGGAUAGAUCAAUGAAGAUUCCAAGAGGGAUGAUCGAAGAUGUCCUGGUUCAAGUUAACAAAUUCUACUAUCCAGUAGAUUUUGUUGUUCUUGAUAUGGAUCCGGUUGUCAAAUGAACUAAUUAUGUUCCUAUCAUACUUGGAAGACCCUUCCUAGCUACAUCAAAUGCAAUCAUCAAUUGUAGGAAUGGAGUCAUGCAACUCACAUUUGUCAACAUGACAUUAGAGCUCAACAUCUUCCAUUUGUACAAGAAGCAUAUCCAUCAGGAGGAAAAAGAAGGUCUAGAGGAAGUGUGAAUGAUUGACACUUUAGUGGAAGAGCAUUGUGAUCGAGAAUGCAAAAAGAUUUAGUUGAGAAUUUUGGGGAUCUUGAUGAAAGGUUACUUGAACCCUCAGAUUUGCUUGCUACCCUACUCCAUUGGAAGAGAAGAGAAGAAAUUCUACCCUUAUUCAAUGAGGAGGAGACGCAAAGAGCUGCAAAGGAGAAACCCCCAAAACUUAUUCUUAAGCCACUACCCACAGAGUUGAAGUAUGUAUACUUGGAAGAAGACAAGAAGUGCCCUAUUGUUAUAUCUUCAACUCUUACCAUUCAUCAGGAGGAUUGUCUACUUGAAGUCCUUAGAAGAUGUAAGAAGACAAUAAGGUGGCUAAUUUCUUAUUUGAAAGGGAUCAGCCCUUUAGUCUGCACCCAUCAUAUUUACAUGGAGGAUGAAGCUAAGCUAAUUCAUCAACCUCAGAGAAGGUUGAACCCUCACAUGCAAGAGGUGGUUCGAGCUGAAGUUCUGAAGCUACUUCAGACCAGUAUUAUUUACCCCAUAUCAAAUAGCCCAUGGGUGAGUCCUACUCAAGUUGCGCCAAAGAAGUCUGGGAUCAUGGUGGUGCAAAAUGAUAAGGGAGAAGAUGUCUCUACACGCCUCACUACAGGUUGGAGGGUGUGUAUCAAUUACAGGAGGUUGAAUGCAGUGAUAAGAAAGGACCAUUUCUCAUUGCCCUUUAUUGAUCAGGUGCUUGAGAGGGUCUCUGGGCUUUUUUUUUUAUUGUUUCUUGGAUGGCUACUCCGGGUACUUUCAGAUAGAAAUUGAUGUUGAAAACCAAGAUAAGACCAUUUUCACAUGCCCAUUUGGAACCUAUGCAUAAAGGAGAAUGCCUUUCGGCUUAUGCAAUGCACCCGCAACUUUCCAAAGAUGCAUGUUAAGCAUUUUCAGUGAUAUGGUGGAGCGUAUUAUGGAAGUCUUUAUGGAUGAUAUCACCAUUUAUGGAAGUGCAUUUGAUGAAUGCUUGGUCAACUUAGAAGCUGUUCUGAACCGAUACAUUGAGAAAGACUUAGUGCUUAACUGGGAGAAGUGCCAUUUCAUGGUACACCAAGGGAUUGUCCUUGGGCACAUUAUCUCCAAGCAAGGCAUUGAAGUUGACAAAGCAAAGGUUGAACUCAUUGUUAAGUUGCCAUCCUCAACAAAUGUCAAAGGAGUAAGGCAAUUCUUUGGCCAUGUCGGGUUCUAUAGGAGGUUUAUCAAGGAUUUCUCUAAGCUUGCAAGGCCUCUUUGUGAAAUAUUGGUGAAUGAUGUUAAAUUCAUAUGGGAUGAUGGAUUUGAAAGGAGUUUUGAAGAAUUGAAGCUAUUUUUGACAACCGUACCAAUAGUGAGGGCUCCCAACUGGCAACUGCCCUUUGAAGUAAUGUGUGAUGUCAAUGAUUUUGCUAUAGGAUUUUUUCUUGGGCAAAGAGAAAAUGGAAAACCUUAUGUGAUCUACUAUGCGAGGAAGGCAUUGAAUGAGGCACAAAGAAACUACACAACCACCGAGAAAGAAUUGUUAGCUGUAGUUUUUGCCUUGGAUAAGUUUCGCGCUUACUUGGUGGGGUCCUUCAUCAUGGUUUUUACUGAUCACUUUGCUUUGAAGUAUCUGUUGACUAAGCAAGAUGCUAAAGCAAGGCUGAUUAGAUGGAUUCUCUUACUUCAAGAGUUCAAUCUCCAUAUCAAAGAUAAGAAAGGAGUGGAGAAUGUGGUAGCAGACCACAUUUCAAGGCUAGCUAUCGCACAUAAUUCCCAUGCUUUGCCCAUUAAUGACGAUUUUCUAGAGGGGUCUCUCAUGUUGGUGGAAGUUGUCCCUUGGUACGCUCACAUUGCUAACUACCUGGUCACGGGAAAAGUUCCAAGUGAGUGGAAAGCACAAGAUAAGAAGCACUUCUUUGCAAAAAUUCAUGCCUACUAUUGGGAAGAGCCAUUUCUAUUCAAGUAUUGUAUGGAUCAGAUAAUAAGGAAGUGCGUUCCUGAAGAAGAGCAACAGGGGAUCCUUAGUCAUUACCAUGAAAAUGCAUGUGGAGGCCACUUUGCUUAUCAAAAGACAGCCAUGAGGGUGUUGCAAUCGGGUUUCUGUUGGCCAUCACUUUUCAAAGAUGCCCACACCAUGUGCAAGAGUUGUGAUCGAUGCCAGAGGCUUGGGAAGUUGACACGCAGGAACAUGAUGCCUUUGAACCCCACUUUAAUAGUUGAUAUUUUUUAUGUUUGGGGCACUAACUUCAUGGGACCUUUCCCUAUGUCUUUUGGCUACUCUUACAUCUUGGUAGGAGUAGAUUAUGUUUCUAAGUGGGUUGAGGCAGUCCCAUGCAAACACAAUGACCAUAGAGUGGUUCUCAAGUUUCUUAAAGAGAAUAUCUUCUCAAGAUUUGGGGUGCCCAAAGCCAUAAUUAGUGAUGGGGGUACUCAUUUUUGCAACAAGCCUUUUGAAACUCUCCUAGCCAAGUAUGGGGUGAAGCAUAAGGUAGCUACACCUUACCACCCUCAAACUCAUGGACAAGUUGAGUUAGCAAACAGGGAGAUUAAAAACAUAUUGAUGAAGGUGGUGAACACAAACAGAAAAGAUUGGUCAGUCAAGCUUCUUAAUUCACUAUGGGCAUAUAGAACAACUUACAAGACCAUUCUCGGGAUGUCUCCUUAUCGCCUAGUUUAUGGCAAAGCAUGCCAUCUCCCUGUGGAAUUGGAAUACAAAGCUUGGUGGGCAAUCAAGAAGCUCAACAUGGAUUUGAGCAGAGCUGGGUUGAAGAGGUUCUUAGACCUUAAUGAGAUGGAGAAAUUGAGAAAUGAUGCCUACAUCAAUUCAAAAAUUGCAAAAGAAAAAUUGAAGAGGUGGCAUGAUCAGUUGAUUUCCCGCAAGGAUUUUCAAAAUGGACAAAGAGUCUUACUUUAUGACUCUAAACUCCACAUCUUUCCGGGCAAGCUGAAAUCAAGGUGGAUAGGUCAUUUUACCAUUCACCAAGUGCAUUCAAAUGGAGUAGUGGAACUACUCAACUCCAACAAUAUCGAGAACUUCAAAGUGAAUGGCCACCGUCUCAAGCCCUUUGUGGAGUCUUUUUCUCACAACAAGGAGAAAUUCAUCCUCCUUGAUCCACAUCAAGCUUAACAAGACCAAUUUUCUUGAUGGACUUAGUCUUUCUAAAGACUAUCGAGUCCAUAACUUUUUGUUUUAUUUUUUAUUUGAGAUUUUUUCGGUAUUGUUACUUGUUUUGUUUUUUAUUUUUCGUUUUAAUUUUAUUUGGUUUGAUUUAACUUAGGUUUUUGAUGAUCAAUUACAGGGGGGAUUUCAAAUAGAGGAAAAACCAAGAUAAUUCGCACACCCUACGAAAAUUUCGCAAGGCAUGCGAAAUUUAUGGCUUAUUUUGCAUGGGGUGAAAAUUUUCGUACAUCUUACGAACCAAUUUCGAACACUUUGCGAAAAUAAACCAACCCUGCGAAAUCAUUUCGAUUACUCUACGAAAUUUUCGUAGAGCAUGCGAAAAAUUUAGCACACCAAACACCAUUUCGCAUACUAUGCAAAAACCUAAGGGGUCUGCGAAACCAUUUCGCACCUCCAAAUCCAUUUCGCACAUUGUGCGAAAACCAAGAGGCGCUGUGCGAAAAUGAAAAGUCGCCCUGUCAUCCCUUUUUAAACCCCUCGAGCCCUAAAAUCUCCAUUUCGCAAGCACCCCUGUCCUUGCGAAUCCCUCAUUUUCCUCUACUACCUUGCAACCUCGUCCCUUUCCAUUUGAUAUUGUGCCCCGCGCACAUCUCAUUUCAGAGACUCGCACUCCGCGCCCCCUCAAAGCAUGGACUCGAGACCCACCUUCCAUUUCCGACGUGGCACGGACCCAAGGAGCCCUUUCUGCCCCUUCACUAAGACACACACCAAGGCAGAAAGCCUCCUUUGCUCAAGUGCCUAGUGAUUCUCCAUCUUAGGCCUCAGAGGCCUCGGAGGCCCCGUGGAUUCCACCUUCCGAGGGUAGAGCAGCCAUUGGUCCUUCCUCUUCUACUCCUUAGCGUAGAUACGAGACGAGGAGACCACCUACUACACAAGGGGCGACUACUUCGAGCCUUGAGAAUUCAGUACGAUGCCUUCCUGCCAAGAGGGUCAAGACUUCAGGUCCAAGUGAGUCAUCCAGAGCUUCAUAGCCUAAGCCUCCUGUAGAUUCCAAGGUUCCUACUGACAUAUCACCGGAGUCUAUUAUCAGAAGCCCGAUGCUCAUAGCACCGCCCAUUGAGGGCAACUCAGAUUAUAGAGCGAGAUCUUUCCACUUGGAGCUAUAUUUUGAUCAGGAGGCCAUACGACAGCAGCCUGAGCUCCGAGACUCUUAUGGCUUACUGCAGAGGUACCAUCUUGAGGAACUUAUGACUCCUCGUGAGUUUUUUUAUCCCAGAGUAGCACUAAACUUUUACCAGUCCAUGACUACUCGUGGCGUCCCGAGUCCUACCACGAUUCACUUCACCAUUGAUAGACGUCAUGGUAUCCUCAAGGCCAGACAUAUUACAGAGGCUCUACAAAUUCCUUUCGAGCUAGAGGAUCCAUCUGUUUUUCGCUAAUGGUCCCCAGUAUCUCAGAGGGACAUGGUCCGUAUUUUAUCUAGGGGAACAUCUACAGAUUCGAUCUUUCUACGGAAGGAGCUUCGACCUGGGAUGCUCCUCUUAGAUGUGGUGCUAUGCUCCAACCUCUUUCCCUUACAACAUUCGGUACAUAGGUGAUGAGCUAUUUUGGACGCUUUAUUCCGUAUAUCAGAGGGCUUCUACUUUGGCCCGCACCACUUGAUCAUGGUCUCCCUCAUCCACUUUGAGGAGAAGGUUCAUAGGAAGAAGCUUCAGAGGGUGGACACCAUUCCAUUACUAUUCCUGAGGUUACUUUGCCAGGUCUUGGAGUACAUGGGCUUUCCUACUGAGCCUCGGCUCGAGCUUUGCCGCCUUUGUCGAGAGUGAUCCACUCUCGACAAAUGGAAUUAGUUGGCGGGCUAUUCUGCACCUCCAGGAGCCCCUCCCAUGGUAGCACCUCCAAUGUCCCCACAGGCAAAGUAGGGCGAGCUCCCGGCAAAGACUGUACCACCAAUGCCCACACUUGAGGCUAUUUCUGCUGCUCUGCCUAUGACUCCUACUGUUCCACCAGUUGGUCCUUUUACAUCCGAGCCUUCCAUCACCAUCUCGGCUUCGGAGUUUCGCGCCCUUGUGCAUACCUUUCAGACACUCACCACCACACAUACUCCUCUCUUCUAGCAAAUGGUUGAGAUGUGUGCCCAUCAGGACCGGAAGACUACUAUACUCUGCCAAAUUCAGCAGCACCUAAGACUUUUGCCUCAACCUCAACCUAACCAUCCCAUAUCAUCAGAGCCUCUAGCUCCAACUGAGGAUACUAUUCCACCUGAGAACACUACCACAGUAGAGGUCCGGUUUCCACCACCUUAAGAGGCCACCACAGCUACAUCAGAGGAUGUGUCAUCUCCACUUGAGGCUCCCACUACUUGAUCAUAGGACAUAUCUUUAUCUUAUUGUAUUUACAUAUUAUAUUACUAGAGAUUUGUCCUUGUUUUGAUACUUUAUAUUCUGGGAUUGGAUGUAUUGCCUGAUGAUAUCUCAAUUGUACUUUCUCAUAUUAAUAUAUAGACAUCAAUUUUUUUUAGUAUACUUAGCAUUUUUCUAUUUCCUCUACUCAUUACUCUUUUGUUUUUUUUUACUCAUGUGGUUUCUCUUAUACAACUCAGACUCCAUUUCACUCAGGAGGUACCACUUCCUCCCUUUAUUUUCAAUUGCUCUUGAAAUAUUGAGUGCAAUGUUGAUCUUGGUUGGGGGGAGAGUUGAGGAAGGAAGUUUUGUUAAUAAUGCUAGGUUAAUUUGUUAAUUUAGUUACUUUCUGCUUAAUUUUAAAAGUUUUCACUCUACUUUCCAUGGUUAUUAAGGAAAAAUUCUCAAAAUGAAAUGGGAGAAAUCGAAUUCUUGCAUUUUUACUUGAAUCUUAGAAUUUGUAUCAUGCUUAUUAAAGUUGAUGAAUUAUUGAAACUCCUAUUGAAUUCAACCUUAUUUUUUCCACUUUAAUCUUACCACACACGGUGCACAUUAGGUUCCAGUUAUAAGAUAAAAAACUAUCUCACCCCCUAAACUUAGAAAAAUUUACACUUGGUACCUUUGACAUCGUUUUAAUAGUGUUGGGACACCUUAUAAAAGGCCAAUGAGCCUUUAAAAAAAAAAAAAAAAAAAAAAAGAGAAAGAACAAAGUAUUGCACUUGCCUUGAAACCUGAGCAAGAUCCGAGGGGUAUACAGUGAAAGUCUUUAAAACCUGGUGCCCUAAGCCUUGAUUGGUUGGGAGUCACCGACCUCAAUGCUCGUUAUAAGGGUGAAUAGGUGGAGUUUAACAUAUUGUAGGUGCUUGGGUAUUGAAUUUCAAUCUCAAAAGUCCGGGAAAAAAUCUAAGGAGUUAGUGGUCAAAAGAUCCUUAAAGCUUGAUGCCCUAAACCUUGAUUGGUUGAGAGUCAUUGAUGGAUCCCCGCUACAUGGACAUUUUAGAAAACAAUACCUUUAGCAUUGCACGCCUACAAUGAAAAAAAAAUGUGAAAUAAAAGAGGUGCGUUCUUAGCCUAUUGGAGGUUGGUCAGUUUGCUAAAGUUUGAGAAAUCUAGGUUGGGGGGAGAGAAUAGUCCGACAUACUAUAAUAAAAAACUAAUAACCUUAACACUUAGAUUUUUGUGGAAGAGUAAGGAUUGGACCUUUAGGGGUGGAAAUUCUUUUGAUGCUUAAAUUUGCAUAAUGCCUACUCUUUAUAAAUUAUGAUUAGGCAAGAGAUUUGAUGACUCUUGUUCAAAGUUGGGUUUUUCCUCUUUGAUGUUCCAUGAGAGAGUAUAAUCCUCAUCAUGCCACUUGAAAUCUUUUUGGAGUGAUUAACAUGAUUUUGUAAAUUAUUUUACUGUCUAUUUUUCUUUAUCUCUCUUUUAUUGCUAAUGGACUAGCAAUAUGUCAGUUGGGGGGAGUGAUUACUACUCAAAAAGUACUCUUUUAUAGCUUGAAACUAACUGUUUUAAACACUUUUGAGUAGGUGUUAAUACAUUUUAACUCAAUUGGCACAUUAAGGAACCUAACAAGGGUUACUAAUAAGUUUUUGGCAAGUUUUGGUGUUUUUGGUAGCUAUUUGAUCAUUGAAACAAGCCAAGAAUGAGGGAGAAUUUUGUGAAGUCCAUAGCAAUGCAAGUUAAAGCUCAAAUACAUGAAGAAUCCAAGCUUUGAAGCACUUCAUAGCCCUUUGCGAAGCCAAUCAGAGAUGCAAGGAAGAAAACCAGAGGAAAAAAUCCAACAACCAGCAUUUUCGCAUGGCUGUGCGAAAUUUUGCACACCAUGCGAAACCACAAGAAGUAGCCAAAGAAUUUUGCACACCAUGCGAAAUUUCGCAUGGUAUACGAAAUCUUCCUAUGCACCAACUCCGUUAUAUUUUUAUCUUCAGAUAUUUUGUGUAAUUUCCUAGUUUCUCCUUGUAACCAACCUAGAUAUUUUCUUUUAUAUCUUUUUUUUAUAUUUUUUAGGUAACAUCAUAUAUAGGGGGAGAGACAUAAGGAGGAUAUGGAUGUUUUUCAUAAAACACUUUUAAUUUUCUGGUAGUAAGAAAUAUACAAAGUUUUUUGCUCUGCCUUACCUUCUCAUUUUGUUUUCACCUAUCUUUCUAGCCAAACAACCUCUGAGAAUGAUUUCUCAGGGGAUGAGUAGUUAGGUUUUACGUUUCUUGGAGUGAGAGAAGCUAGGUGAAAGACCCAAAUGCUAAGGUGGGAGUUGUCCUUGCUUUAAAUGAAAGUAGUUGUUAAAUAUUAAUGGUUUUUAUUUUAAGGUUUAGCUUUAAAUCCCUUAAAAACACCUUGAAUGGCCAAUACUUGGUAAGCUUUUCGGAUUCUAUGGAUGCUUAUUGCUAGAUCCAUGGAUGUCAUUAGUUAUCAUUUAUGAGCCAUUGGAAGGUGGUUCAAGAUGAGAGUCUUUAGUGUUUGAAGCCAUUAAUGGGAAACAAUUACCAUUUUUUCAUGAAUCCUUUGGAUAAAAUCUUAAUUGCUAAAUAUAAAACUGGUUCGGGAGAUAACCAUCCUUUAUGUUAUUAUGCCCAAUGCAAGGAGAAGAUUUCGAAUCUUCUCAUUUGUCUAAGGAACCCGAUCCUAGUGACCUAAAGCUCCUAGAGACCUUUUCUUUGUAGUUAACUUCAUUUAUUGUUUUUGCUUAACUUAAAAUCAAUCUUUGCAACCACAAUUCCAUUUUCUUUAAAAGCUAAUUUUUAUAAGGAAAAGCACCAUUUUAUUUCCUUCACUAAGUCAACUGUAUGAUGAAAACCCAUCCCUGUGGACGAUCUUAGAGCCACUAUACUAUGUUAUCUAUGCUAUCCUAGUGUGAGGUGAUUUAGGUUUUAUAAAUUUUGUUGAUAACACCCGUCUGAGCCAGAAUCAAAUGGAACCACUGAACCAGGGACAAAUCAACAGCCUAUAUGGGAGGGACACAAGUUUAAUUGAUUUGCAUUUCAGCGUUAUAGAUAAGUAUGUUUUGGAAGAUUUGUUCUGGAAAUACUGCACCAAGUACGAUUCUUUUUCUCUUGAGUGAGUCCAUUUGCAUGCCAAUUAACGAGUUGAAAAGUAGGAGCACCUACCUCGUGCUCAUGGAACCGAAUGUCAGUGAAGUGGGGCUCCUUUUAGCCUCUUGUGUUUCUGUUCCAACCAAGGCGGCGUAGGGAAAAACAACAAUAUGUCUGUGCUAAAUAUCAACGCAUGAUAGAUGUUUUUUUUUUUUUUUUUGGUAUGUCAAGGCUAACGAAUGAAAUGCAUUAGCUUGUUUUGUGACUAUAACUGCAAAUGUCCAAAUUGGAGUAUCUCCAUUUCUCACUUCGGAUGGUUAACUUUAUAAACAAGAUAUAGGAAACAUGUGAACAUCUUGAGGAACAAUUCAAAUUAUUCAUUAGAAGUCCUGGGUUAAGUUCCAAGAUUUAAAUCAGACCCUUCUAGCAGCUUCAAGGGUACUUAGCAACCUAUAACAUAUUAAUGAAGAUUUAGGAUUUAGACUCCGGAAUACAAAUAAAUAUGUAUCUCAUGCUUUGACUAGCUUCCCUACAUAUGCAUAAAAUGGAGAUGACCCAAAAAAAAUAGCAGAAUCUAGCUUCCCUACAUAUGCACAAAAUGGAGAUGACCCAAAAAAUAGCAUAAUCGCCUUAGUUUCUGUGGUUAAGGUGAUUCUCCGCUUAAUAUCCACAUUGACUCAUUAUGCAAAAUCAACUGAGCUAAUUUUAUUUAUUUAUUUAAUGUCAAAUAGGAACUCCUAAUUAACUGAUUACUGUCGAAAAGUGCUAUUUUGUAGACCUAAUUAUAAGGGUUUUAAGCACCUUUGAGUAGUAAUCAUAUUCAUUUAACCUAAUUAAUUCAUUAAGCUCCUUAGUAAUUAGUUCUAACCAUUUUUAGUGGCAAGUUUACAUGUUUUUCAUCAGCUUAUGAACCAAUUCAAGCAUGCCAAUUGAUGGAGGAGCUACUUGGGCGAGUUAAGCAAGGAUUUUGGACGUUUACAGGCUUGAAUUUCAAGUGGAAACACGAGCACAAGCAAUGGGAACACCAUUUCGCAAGGGGAGGCAAUUCACCUUGCCAAAUGACCAAUUUCGCAAGGGGAUUUUCCUCAUGGUGCAAAAUUUGGUCAUUUCGCACCAUGAAGAAACCACCUUGCAAAAUUUCGCAAGGUGGAUUUAGGCACCUUGCGAAAUGCCAAAUUUCACAAGGUGGCUUUUCACCUUGCGAAAUUUGGACCUUUCAUCUUCCCCCCUUGCGAAAUGCCUUUGAAAUCCCCUGUUUUGAGACGCUGUUGAUGAUAUUCCACUGCCGGUUCUCCAAGAUAUUUUGCUUGACUUUUAGCUUUAUAAAUACCUAUUUUACCCUUGUAAUCAACCAAUGAAAAGGUUGCUUUUGUAAUAGCUCUUGUAAUUUAGCUUUUUAUUGUCUUUAAAUAGAGGUGAAGAGCCUCAGACACGAUCAUCUUGUAACCUGUAACUUUAUAAGUUAUAAGAGCACUUUUGUUCAUACGCUUCUUUUCUCUUUUCUUUCUCAUUUUCUUAGUAGCCAAACAUCCUUGGAGGAUGAAAUCCCCAAGGAUGAGAGGCUAAAACCUUUUAGUUUCUUGAAGUAAUGGAUGCCAUGUGAAGCUCCCGUGUCAGGAUGGAGAUUUCCAAGCCAUAAAUGUAAGUAGCUGAGCGUCAUAAAUGUUUUCAUUCAAAGUAAAGCUUUUAAUCCCUCUGACUUGCUUUGAAUGGCCAAUACUUGAUAACCUUUUGGUCUCAAUGGAUUCUUAUUGUUAGAUCCACUGACGUUCAUUAGUUAUCUCCUACGAGCCAUUGUAUUGCAAGUCGAGGAGAUGACCUAUACCAAUAAAAGAGCAUUUAUGAGGUUCAACUACCCUUUUUGUAAGUUUUCAAGGACUAAAACUCAGUUGUUAAACUCAUACCGGUUCGAGAAGUAAGCAUCACCUUAGUUGCUUCCCCAACUCGAGGUGAAAAGUCCCAAAAUCUCCAUUUUUACACAGUGAGUUAAGCAUGGCUAUCCAAAGCUUUAAGAAACUUCUUUUUCCAUCUUUUAACCUAUUUUCAUGUUAGUUUAGUUUACAACACCUUCAUCUUUUUAUGUUUUCAUCUUAACCUAAUUUUUAUUAAGAAAAGUUCACUCCAUCCUCCGAACUUCACCAGUUAAAGUAAAAACCCUUCCCAGUGUUCGAUCCUAGAGCCACUAUGCUAUAGUAGCUUUGCUACUUUAGUGUAAGGACCUUAGGUAUAAAUUUUGUUGAUACCCUUACAUGCCAAGCUACCAAGAGUCGGGUUAUCAUUAACCUAACCAUUGGCCUGUGUAAAUUGAUUUCACAUGCACAAUGUUGUAGUAGAAGUCCAUAUUUUGAAUUUUAUUUUUGUAAAGGUAAGGAAAAUGAAGCAUUGUGUAAUUAUAAAAAUAACUUCAUUGGAAUUCACAAGGUUCACCCAAAAUGGAGCUACAUCUGUAUUCUAUCCUACAGUAGACUAUAUAGAUUGUACAAUAGUAAAUUGCAAAUACAAUUAAUAAGUCUUGUGCUUCCUUACUAAUAAUCCUUUGACAUGAACAUUGCAGCACUAAGGUCCUCUUGGGAAGACACCUUGCACCCAUGAGAGCACUAAGAGGAAGCAAGGCAGAGUCAUGGGUGCAAUGUCAUGACUUGUUGUUGCACCAAGAGAGGCUUGGUGAUGCCAUGGUGUUGCAGUAGCAAGAAUGUUGCCUUGGCAGGGACACGAUCUAGGGAUAGAUGCCAAGAAAGGCUUAGCACUCACAUGAGUUGCACAAAGAUGAAUGUAAUAGAGCAUCAGAGAGACGUCUUGGCAAGUAAAUGAAUGGAUCCAAGAGACAACAACAUGAGGAGUUUCAAAUGGAUAAGGAAUGACUCAAAGACAUUUGAAAGCUACAAGUUGGAUUCUAAUUACGAUUGCAAUUUGAGUUUGAGUAGGAGUUUAGAUUUUGAUUGUAAUUGUAGUAUGAGUUGGACUAGGAUUGCUUAUCCUUAGUCAAUAUAGGAGCGGUUCGUGUCACCCUAUGAAAAGAGUUUGAGUAGGGACUAGGAUUGCUUACUCCUAGUCAAAUAUGGAGUAGGUGGUGCCACACCUAUAAAAAAAAGGGACAACAUGAGAGAGAGAGAGAGAGAGAAAGAGAGAGUGAAUUCACUAAAGAUAUUGUGGGAGUUUUGCUUUGUUACGUCUUGUAUUAUUACUUAGAAUAGGAAUAAAAUACAAGUUGGGGCUAGAGCCCCAUAAUUAAUCUCGUGUGCCUUUGUGGUUAUUCUUUAUUUGUCAUCUCGUGUGGAUUGGAUUAGGUUGACUUAGAGGGCUUCUAAGCACCACCUUUGUGGGUUAUUAUUUAUUUUCCAUCUCUUGUGGAUUAGAUUAGGUUGACUUAGAGGGCUUCUGAGCACCACCUUUGUGGGUUAUUAUUUAUUUUCCAUCUAUUGUGGAUUAGAUUAGGUUGACUUAGAGGGCUUUUAAGCACCACAUUUGUGGGUUAUUCUUUAUUUUCCAUAUCGUGUGGGUUGGAUUAGGUUGACAAGGAGAAAAAUUAUGUGGGAAAUUUGUGUUGGGACACUUACCAUAACCAAGUAAAAUCUACCAAGUCCUUUGUAAUAUCUUCAACAAAUAUUUUAGACUAGUUCUUUCAGUUAGUGUAAAGGAGGAAGAAGUGGUAUUGAUUCUAGAAAUAGGGUGUGUGUAUUUGAACUACAAUCCUUAUGAUCCUUAGGUCUCUAAACCUUCGUGAUGGGCUCCCUGACAUUUCAUAGGUUGUGCUACACAUGCGUUUGAAAUUUAGAGUGCGUUUGACAGUGAUUCCGGGAAGUGUUUUUGGCCUUUCUUACACUUGAAAAUUUUUAUUUUUCAAGUAUUAGAAAUGCUACAAACACUUUUGAAAAUUACUGUCAAACACACUCUUAGGAGCGCACAUAUAUAGUAGAAAACUAGAAAUUGUGGUUUUUUUAGGAUUUACUGUAAUGUCAUUAGGAGGGUAGUAAGUUGAAAUUGAGUAUGAACAAAUAUUUCUUUCUUUGGGAUGUUCUUCUAGUAGGUGCUGAUGAAACUGUUCUUUCUACUGCCAAUGUCACAUAUCAGCCAGAAAUUGAAAAUUUCAGUCAAGGUGUCCUCUGUUUUAGUGGUGAGGAAAGCUAGAAAUUUUAAGGUGAAGUUUUGUUAAAAACCUUAAGUAGCUGGGAUAUCAGGCCUGUUUUGCUUGAAAAAAAAAGUUGCAAGAUAACUCAUAUGCCAAACAGGUUCUGAUAUUGUGAAUCUAUCGGCAGACAUCAGUAAUCUCAUCUUCUGAGAUGGAUGUUGGGGGUGCAUGUGGUGGUGGAGGGGCAAGGUUUCAUUUGGUUUAUUUUGUUGAUGGAUAUUGUCUAGCCACCUGCGCCAAGUUUGAGGGGUGGUGGGUUGUGAUGACCCUACAAUUACUAUUAAUUUCUUCAUCUUUUACCGAUUAAAGUGUCCGAACAGUCGAAGUUACCCUUAUGCAUGUCAACUUGAUCACUUACCUCUUCAAUGGAGUUUAUGCUGGUUCAUUUAGGAACUGAUUUUUAUUGUUAUGUAUUAUAUGCUGAUGUUUAGGUCUCUCCAUCAUCACUAUAUACAAAAAUUCUAGGUUGAUACUAUAGGUUGAGAUUUAUUUUUUAAAUAAAAAAUAAUAAAAAUAAAAAUUAUGGUGAUGUUUAGUUGUUUUAUGGAAAAUUUUAACAAGUAAAAGUUAUUUUUGGGCAAGUUUUCAAACAAAAAGAAAAGUAAAAGUUGUUUUGACAAAAACAUAUAGAAAAAAAAAUCAUAGAAAAUAAAUAAUUUCCCCAUAUUCUAACUUUUUUGAAUUUUUCUCAAUGGGCAAAGGAAUAUCAAAUCAAGUUUGAGUAGGAUUUCUUAAUUUUUAAAAUAACUUACAAUUAAAAAAUUUUGGUGUUUUCAUUUUUGGACAAUUUUUUAUUAAGCAAAUGGACUCUGAGUCAUGCAAGAGAUAUGGUUCAUUAACCGGUCGAACAAUUUUUUUAAAUUAAUUUAAAAGUCAAAUACAUAAUCAAUUUCACAAAAUUUAUAAACAAAAAUAGGUUUAGAGAAGAUCUACACAUAAUUUUACUUUUCUAAUUUUAUUUUAUUUUAUUUUUUGUUGGAAAAUAGUCUUCAAAUCAUGUAAGAUUUAAUAGGUUAAAUUUGUUAACAAUAAAUUUUAAAUUAUAAAAUAUAAUCUGGAACUCAAAAAUCAAUUCAAGUAAUGCUAAAAAAAAAUCAAAUUUGGUAUAGAAUGACUUUGUAAAUUUUUUUACAAAACAAAUGAAUUUUAAAUCAAGUGAGAUUUAAUGCAUUAGAUUUUUAUCAAAUAUAGUAAUUUUAAAAAUAAAUUUGGAACUCAACAAUAGACACAAUAAAUACCAAAAAAUAAUGAACCAAAAUUGGUUUGGAAUAACUCCACAACCUUUUUUUUUUUUUUUUGGUGCACACGAAUUUUCUUACUAGGUAUAUUGCUUUCAAAUUGAGAAAGAUUUACCAUUUAGAUUUUUUUUUAAUGAGUUUAAUGGUAUUUUAAAAUAAUUCAAAAUUUAAAAAAUUGACUAAUUAAUAUUAUAAAUUGAUAAACCAAGACUAUUUCAAAAUGCAUUGGGGGCUAAGGGGGUUGAAAAUAGGGACAAUGGGAUGGGUUUGGGACAUGACACUCAUAUCUCAUUUCCAUUCCAAUUACACAGUUAUCUCCCAUCCUUAUCCCAAACUUGUGUUGGAGCAAGUUGAUUUGUUCCCAUCUUUGUUGACGAAAUGACUAAUAACCUCAUCCCCUCCUUAUCUUAGAUGUACAUUUUGUCAAAUUUGAUCAGGUAUGAUUGAUCCAAGCCCUAACCCUAAUUGGUAAUGAGUGAAUACUACACCUAAUUGCAUUCUUCUUUCAUUGCAAAAUAAUGAGAUUAUAAUAAUCUAGCAAAUAAGAAAAAAUAGUAUGGAAGUUCAAAUUAACACCAUAACUAUCAAUAAUUUUAAGCUUAUAGAUGACUUAAAUGAUUAAAAACUAAUGCAAAAUCCUAAAAAAAAUAAAAAUCAUAUAAAGAAUUCACAAGAGAACAGAAUGAACAAAAACCAAAUAUGAACAUGGGUCAACAUUAGUUAUGGAUUUGGAUUCCUUUCAAGGCCAAUCUUUGAACCAAGACUUCAUCAAAUCAACUACUUCAAAGGCUUUUGUGUUCUUCUUGGGUUGUGCUCUCAAACAAAGACUUCGAGGUGAUGUUCUAGAUGAUUGAAUUACACAUAUUUAGGGUGGAGAGAUUGGAGAAGCUUGAAGAUGCCAACGAUGGGUACAAUUGAGUGGUCAAUAAGAACAAUGUAGCCUAUGACUAGUUUGAUGUCAUGGUACAAGAGUUUUAGGCAUUGAGGUUAAAGCAAGAGCAACAUGGAAUUGAUUUCGGAGUCUUUCAGUUAGUGUAAAGGAGGAAGAAGUGGUGUUGAUUCUAGAAAUAGGGUUUUAAGUGGUGCGUGAUUACUACUCAAAAAGUGCUAUUUGAUAGCCUUUAAUUAAUCCUUUUUAACACUUUUGAGUAGUAGUUUAGGCCUUUUAACUCAAUUGGCAUGUUAAGGAUCCUUUAAAGCAAUUUUGAUCACUUUGUGCAAGUUUUGGUGUUUUUGUUAGUAUUUUGAUCACCAAAGCAAGUCAAGAAUGAGGAGAACUAUGAGGAAUCAUGGGCAAAGCUUAGAAUUCAAUUGCCAAGAGUGAAUCCGGAUUGCAAGGAGAAAAAGCAAAGAGAAUCUGUCAUGAAGCCUAUUCUUGAUGACAGUCGUAGCAGCCACUUUUGGAGCACUUUCUGAAGUCCAAAUGAUGCAAGCUAUAUACCAUUUCAAAGAUCAGGAAGUCAACAAUCCAAUGCUUCAAACGGUGCGCGAUUCGGAGUUGAAACGAAGAAGUUGCAGCCAUUACAAGCCAGUCACUCUAAAGUGUUGCGGAAUCAGCCUUUUGUUGCGAGAAUUUCGCAGCACUUUUGUACAGUAAGGUGUUUCUCCUUCUGACGAUGCACGAACCAUGCCGCGAGAGGGAAGCUAGGAACUUCAAGAUGGAAGCCAACUUUGCAGCCUGGUGAAGAUAGCUUGGUCUUGCGAAAUAAUUUCGCAGCCCUCUUGGGUGUCUGCGAAAUUUCGCAGGCACCACUUUUUUCCUGCGAAAUGGCUCCGGAAGCCUCCCGAAGCUUGCUACCGACAUUGGGAGAUAUUUUCCAUUAGAUUUUUGUUGUCUAAAUUCCAAAAUACUCCUUGUAAACCACCAAUUACAUGAUUCCUUAGUUUUUAAGUUAGUAAAAAGACCAAAUAUCUAUGUAAUAAUUAGUUUUAUAUUAGUUUGCUAUAAAUACCUCUCGGGAGCAUGUUCUCAGAGAGGAGUUCCUUCUGUAACCAUUUUGGUAAGCAAGUAAAGUCUUUUCUUUCUACUGCCUUACCUUCUCACUUUGUAUUUUCAUUUUAUUUCUAAGUUAUGAAUUCUCUGAGGAGCUUUCCCCAGAGAAUGAGUAACUAAACCUCCAAUUCCUUGGAGCUAAGGUUGCCGGGGAAGGUUCCAAGUGCAAGAAUGCAAAGCUCUGUGGUUUUAGCUAGUAAUGAAGAGGAAGUGAAAUCCUUUAGUGAUUUCAAUGUUUUUAGUUAACUUAAAACACCUUGGAGUCACCUGGGCCAACACUUGGUAAGGCAAGUGAUUUCCAACCGUGGAAAUGCACUAGUUUACCCCUUGCGAGCCUCUGGUAGGUGACUUCAAGGUAGGAUUUUCUGGAAUUACCAACACUUGGUAAGCUUUUGGACUCCUAGGAGACAUCCAUUAGUUAUCUCUUGCGAGUUUGUGAAGGGGAAUCCAAGGUUAAAGAUCACCUUGAAUGGUAAGUGCUCGUGAGAGGCAUGAACCAUUGCAAGUUGUAUCAGUGAGAGAAUUAAAGUGAAAUCUAAUUGAAGGAGUCUCUGUACAUCACCGGUUAGAGAAUUGACUAUAAGUUGAAUCUCUAAUGCGAGGAAAUGAACCAUCUGACCGGAGCUAUGUCUUUUGCAUGAGGAACCACCCCAGUGAACCUAAAUCUCCAAGGAAUGCUUUUCUUCCUAAAUUAUUCCAAACUUCUGUUAAGUUAGUUAGUUUAAGUCUAAACCUUUACCAAUCAAACUUUGUGUUUUAUUUCUUAAGCUAACCGUGAAAUGAAACAAAACCAAUUCACUUGGAAUUGGUAUCCUUGAUUGCUUGCAAAUCAUUCCCAGUGAACGAUCCUUAGAGCCACUAUACUAUAGUAGCUUUGUAUUUGCUACCCUAGUGUAUGGUGUUAUAGGUAUAAAUUUUGUUGAUCACUUCCUCAAUCAAGGAACACCAGCUGAACACAAAUCAGCUGAGACACCAAUUGGGCAUGAGUCAAAUGGCGCCGUUGCCGGGGAAUGAGUGUCAAGAUCAUUGUGAUACCAUUUUUGAGCACUUGUGAUUUUCAUCACAAGUUGGUAAAGUUUCUUUCACUUUACUAAUUUUCAUUCUCUCUUUGUUUAUUUACAAUCUAAGUUUAUCUUUUUAAAAUUUAGUCUAGUUUAAUUUUGCUAUUGUAGCCUUGUUUCUCUUGUUGUCCUCUGUUCUUGUUGUCCUCUGUUUUCAUUUUAGUUGCAGCUGAAUACUAGUUGUGUAUGCCAAAGUGGAUACGAGACAUUGGAGGUAGGCUUAUUAAGUGUGAUACACCUCAGAGAGGAGAAUUGGAAGUAAUCUUGAAUAUCAUGGAGGCUGCACCUGAAGAUCAGCAUAGUCACCAAGGUCGUCAAGACAAUCUCAAUGAAUUCAGAUCAAUGAGGGACCGUAUGCAUCCACCUCGUAUGAGUGCACCAUCAUGUAUAGUGCCCCCUACAGAGCAACUAGUGAUCAGACCAUAUCUUGUUCCACUUCUACCAACUUUCCAUGGGAUGGAAAGUGAGAAUCCGUAUGCACACAUCAAGGAAUUUGAAGAUGUUUGUAAUACAUUCCAAGAGGGAGGAGCUUCAAUUGAUUUGAUGAGGCUUAAGUUAUUUCCUUUUAAUUUAAAGGAUAAGGCCAAAAUUUGGCUUAAUUCUUUAAGGCCAAGGAGUAUCCGCUCUUGGACUGAUUUACAAGCUGAAUUCCUCAAGAAAUUUUUUCCUACUCAUAGAACAAAUGGCUUGAAAAGGCAAAUUUCAAACUUCUCAGCUAAAGAGAAUGAGAAAUUCUAUGAGUGUUGGGAAAGAUACAUGGAAGCUAUAAAUGCUUGUCCUCACCAUGGCUUUGAUACUUGGCUACUGGUGAGUUAUUUUUAUGAUGGUAUGUCCUCCUCAAUGAAGCAACUCCUCGAGAAAAUGUGUGGAGAAGAUUUCAUGAGCAAAAAUCCAGAGGAAGCUAUGGAUUUCUUGAGCUAUGUAGCUGAUGUUUCAAGGGGAUGGGAUGAACCAACUAAAGGAGAAGUGGGAAAGAUGAAGUCUCAGUUGAAUGCUUACAAUGCAAAGGCUGGGAUGUAUACUUUAAAAGAGGAUGAUGACAUGAAAGCAAAGUUGGCAGCUAUGACAAGAAGAUUGGAGGAGCUGGAGCUGAAAAGAAUGCAUGAAGUGCAAGCUGUUGCUGAAGCACCAGUGCAAGUGAAGUUGUGUCCCAAUUGUCAAUCGUUUGAACAUUUGGUAGAGGAAUGCCCUGCAAUUUCAGCUGAAAGGGAAAUGUAUAGAGAUCAAGCAAAUGUUGUUGGACAAUUCAGGCCCAAUAACAAUGCUCCUUAUGGAAAUACCUACAAUUCAAGUUGGAGGAAUCAUCCAAAUUUUUCAUGGAAGGCCAGAGCAACUCAAUACCAACAGCCGGAUCCACCAUCUCAACAAUCUUCAAGUAUUGAACAAAUAAUAGCUAAUCUCAGCAAGGUAGUGGGAGAUUUUGUGGGAAAGCAAGAAGCCACCAAUGCUCGAGUGGAUCAAAGAAUGGACAGAGUGGAUCAAAGAAUGGACAGAAUGGAGAGUAUGUUGAACAAAAGAAUGGAUGGAAUGCAAAAUGAUAUGAAUCAAAAAUUUGAUAACAUCCAAUAUUCAAUUUCAAGGCUUACAAAUUUGAAUACACUGCAAGAAAAGGGAAGAUUUCCUUCUCAACCUAACCAAAAUCCCAAAGGUGUCCAUGAAGUGGAAAGCCAUGAGGGAGAAUCAUCACAGGUGAAAGAUGUGAAAGCUUUGAUCACUCUAAGGAGUGGUAAGAAAAUUGAGCAGCCAACACCCAAGCCACAUGUUGAGAAAGAAGAAGAGAUGAAGAAAGGGAAGGAAAUGGAAGAUAAAGGCAGUGAGAUCAGUGAAGAAAAGAAGGACUCUGAUGCAACAAUGAAAGUAAUUCCAGAGAAGGAGCUUCUGAAGGAAGAAAUGCUGAAGAAAUCAACUUUUCCACCUUUUCCUCAAGCAUUACAGGGGAAAAAGGGGGUUAGAAAUGCAGCUGAAAUCCUAGAAGUAUUGAGGCAAGUGAAAGUUAAUAUUCCACUGCUGGAUAUGAUCAAACAAGUUCCAACGUAUGCAAAAUUCCUAAAGGACUUGUGUACUAUCAAAAGAGGGUUGACUGUAAACAAGAAAGCCUUCUUGACUGAGCAAGUAAGUGCAAUCUUACAGUGUAAGUCUCCUUUGAAGUACAAAGACCCUGGAAGUCCUACCAUUUCAGUCAUGAUUGGAGGAAAGGUAGUGGAGAAAGCCUUGCUAGACUUGGGAGCAAGUGUGAAUUUGCUUCCAUAUUCUGUCUACAAGCAACUGGGACUUGGAGAGUUGAAGCCAACAGCAAUCACUUUGUCUCUGGCAGAUAGAUCAGUGAAAAUUCCAAGAGGGGUAAUUGAGGAUGUAUUGGUUCAAGUAGAUAAUUUCUACUAUCCUGUAGAUUUUGUUGUUCUUGAUACAGAUCCUACUGUAAAGGAAGCUAAUUUAGUUCCUAUCAUCCUUGGAAGGCCAUUUCUUGCAACUUCAAAUGCAAUCAUCAACUGUAGAAAUGGGCUUAUGCAACUCACUUUUGGUAACAUGACACUGGAUCUAAAUAUUUUCUAUAUGUCUAAAAAGCAAAUCACUCCAGAAGAAGAAGAGGGUCCAGAAGAGCUAUGUAUUAUUGAUACUUUGGUGGAGGAGCACUGCAAUCAACAUAUGCAAGAUAAGUUGAAUGAAAGUUUUGUGGAUAUUGAGGAAGGUUUUUCUGAAUCUCCUAAUGGGCUUGCUACUCUACAAAGUUGGAGAAAGAUAGAAGGAAUUCUACCUUUGUUCAAUGAAGAAGAGGAGGCAGCUGUUGAAAAAGAAAUUCCAAAACUCAAUCUGAAGCCUUUACCUAUGGAGCUGAAAUAUACAUAUCUUGAAGAAAAUAAUCAAUGUCCUGUCGUAAUAUCUUCAUCUCAAACCAAGUCUCAAGUGAAGGAUGCAAGCUUCAAAUGGGAUCCGGGCAAACUGAAUCAGGAAGGGCAAAAAGUUUUGAUGUAUGACACAAGACUCCAUAUCUUUCCUGGGAAGCUCAAGUCAAGGUGGAUUGGUCCAUUUGUUAUUCACCGAGUAUAUUCCAAUGGAGUGGUGGACUUAUUGAAUUCCAAUGGCAAGGACAGCUUUAGAGUCAAUGGAUAUCGUCUUAAGCCGUUCAUGGAGUCAUUCAAAUCAGAAAAGGAGGCAAUCAACCUCCUUGAACCUCAAAAAGCCUAAGUGAAAUGGGUUUGCUGGACGUGGUUUUACCACAGUCCAAAAAUUUUUGUAAAUUUUGUAAAUUUUCAAGUUGUUUCCAUGCUUUUAAUCUUAGUUUUUGAUUUUAAAUCAUGUUUUUAGGUGUGUUUUAAUCGUUUUAUAUGAUCCCAGGCGGAAGAAAUUUCAAGGGGAUUGAAAAGAAAAAAAUCGGGUCGAAAUUGGAGCCGAAACAGAGCAAAAACAGGGGAAAAACAGAGCUCUGCGAAAUUUCGCAGGGUGAAGGAAACUUCUGCGAAAUUGGCAUUUUGCUGCCAAACCAUUCCGCAGCACUGUAGAAGCCUCUGCGAGUGUAUUUCGCAAUUGCGAAAGUGGAUUUGGCACACGAGUGCCACUUCGCAGCACAGUGACAUCAAUUUCGCAGCUGCGAAACUCACUGCGAAGUUGCUGCGAAAAUGGCAAGUUGCUGCGAAAUUGGCGUUUUGUUGCGAAACGUAAUCUGACCCCUGGGCUUCCGUUUUUCCUAUUUAUACCUGUCAAAAGUGCUGCGAAAAAGGUUUCAAAAAUUAGAGCACCAUUCUCGCAGCCCUUUCAUCUUCUUCGCCAAGCCACGCCGUCCGUUUCUCCGGUCGUCUUCUCCGUUUAGCAGCGCCGGCCAAAGAUCGAUAGCCCAAAAAUGGCACGAACGCGAGGGGCAAAGUCUUCAUCCCCUUCGAACCGCAAAAGGAGUCUGCGAAAGGAGCCAAGUUCAGGCUCUGUUCCAGAACCUGCUCCAAAGCCUUCGCCGUCGAGACCACAACCUUCUCCAGUGAAGCCGGCGCCACCAAAGCCGCCGGCAAGGCGAUAUUUAACCAGGUCAGGUGGUCAGCCAUUGAAGAAGAAAGCCAGAGUUGAGAGCUCUGAACCAAUCGAUUUGACUGAGCAAUCCCCUGAGAAAUCACCAAAUCCUUCACCGGUACAAAUUCCAGUGCCAUCACCGGUUCCCUCGCCAAUUCCCUCACCAGAAGCAACUCCAAUUCCAUCGCCGGUACCAUCUCCGGCACCCCAAGAAAAAGCUCAGGAGCCUCAAGCGCCAAUUCCAGAGCCCCAAAUUGCAGCUGAAGCACCUCUGGAAGAAGUGAUCCGAAGGCCAAUGCUGCCUCAGCCCCCAAUCGAAGGAAACCUGGAUUGCCGAACUCGGGCAUUCCAUUCUGAGCUUUGCUUCGAUUUAACAGCAUUCAGAGUGAGGCCAGAGCUUGCCCAAUCCUUCCAACUGCUGAGGAGAUAUCAUAUGGAGCAUCUGCUAGCUCCAAGGGAUUUUUUCUAUCCCCGGGUAGUCACGGAUUUCUACCAAACCAUGACAACCAAAGAAGUAAGAAAUCCAACUCUGAUUCAUUUCAUAAUUGAUGGAAGGCAUGGUAUUUUGGGAGCAAGACAUAUUGCUGAAGCCCUGCAAAUUCCUUUUGAGCCAACUCAAUUCGACAAUUUUAAAGCUUGGACAAAUCCUACUGAGUUAGAGAUGGUUAGCACACUAACCAGAGGAGCUGCAAAUCGAUCGCAUUUGUUGAGGGGGGAGCUACCUCCAGUUAUGUUUUUGAUUGAUGCCUUUUUGAGGCAUAAUAUCUAUCCCCUGCAGCAUUGGACCCAAAGAAGGGGAAUUCUCCUAGAAGCCUUGUACAAAAUGUCUGAAGGAUUCUUCUUUGGGCCUCAUCAUCUGAUCAUGGCAGCCCUUCUAUACUUUGAGGAGAAGGUUCACAAGAAGAAGCUUCAAAGAGCAGAUUGCAUUCCACUCCUCUUCCCAAGGCUGCUAUGCCAAGUUUUGGAGCAUCUCGGAUACCCCUCUGAGCCUCAGCAGGAAAGAAAGAGAAUAUGCCGUGAGCCUUUUACCCUUGAUAAAUGGAAUAAUAUGACGGCCUACAAAAUUGAUCAGCCUGGGCAGCCUCAGCCAGCAGCAAGGAGAGUCUCCCCAAGACAUAUACCUGAAGGUAUAACACUUGCUACUCCUGCCAUCCCUCGAGCUCCACCAGCUGCACCUGCUCCAUCACAGCCAUCCACAUCAGCUGAGCCGAGGAUGGCCAUCCCUAUAUCCGAAUAUCGAGAGCUGUGCCGUGCAUUGGAGACUCUUACAGCUUCUCAGAGCAAUCUUGCUCAGGAGUUGGCAGCCAUUAAAGCAUGCCAGGAGCAGAUGUUAGCCUCUCAGACUCAACAAGCUGCCAUCCUAAGGCAGCUUCAAGUCCAUUUCGAUCUGCCACAAGCUGUAGAGCCCUCUAUUCCUACUCCACCAGAGCCACACUCUCAGCCUUCAGAGUCUCAUCCUCCAGAACCCGAAGCACCAGCUGAUCCACCUACUGAGGAGGCAGAUCCUUCUGCCUAGCACCAUCACCCCCCUCAUCAGACAUUAUAUAUAUAUUUGCUGUUUAUGUUUUUAUGCAUGUUUGUUUUGUUUUAGUUGAAAAGAAAUCCCAGUAUUUUGGUACUAUAUAUGGGAUUCCUUGUGUUACUUGUCUUUAGUAUUGUAAUCACAUGAACUCAAAGUAAUACAAGUUGACUAUUUCUUGUUAAAAGUUAGCAUUAAAGUUUCCUUAUUUCCUUUUCUCACAUAUUCUAUUCUUUUUGAAACAUGUGGUUUUCCCCAAUCAAUAUUCGAAUUUGAUAUCAGCAUGGAGGUACCACUUCCUCCCUUUUAUUACAGUCACUCAAAUCACAUUGAGGACAAUGCUCAGUUCGGUUGGGGGGUAUGAGGAAGGAAGUAUUCUAAACCUUUUUGGUAUUGCAAUUAUAUUGGUUAAUUAGUUGUAGAUUUUACUUUUUACUAGUGUUACUCUAUUCUCCAUGAAUUUUGAGGAAAAAUUUUCAAAUUAAACCAAGAGAAAUUGAACUGUUGUUUUUCACUUGACUUAGAGUAUGGAUUAUGCUUACUAAAGUGGUUCAAUUGUUGAAACUUCUACUGAAAUUGAAUUGAGUUCUUCCACUUUAAGCUAUCCACACACUGUGCACAUUAGUUUCCGAUUAUAAGAUGAAAAGCUAUUUCCCUCUUGACUUAGUAUAUUUUUGGGACUUGGUAUAUUUGACCUCAUUUGAUAAAAAUUGAAACACCCUGCAAAAGGCCAAUGAGCCUUUGAAAUAAAGAAAGUUGUUUGCUUGCCUUGAAACCCGAGCAAGGUCUGAGGGGUAUAUGGUGAAAAUCUUUAAAGCCUGGUGCCCUAAGCCUUAAUUGGUUGGGAGUCACCGACCUCAAUGCUCGUUACAAGGGUGAAUAGGUAGAGUUAGCAUAUGGUAGAUGCUUGGGUAUUAGAAAUUCAUUCUUAAAAGUCCGGGGAAAAAUCCGAGGAGUUAGUGGUUGAAAGAUCCUUAAAACUUGGUGCCCUAAACCUUAAUUGGUUGGGAGUCAUCGAUGGACCCCCAUUACAUGGACAAGUCAGAAAGAGUACCCCAUAAAGCUACCUUAAAAAAAAAAAAAAAAAAAAAAAAAAAAAAAAAGAUGAAAGUGUGUUCUUUUCUUAUUGAUUUUGGUCAGUUUGCUAAAGUGUUGAAAAGAGAUAGGUUGGGGGGUGAGAUUAGUAGCAUAUUAUUCUCGGAACCUAAGGAACCAAUACACAUAGAUUUUUGUGGAAGAUUGAAGUUUAGUUCUUAGAAAAUGAAAUGAUUUUAAAACUUCAGUUUGCAUAAUGCACUCCCUUGAUUGACAGUGUUUAGCAUAGGUGUUAUGACUCUUGUUGAGAUUUGGGUUUGUAUUUCUUUAAUGAUUCAUGUGAGAAAUAGAUCAUCAUGCCACUUGAGAAUUAUUUUCCUUUUAGCAUGAUGUUGUAAAUUUUAGAUUAGUUUGCUAUUUAUUUUUUAUUUUCUCUCCUAUAUUGCUAAGGGACUAGCAAUAUGUCGGUUGGGGGGAGUGAUUACUACUCAAAAAGUGCUAUUUGAUAGCCUUUAAUUAAUCCUUUUUAACACUUUUGAGUAGUAGUUUAGGCCUUUUAACUCAAUUGGCAUGUUAAGGAUCCUUUAAAGCAAUUUUGAUCACUUUGUGCAAGUUUUGGUGUUUUUGUUAGUAUUUUGAUCACCAAAGCAAGUCAAGAAUGAGGAGAACUAUGAGGAAUCAUGGGCAAAGCUUAGAAUUCAAUUGCCAAGAGUGAAUCCGGAUUGCAAGGAGAAAAAGCAAAGAGAAUCUGUCAUGAAGCCUAUUCUUGAUGACAGUCGUAGCAGCCACUUUUGGAGCACUUUCUGAAGUCCAAAUGAUGCAAGCUAUAUACCAUUUCAAAGCUCAGGAAGUCAACAAUCCAAUGCUUCAAACGGUGCGCGAUUCGGAGUUGAAACGAAGAAGUUGCAGCCAUUACAAGCCAGUCACUCUAAAGUGUUGCGGAAUCAGCCUUUUGUUGCGAGAAUUUCGCAGCACUUUUGUACAGUAAGGUGUUUCUCCUUCUGACGAUGCACGAACCAUGCCGCGAGAGGGAAGCUAGGAACUUCAAGAUGGAAGCCAACUUUGCAGCCUGGUGAAGAUAGCUUGGUCUUGCGAAAUAAUUUCGCAGCCCUCUUGGGUGUCUGCGAAAUUUCGCAGGCACCACUUUUUUCCUGCGAAAUGGCUCCGGAAGCCUCCCGAAGCUUGCUACCGACAUUGGGAGAUAUUUUCCAUUAGAUUUUUGUUGUCUAAAUUCCAAAAUACUCCUUGUAAACCACCAAUUACAUGAUUCCUUAGUUUUUAAGUUAGUAAAAAGACCAAAUAUCUAUGUAAUAAUUAGUUUUAUAUUAGUUUGCUAUAAAUACCUCUCGGGAGCAUGUUCUCAGAGAGGAGUUCCUUCUGUAACCAUUUUGGUAAGCAAGUAAAGUCUUUUCUUUCUACUGCCUUACCUUCUCACUUUGUAUUUUCAUUUUAUUUCUAAGUUAUGAAUUCUCUGAGGAGCUUUCCCCAGAGAAUGAGUAACUAAACCUCCAAUUCCUUGGAGCUAAGGUUGCCGGGGAAGGUUCCAAGUGCAAGAAUGCAAAGCUCUGUGGUUUUAGCUAGUAAUGAAGAGGAAGUGAAAUCCUUUAGUGAUUUCAAUGUUUUUAGUUAACUUAAAACACCUUGGAGUCACCUGGGCCAACACUUGGUAAGGCAAGUGAUUUCCAACCGUGGAAAUGCACUAGUUUACCCCUUGCGAGCCUCUGGUAGGUGACUUCAAGGUAGGAUUUUCUGGAAUUACCAACACUUGGUAAGCUUUUGGACUCCUAGGAGACAUCCAUUAGUUAUCUCUUGCGAGUUUGUGAAGGGGAAUCCAAGGUUAAAGAUCACCUUGAAUGGUAAGUGCUCGUGAGAGGCAUGAACCAUUGCAAGUUGUAUCAGUGAGAGAAUUAAAGUGAAAUCUAAUUGAAGGAGUCUCUGUACAUCACCGGUUAGAGAAUUGACUAUAAGUUGAAUCUCUAAUGCGAGGAAAUGAACCAUCUGACCGGAGCUAUGUCUUUUGCAUGAGGAACCACCCCAGUGAACCUAAAUCUCCAAGGAAUGCUUUUCUUCCUAAAUUAUUCCAAACUUCUGUUAAGUUAGUUAGUUUAAGUCUAAACCUUUACCAAUCAAACUUUGUGUUUUAUUCCUUAAGCUAACCGUGAAAUGAAACAAAACCAAUUCACUUGGAAUUGGUAUCCUUGAUUGCUUGCAAAUCAUUCCCAGUGAACGAUCCUUAGAGCCACUAUACUAUAGUAGCUUUGUAUUUGCUACCCUAGUGUAUGGUGUUAUAGGUAUAAAUUUUGUUGAUCACUUCCUCAAUCAAGGAACACCAGCUGAACACAAAUCAGCUGAGACACCAAUUGGGCAUGAGUCAGUGCGUUAGAGGAUCAAGAAGAAGAAAAAGAAGGAACUGUUGGAAUUAGUAUGAGUGUGAAGAGAAAAGUAUAUAAAUAAGGGGAAGUAAAAGCAAAGUUCAAAAAGCUAUAUUUUUUUAUUGUUGGUGUAUGGUUGCAUGAUUAUCCCUAUAAAUAAUAGGAGUUUUUUGGUAUUCUACUAGUAGUUGAAGCAUAAUUUCAUAAAUUAAUAUUUAGAGCGGGGUGGGGUGAGUUGUGACAAAAUUCAUACCCGUCCCAAACCUUGGUUCAGAUUUUUAAAAUAUUCUCAAACUUAUCAUAUACCCAACUUUUAUAUUUCAUACUUGUCCUAAUAGAGGCACGUUAGGCCGGGUUACUUGAGUAACCUACAUAAUUGUCAUCCCUAGUUGAAAUACACUUUUUGGCAGUGGCCACCAACUGAGCUAGAAGCUUGAUUGAUUGACCUACAAGAUUAGUUCUCAUCAUUUUAAAAAAAGUUCUGGCUUUGGUUGUGAGUGCAAUUGAAUCUAAACUGGCAUUUGCUUAAUGCAUCUACUUCAAUCCUAAACUUCUUACUUCUUAAGCCUCAAUUGUUGUUAGGAUUUUGGAAAACCCAUUUCCUUAAAUUGUAAAUUUAAGAUAAAAUAAAAUAAAAGUGAGACAUUUCUUGAUUGAAUAUUGUUAAAGGUCCCUUGGCAUUAAGACUUGGUUGAAGCCUUGGAAGAUUAGUGGAACUCUCAACAUGUGUUUGAAUCUUGAGGAGAGUGGAUGUAAGCCAAAAUUUUGUCAAACCAUUAUACAAAUUGAGUUUGAAUCCUCAUUUCUUGAUUUCUUAUUUAUUUGCUUUUUCUUAUUAUUACUUGAAUUGUCAUUUGCAUUCAUUAAUGUUAAAAUUGGUUAUAAUUAACCAACACUAAUUCUCUUUCCCCUUCCCUUUCUUGGGUGUAAACCUAGGUUGGAUUAACUAGAUAAAUCUAUUAAGAUGGUAAAAGAAUAAUUAUUCUUAACAUACAUAAGAUCAUCUUCAAUCAAAUGACUCAUUGGCUAAUAUGUUGAAUUUGCUUAUUACUUGCAACUCAAAAUUGUGUUCUAGUUGUGUCAAGUCCCCAGUGUAUGGACAUUAAAUUUGUAGUACGUGAUGAGUAAUUAGAUGGUCCAACUCCAAGAAAGUGAUUGAAAAGUAGUUCAAGAAAGGUGCAAAAGGGAAUUGUUUUGGUAUUUUCGUUUUUAUUCUUGAAGGUGGCAGAGCUAAAAUUUGAGAAAUCAAGCAAAACAUACUGAAAUUACAUUGAAAGAAAGAAGAUGGGAGUUAAUGUCUUGCAGUACAUGAUAAGGACUUCAUGCAUGUAGUGUGACCCAUGUCUUGGACUGAUGCCAACUCACGGUUACACUUAUACCCUUGGUUCUCUCUUUACUACCUUGGCUAACCUAGAUCAGGCUAUGAGAUAGGCUCCUCACCACACCAUUACUUGCCCAUUAAUUAGAGACAUUUUCAAGCAAUGAGGUAACAUGGUGACACCAAGAGGGUCUAUUCCUCGCCCGGAACAAGUCUAGACUUGGUCUCAAAAAAAUGGAGAAAAAUGAGGUGUCGUUAUGUAGAAAUACAACAACCAUGCCUUCCUCAUUACUUAGAUUCAGAAUGUGAAGGUGAAAUUGAGAAACAGAAACUCUUGAAACCAAAAUGAAAAUUGAUACUUUUACGAAGAAUUACAACAACAUUAGAGGAAGACUACAUUCUUCCUCUUUAUUCCUACAUUUCUACACUACUUCUACUCCACUCCAUAUUUCUACAUACAUCUUUAAUCAGUCUUCCCUCCUUUAUAUAGAGCCAUCUUCACACAAAUUUCGCAAGGUAGAAAAGAGGAAUGAAACUUGGAGCAAGGUUCGACUACUGGUUGUAGCUUGUCAAGGCUGGAAGUGAACUUUUCUUGGCUUUCUGGGCAUGGGUAGUAACUUGUGGGUUCCUGUUUGGCAUAAAAAUGGCUAGAACAUGUGGCACUAUCUUGUUGGAUGAUGUGUCAAGCAUGUGGCAGCCAUCUAGUGGCGAUUAUGUCAAUUUUGGGAUGGAGAGUUGGCAUCCAAUUGCAAAGAAAUAUGACGUCUACCAACAUGCAAUGUAAACCUAUGUAGAUCAUAUGAAGAUAGAGAGGAAAAAUAUAGAAAUGGAUAUAUACCUAGAACUAGCUUUUUAUUAAAUGAAACGGAGAGACAACAAUGAAGGAAAAUAAAAUUUUUUGGCUUAUAUCAAAGAGUUCACAUUGUGUUACCCUAGGUUUUCUUAAAACUUACUUUUAUGAUAACAAAAAAGAAAAAACCAUUAUUGUUUAAUCCUUUGUUUUAAACGCAUGUAAGGUGUAAUUAAGUUAGUUCAAUGCAUUAAUUUAAGAAACUUGACCUAUCAAAAGUACAAAAUUAGAUGAAAUCCAUUUCAAUGGUUAAAAUGAUCAAAAUCAAACUUUUUCUAAGUAUUUUUUAAAAGCAUCAAUAGUGAAAGACAAUUUUAUAUUUAGUCGGAGUUUGGACAAAACUGAAAAACACACAAAAUCCAAGCGACCAUCUCUAGCUUGGAUGGUCGCUUGAUCCCACCUAGAGAUGUGCAUGAGUAAAAGGAUUUGAAAAUGGAAAUUGACUAUGUAGUCGAUCAAUUAACUUUGCAACAUCAUAUGCAAUCCUAAUUGCUAGUCAUCUAAUCAAUUAGGUAGUCAAUCAACAGGCCAAAAAUAUGUUUAUAAUGACUAUUUUGUACAAAAACCACCUGUAUAGUUAAAUAUAAUGCAUUUCAUUUAUAAAUCUUCUAAUUCUUGAAUAACGAUCCUAUCAUCCUUUGAAAGUUUUUAUUACACUUUUUUUACUUUUGUUCUAAAACUUACACAUCACCCUUAAUUGUACCAUGAGAACCUAGCUAUUUUUUAUUUUUUUUUUUGUAAUUCAUCAAAGUUAGCUUUUGUAUUCAUUGUUGUAUUAUUUUUAGUAUAACUUAGAAAGCUAGUGUUUUCAAGUGAGUAAAAUUAACUUGUAAAUAUUGUAAAGAUUCAUCGACAUGUAUCUUAAACUAAGUGUACAAGUUAAAACAUUUGCUAGUAGAUUUUCUCAAAAUUUAGAAUAGAGCUUGAGACUAUUGAAAUAGGUGGGGUUGCACCAAACCACAUCACAUCGUUGUUUGCACCUUUUUUCACUCUCUUUUACUUAGUUGCUCUAUAUUUGUUGUCUAGUAAUAUCCUAUAGGCUUGAUGGGUUAGGGAGCAUCCCUUUGUGAAAAAAUUUUAUUCAAUCCUUAGUUGUAUCACGCAUAUAUAAAAUGCCUCAUUGUUUUAAUGGUAUUCAGUCGUGGCAUCACAGAUAUGGGCAUCUAAAUUUUAAAAGUUUGAAACUUUUAUCUAAAGAAAAUAUGGUGCUUUGCCUUUUUGUAAAGCAUGUUGAUGAAAUCCAUGAGAAUUGUGUACUUGGGAAGCAACACCGAGAUGACUUUUUUUUUUUUUUUAUAAUAUUGUUUGUCCAAAUUCCCUACAAAUUAGGCCACCAGAUGUUCAUAAUUCUCCCUUCUUGAAUUUGAAAACUCGGACAAUUGGACAAUGCGACACCUAAGUCCGGUUUCUAAAUGCUAAAGUGAAAGGGUAGGUAUGGACCAUUGAAAUGUGAUCACAACUUUUCUCUGUAGCCAUGUUGUCUCUUUUUUCUUUUGCAUGAUUUUCUUACCUUAACAGAAUCAUAGACUUGUUUAGUCUCUAAAUGGGAUUAAUUUCAUCCAGCUUUAAGCUACUAUAUUAUAUCUAGGUGGAGGACUUUUAAGAGUGCAACCGACAUAGAGCACAUGGAAGUGGGUAUAUGGGACAUGAAAUUUCUUCUUAUAAAGAUUGCAUGAUUUUUAUAUUAGAGUUGUUGAGGCGCUAUGUAUUUAGCUUGUUUUGCAGUUAAAUUAAUUGGAUAAGUAGACAUUGGCGUUUCUAAAUCUACUGUGAAGUGCUUCAUGUACGUGUGAAGUAUUAGAAAUUUCUUUCUUGGCAACUUGUUUUUCUUUGCGGUCUACUGAUAGGUUUGACUAAAAUUAUAUUCCCUGUCAUGCUAAUUAAUUUUCACGUGCAUGCUCAAAAGAAAAGUAUGACCUUAGUGCACCAAAAUCACUUUGAUUAAUUUGUGAUAGGUUUUUGUGCAUCAUGACAUUAGCCUUAUUCAUUUAGAUAAUGUUUAGUUUUUAGAAAGUAUUAAGAAAAGGAAAAUAAAUAUUAAGAAAAAUAUUCUUAUAUUUGAUUGUAUUAUGAAAAAUAUCAUAAAAAAAUCAAAUAUAAUUUAAAUUAAUUAAUAAUUUAUACAUUUUCAAAUUAUUUAAUCUUUAUAUUGAAGAUAUAAUAUAAAUGAAAUGAGUUUUAAGUAUUAUAUAAAAGUGAUUUAUUGAUCUUACAUAUAUAUAUUUCUUUUUUUUUUCCUUCUAUUUUUUCUCUUUAUUUUAUUUUCCUUAUGUUUUCCUCAACAUUUUCCGGAACCAAACAUAGCCUUAGGAAAUCCACAAUUACCUUCAACUGAGUAGAUUCUGUUGUUUUAGCAAUGUUAGGCUGCUAACUUGUGUUGGUACGAACCUAUUAAGCCUAAAGAUGUAAUUAGUUAGGAUAUUCUUUUCCCUCUAGUCUUGUAGCUCCACGUGUACAGUUGGUUAGGACCUCAUUGUAUAUAAUGCUUGCCCUGUUAUUGUAGAAGACAACAAAGAUAAAUAAUAUUAACAUUUUUCCUCUCAUCUCUCUCUGUUUCCCUCUGUUUUCAUCUCCUCUCUCAUCUUGGUAUCAGAGCCUCCAUGGCUUCUUUCAAAGAAACCUCCGAAUCACCUUCUGCUAGCAUUGUUAAUGUGCAAAACCCAUUAUCUCAAUCAAACAACCUUCCUUCACCAGUAGCCACACCCUCUUUUUCUUUCUCGUCUAUGAAUCAACCUCUCACAGUGAAGCUGGAUAAUGGGAACUACCUCAUAUGGAAGAAUUAGCUUCUAAAUGUCAUCAUUGCUAACGGACUCGAUGAUUUCAUUGACGGAUCUCGACCCUGCCCUCCUCGAUUUCUCGAUCUGCAACAACAAACCCUCAAUCCAGAGUACUCAGCUUGGCAGAGAUACAAUCGACUUCUGAUGAGUUGGCUGUACGCAUCCUUGUCCAAAGAUAUAAUGGCUCAGAUUGUUGGGUAUUCAACAGCUAUGGAGAUUUGGAAUGCCCUUAAUCAGAUUUACUCUGCCUCUUCUAUGGCGCGGUUUACUGAGCUUCGCACCAAGCUUCAAACGCUCAAGAAAGAUGGACUCUCAGUUGGUGAAUAUAUUCAAAGGCUCAAAUCCAUUUGCAAUAGUCUUGCAGCAAUAGGAGAACCAGUUUCUGAGAAAGACCAUCUUAUCUAUUUGUUCAAUGGAUUAGAUUGUGAGUAUUAUUCUUUUGUUACCUCCAUUCAAAAUCGAUCUGACCAACCAACUAUUGACAAAAUCCAUAGCCUAUUGCUUAGCUAUGACUUCCGGCUUGAACAACAAAACUCUGUUUCUCUCCAUUCUGCCCAAGUCCAUAUGGCUCAUCUGAACAAGAAACCUUAUAAAUCAACUCCUCAACCUACAUUCAAUCAUAUUCACAUUCAACCUAGAUACUCUUCUCCACCUUUUAAGCCAACCACUAGUCAAUAUCAACCCAACAUUUUGGGCAAACCACAACCACAACCAUGACAGCCUCAACCUCAAUGGAAACCACAUUUUUCAAUCUAAAAUCAAAAGCCUCAGCGCCAAAUUUGUGGUAAAUUUGGACACACUGCUCUUAUUUGCUUCCAUCACACAAAUUUGAACUAUUCACCCCAACCUUCUCCUAAAUCUUUCAAUACUGUUCUCACCACAAAUUCCCAGCUCCCUAAUCCUCCAAAAUUUUCUUACCCUACAAUGGCUCAUCCUGCUGCUACGCAUAACACGGUUCCCGAUACAAAUUGGUACAUGGACUCAGGUGCUACACAUCACUUUACUCUGGACAUCAACGUGCUUGACACUGUGACACCAUUUAGUGGUUCAGAACAGGUGACAGUUGGGAAUGGUAAGCAACUCUGUAUCUCACAUCUUGGUACUGCAAAACUACCAUCUUCGUAUUCUCCUCCUGUUCUACAUCAGGUAUAUCACACUCCAAAAAUUUCAAAUAAUCUUAUUAGUGUUAAAAAAUUGUGUUCUGAUAAUAAAGUUUUUGUUGAAUUUUAUGCCACUCAUUUUCUUGUCAAGGAUCAGGUUUCGAAGAGAGUUCUCCUUUAGGGUCAACUUGAUAAUGGCUUAUACAAAGUUCAGUCGUCAUGCUCUCCUUCUGCUGUUUCCUUUCCUCCUCAAGUUUUCAUAGCCAACAUCAAGUAUCCAAAUCUGUGGCACAAGAGACUAGGCCACCCAGCUUUAUCUGUUGUUAAUCAAAUCUUGGAUUCUUGUAACAUUGCUCGAACACAGAAAAUUUGUUUUAAUUUUUUAAAUUCUUGUCAAUUAGCAAAGAGCCACAGGCUUCCUUUUUCUCUGUCUCCAUCCAUUGCAGAAAAACCUUUUGAGUUAAUUCAUACAGACCUAUGGGGUCUUUCGCUCGUUCGCUCUAUUUCUGGUGCUCUUUAUUUUUUACUUUUCAUUGAUGAUCAUACUCGUUUUACUUGGUUUUAUUUGCUCAAAACAAAAGAUGAAGCAUAUCCUACUUUUCUCAAGUUUCAAGCUCUCAUUGAAAAUCAAUUUAAUACCAAGAUUAAGGCUGUCCAAUCUGAUUGGGGAGGUGAGUUUCGAUCUCUCUCCAUACCGUUUUCAAAUAUGGGCAUUGUCUAUUGUUUAUCGUGUCCAUACACCUCACAACAGAAUGGGCGAGUUGAGCGAAAAAAUCGCCAUGCGAUUGUCCUUUCUUGCUUGCUCUAUGCCCUUAUCUUAUUGGCCUUAUGCCUUUCAAACUGCCACUUACCUUAUUAAUCGUCUCUCUACCCCUGUGCUGCAUCAUCAAUCCUCUUACUUCGCACUCUAUCACAAACUCCCAACUUAUACUCAUCUUAAGGUCUUUGGUUCCUCUUGUUUUCCGUAUUUGCACCCUUAUAAUACCCAUAAACUCCAAUACAGGUCACUAGAGUGUGCUUUUCUUGGUUACAGUUCACACCACAAAGGUUAUCUAUGUCUUGACAUUCAUUCUAGCAGGGUGUAUAUUUCUCGCCAUGUGAUUUUUAAUGAAGAUUCUUUUCCAUUCAAGAAUUUGAAAUCUUCUCUCUCUCAGUCUAUUUCUUCUUCCUCUUCUUUAUAAGUUCCUCUGUUCAUUCUCUUGCCUCCCCUUUCCCCAUCUCCUCUUAUUUCUUCAUCUAUACCUCAUUCUUUUCCCUCUUCUUCUUCUACCUCUAGUACUUGUUCCCCUCUCGUUGCUCCUACCUCUCUUCCUUCCUCUUCACACUCUGUGUCUCCAUCUAUUCCACCUCCUUCUCCACCUUCUCCGAGUGUGGACCUGCUUGCACCUUGUGUGAAUACAAAUUUACAUACUUCUUCUCGCACUCACAAUAUUCAUCCUAUGGUGACUAGAUCUAAGGUUUGUAUCUAUAAACCUAAGUUGUUGUUGAGUGUCUCCAUAGGUUCUCUCACUAAGCCUACUUCCUUUCUUCAAGCUAUUAAAGAUCCUUCAUGGAAGCAAUCCAUGGAAUUCGAGUUUGCUACCCUUCAACACAACAAGACCUGGCAUUUGGUUCCUUCACCUUCCUCAGGCGAAGUAAUCGGUUGUAAAUGGGUCUAUAAGCUAAAGCUUCAGCCUGAUGGCUAAAUUGAGAGAUACAGCCUGCUUAGUAGCUAAGGGUAUCAUCAAAUUGAAGUAUGGACUACUUCGAAACAUUCAGCCUGAUNNNNNNNNNNNNNNNNNNNNNNNNNNNNNNNNNNNNNNNNNNNNNNNNNNNNNNNNNNNNNNNNNNNNNNNNNNNNNNNNNNNNNNNNNNNNNNNNNNNNAGCUUCAGCCUGAUGGCUAAAUUGAGAGAUACAAGGCCUGCUUAGUAGCUAAGGGUUAUCAUCAAAUUGAAGGUAUUGACUACUUCGAAACAUUCAGCCUGAUUGUCAAGCUUUCUACUAUCUGUAUUGUGCUCAGUCUUACUUUUUCCCAGAAUUGGUGUAUUAGACAGCUGGAUGUUCAUAAUGCCUUCUUACAUGGUGACUUAGCUAAAGACGUUUUCAUGGAACAACUGCCUGGAUUUGUUGAUCCUCUCUAUCCUACUCAUGUCUGCAAGUUGGAUAAGUCUCUCUACUGUCUUAAAUAGUCACCUCGGGCUUGGUAUACUAAGCUGAGUACUUCUCGCUACACUUGGGAUUUGUUACUUCUAAGAAUGACUCUUCCUUAUUUAUUUGUCAUUCGUCUCAUGGGUUACUUCUUGUUCUUGUCUAUGUGGAUGAUAUAAUCGUCAUUGGGAGCCACUCUCCUCAGGUUACUCACCUUAUCCAACAGUUGCAUCAUUAGCUUUCUUUAAAGGAUCUUGGUCCUUUACAUUAUUUUCUGGGCUUGGAGGUUCAUCACACCCCUACUGGUAUUCACCUCAGCCAAGCAAAGUAUAUCACUGAUCUCCUUACCCGGGCGGCUAUGUUGGAUGCCAAGCCAUGUCCCACUCCUAUGUCCUCCAACACAUAUCUCUCUUUUCAUGAUGGAGUGGCUCUUGAAAAUGGUUCAGAUUAUCGAAGUUUUGUUGGUGCCCUUUAGUAUUGUACCAUGACACGCCCAGAUAUAGCUUUUGCAAUAAAUAAAGUGUGUCAAUUCAUGCACCAUCCCUCUAAUGUUCACUGGCAGGCUAUAAAACGUAUUCUCCGGUACUUAAAGGGCACAUCUCAUUUUGGUCUCUUCCUACAGCCUUCCUAUGACUUCAACAUCACUUGCUAUACAAAUGCCGACUGGGCUUCCUGUCCUGAUGACAAGUGUAGCACCAGUGGCUACUGCCUCUUUCUUGCCUCUAAUCUGGUUUCUUGGUCAUCUUCCAAACAAAAAGUGGUCUCCCGCUCCAGCGCCGAAUCAGAGUACCGAGGGGUAGCAAAUGGGGCUGCUGAAAUUGCUUGGACUGAAUCUCUUCUUUGUGAACUUUCCAUUACUCCCCCUCCCCUCAUUCUCUGUGACAAUAUCAGUGCCACGUACUUAGCUGCCAAUCCUAUUUUGCAUGCCCGCACCAAACAUGUGGAAAUCGACUAUCACUUUGUCACGGAACGUGUUCUUCAAUGCUCUCUUUUUGUCCAGUUUACACCUUCUGAUGAUCAACUUGCUGAUUGCAUGACCAAGCCUCUCUCCACCCAACGUUUCAUCACUCUACGCUCCAAGCUCACUGUUCUCACUAGACCAAUGAGCUUGAGGGGGGAUGUUAAGCCUAAAGAUGUAAUUAGUUAGGAUAUUCUUUUCCCUCUAGUCUUGUAGCUCCACGUGUACAGUUGGUUAGGACCUCAUUGUAUAUAAUGCCUGCCCUGUUAUUGUAGAAGACAACAGAGAUAAAUAAUAUUAACAUUUUUCCUCUCAUCUCUCUCUCUGUUUCCCUCUGUUUUCAUCUCCUCUCUCAUCUGAACCAAAUGAUCCAUGUUAACCUUGGCUUGGUUUGAUUUGGCUCUAUCUUAGAGAGCUCAAGGAUCACGUCAACUCUGGUUUCUACUAUUCAGGUCCAUUCCCAUAUGAACUGGUUCAAAUUUGAGAAAAUGGUAACAGACCUUUAGUGAUGUUGGUUUGGAGCCAGUUGCCAAACCCGCCCUGAGCUUUACCACUAAUGUCAAGGGAGAAAGCCAUUUGAACAAAAACAAUAGCUUCAAGGGACUGAAUCGUGGAUGAAAUCUGAUCCACAUUUCUUCUCAUUUUGGAAACAAAUGAGAACUUAACUAAGAAGAUUCUACGGCCUCAUAGUGCUUUUCCUGAUCUAAGGUUGGUUCGUUUCCCAAACUGUGAGAUGCACGUGCCAGACUUCAGAACUCUCACGCUCAGGAGUGUAUCCACGUGGUGGACAUAAGAUGGUGGCUUAAGAUCUGGUGUCGGUGGCUUUACUUUACUAGGAGAGUAGUGUGUCUUCAUCUCAUUCACUGCCGGAGGGUGGCGUAAGCAGUGACGCUAAGGUGGGGCACAGUCAAUAUCAUUUGCAUUUGACCAUUAUAGUUUUCUCCCGGCUUUAAAGUAACCUUAUCGUGAUAAAGGAUUACUAGCACUAGUUCAGAUGAUAGUCAUGUUAAAUUCGGACCAUGUUUGUGUCACAUUAUCAGCAACCAUGUGUUUAUGGUUCAUGCUUUCUGCAACUAAAAUUGAUAUAUAACCAGGUGAACUUCAAUCUAAAUUCUGAAAGUACUCAUGUGAUAGAUGGUGCCCGUCUGCAGAGUCCAUCAAUUGAAAAAUGGAGUGAGUGUAUCUAUAAGAGGGAAGGCUUGGAAAAUGUUCAGUUUUCUGGGAAUUCAACAAGGAUCUAAAAUAGAUUGUUUUCUUUGCUGAUUUCAAUGGUUGAAAUUUGAGAAGAUUGUGUCCACAUAACACAACUAUUACUGGUCCUUCUGUUGCAAUUUAUCCUCUAAAGCUCUAGCAUGUCUUCCAAUUCCCACUUCCCUGUUACUCCAGGAAAGCUAUUUCUGUCAUUGUGAAGAAGAAAAGAGAAUGUACAUAUCGAUGCUUUUAAGUGACUGGAGCAUUUAUAUCAGGUGGUCUGCAGCCAUAUAUGCCACUUUGUGAAGAUUGGAACAGUCAAUCACUAGGCUAUAUAUUAGUGUGGCCCAGCCACUUUAAUCAAGGACAAGUCUUCAUACUUAAAGUCAAAUUCUGCCUUUAGUCUCAUUAUAAAUUUCUGUUUAAAUAUUAAGCAAACAUUUGUUUAAUGCGAUUAAGACAGUACUAACUCAAUACCUGUUCUAUUUUUGGAUGCAAAUGCUUGAUGGUUUCAUCAUUGGAUGGGAUAAAGGUGCAUUCAUGAUUAGGAAUACUAGUAGUUAUAUUUUAAUUCUCUUUUUUCUCAAUGAGACUUGUUGGCACAAUUUUGCUGUUGAGAAACCUACCUCUCCAUGGAAAAUAAGUUGUGAUUGAUAGUACUGGAUAUAUUCAAGAAAUCUAAAUAUAGAUAGCACAAAAUAUUAUCGACAUAAAUAGCAUUAACAGCGUACGUAUGUCUCAGUGCUCAUCAGCUAUAAGCAUGGGGCAAACACUUACUAUGAGCAACUUACGUCAAAAUUCCAGAAUAGGACAUAGAAGUGACAGAUAUAGAACAUUGCAUAUGAGUCACAAGAAAGGAAAUUACGGGUGCAUAGCAGCUCUUAUUUUACAUACUACUACUCAUACUGAUCAAAGUCACUCAGUUGGGAUGGGUGGGAGUAGGAGGUUUGUGGGGUGGCUUGUGCGGAGGAGUUGGCAGCUUCUUUCCAGGACCUGGUUGCUUCUCUGCUGGAGUUGAAGGAGGCUUAAUCUUCCGAGGUGGCUUGUAUGAGUCUUCAGCAUUCUCAGCUGGAGGGUGACCAGGGUUGUGACCAUAAUGUGGUGGCUUCUCUCCCUUAGGUGGUUUGCCAACUGGGGUUGGUGGCUUGUAUGAGUCUUCAGCAUUCUCAGCAGGAGGGUGACCAGGGUUGUGACCAUAAUGUGGUGGCUUCUCUCCCUUAGGUGGUUUGCCAACUGGGGUUGGUGGCUUGUGUUCUGGGAGUGGCUUCUCCCCCUUGGGAGGUUUUUCCAAUGGGGUUGGUUUGUGUUCAGGAGGUGGCUUCUCCACUGGAGGCUUGUGUUCAGGAGGUGGCUUCUCCACCGGAGGCUUGUGUUCAGGUGGUGGCUUCUCCACCGGAGGCUUAUGCUCUGGUGGUGGCUUCUCGAAUGGGGGAUGCUUAGGAUAAUCAGCAAGUGAGGGGGCGGUGAGAACCACCAGGCCAAGCAACACCACUAGCAAAUAUGUAGGAGACAUCUUUGGGUUUGGGCUCAGAUGGUGCAAAACUAGGAGAAUUGGCUAGCCUUUUAUAGCGGAUCGUACCCAAUAAUGAAAUGACACGUGUCAUUAUGACCCAUGUGUAAUGGGGUCGAUUUGGGUCCUACAGUGUUGAAAACUUCGACAUCCACUUUUGGCCUUUUGCUUUCUCUACAGCCGCCUUGCUUUUUCCCUCUUUCCUUUUGUUUUCCUCCUGCCCCAUUCUAUCAACUAAACACAAUUAUGUAGUUGUUUAAUUCUUAAAUGAGAUAUUAUCCGUCAAUCGUAUUAUAUUUUAUCAAGAGAGAACGGAGUGCAAUGUGGCUGUAAUUUUAUCGUUUAGUUUUAUCUCUUGGACCACUGCAUUUUUGUUAAGAGGUGCAAUAAUACACGUCUUUAUCUGCCAUUCAAUAUUUACAGUAAAGAGAGGGCACAAAACUCUUCACUUCGCACCAUAAUUAUUUUGUUUUCUGGACACCCCGGGGCCCUUUGGUUGGUUUGGGGGUCAGAAAGUGAACAUCAUAGGGGGUUUUUCCCUUAUGUGCAUUUGUAUCUGAUGGCUUUAACUCGCCUUGUUACUACAAAGAAACUGUCACAGAUAGGAACUUAUUCCAGGCUGAGUAUCUCCUCAUAGACCCUAUAAAAGAAGACAAGUCAUAAUGAACAUCUAACCUUUGUUCAAUUUGAUUCAAUGCCCCCAUUGUGUCCAUCUCACAAAUCUGAAUUAUUAUAUCCAUUGAAUACAUAAAUUAAUGAAGAAAAUAUGAAACCCAAGAUACAUCUCUGCACAACCUCAACCCUGGUUGCUAUGUUUCCCUUCUAUUCACAUGAUUUGAUGCUAAUUGCCAAACUUGCAACAAGCCCUGAGUUUGACACCUAGUAUCGAUGGGCGAAUUUAAAGUCUCCUCCAAACAUAUAUUCCACAGCUUGAAGCUCACAGAAGAUGUUACAGGCAGGGAAAAACCUUCAGAGUUCGCUACCAAAGAUAAUUAUUAAGGAGAUAUCACAAAGAGAAUUCCAAGGGGUCUGAAUCAAAGACAAAUUGGUCGUUCGUGGGGGUUCUUACUUUCUUUUGGGUAUAACUCACUGAGGGCACUGUCUUUGUUAUUUGCAUUUCACAUUUAGAGUUCUGUUCUGGAAACAUAUAAAAGGAGCAUCAUUUUGUUCUUGGGUAACCCAUAGUCGUGAGUGGGUCCAUUUGCAUGCUACUUAGUUGAAAAGUUGGACCAUUUGCUCCGACGCCUACCUCCCGGAUUCCAUGCUCGGAUAAAACAAGAAUAAAAAAAAUAUUUAUAAUUUACAAAUGGGGGAAAGAAAAAAAUGUCAACAACAAACCAGGAAAAAAGAGUAGUAAAAUUCAUGUCACAUGCUAGUGAGAGAAGGGGUUGUUACACUCACUCGAAGUUCUUUCCAAAAUAUCGCAUGGUAUUUUAUUUUAUGUGUCAGCGCAGUUGUGAAUGGAACGUGCAAAAGUCCAAAUUGGCGUUUUUCCUUUUCCCGUGUAGGAUGGCGACCUUUAAUAAAUAUUUAAAACAAAAAACGAAAAAAAGGAGGGAAAAGGGAUCAGAAAAGAUAAAACAAUGUGUACAAGAGCUCAAUUAGUUUGCAAAUUACUGUUUGGAUUUUGAUAGUAUUUUAUUUGUCCAUCUAUAUUUGAUGGAAAAGAGAAUUUAAGAUAUUUCUGAAACAAAAGCAUUAGUGUAAAACUAAAUUAAGGUAUAAUUAAGUUAGUUCAAUGCAUUAAUUUAAGAAACUUGAUCUAUCCAAAGUACAAAAUUAGAUGAAAUCCAUUUCAAUGGUUAAAAUGAUCAAAAUCAAACUUUUUCUAAGUAUUUUUUAAAAGCAUCAAUAUUAAAAGACAAUUUUAUAUUUAGUCGGAGUUUGGACAAAACCAAAAAGCACACAAAAUCCAAGCGACCAUCUCUAGCUUGGAUAGUCACUUGAUCCCACCUAGAGAUGUGCAUGAGUAAAAGGAUUUGAAAAUGGAAAUUGACUAAAUAUUUAGUUGAUCAAUUAAAUUUGCAAUGUCAUAUGCAAUCCUAAUAGCUAGUCAUCUAAUCAAUUAGGUAGUCAAUCAAGUGUUUGUAAUGACUAUUUUGUACAAAAAACCACAUGUAUAGUUAAAUAUAAUGCAUUUCAUUUAUAAAUCUUCUAAUUCUUGAAUAACGAUCCUAUCAUCCUUUGAAAAUUUUUAUUACACCUUUUUUACUUUUGUUCUAAAACUUACAUAUCACCCUUAAUUGUACCAUGAGAACCUAGCUAUUUUUUUUUUUUUUGUAAUUCAUCAAAGUUAGCUUUUGUAUUCAUUGUUGUAUUAUUUUUAGUAUAACUUAGAAAGCUAGUGUUUUCAAGUGAGUAAAAUUAACUUGUAAAUAUUGUAAAGAUUCAUUGAUAUGUAUCUUAAACUAAGUGUACAAAUUAAAACAUUUGCUAGUAGAUUUUCUCAAAAUUUAGAAUAGAGCUUGAGGCUAUUGAAAUAGGUGGGGUUACACCAAACCACAUCACAUCGUUGUUUGCACCUUUUUUCACUCUCUUUUACUUAGUUUCUCUAUAUUUGUUGUCUAGUAAUAUCCUAUAGGCUUGAUGGGUUAGGGAGCAUCCCUUUGUGAAAAAAUUUCAUUCAAUUCUUAGUUGUAUUACGCAUAUAUAAAAUGCCUCAUUGUUUUAAUGGUAUUCAGUCGUGGCAUCACAGAUAUGGGCAUCUAAAUUUUAAAAGUUUGAAACUUUUGUAAAGCAUGUUGAUAAAAUCCAUGAGAGUUGUGUACUUGGGAAGCAACAUCGAGGUGACUUUAUUUUUUUUUCCUUUUAUAAUGCCACACCUAAGUCCGGUUUCUAAAUGCUAAAGUGAAAGGGUAGGUAUGGACCAUUGAAAUGUGAUCACAACUUUUGGCCUUUUCCUUUCUCUGCAGCCAUGUUGUCUCUUUUUUCUUUUGCAUGAUUUUCUUACCAAAACAGAAUCAUAGACUUGUUUAGUCUCUAAGCUACUAUAUUAUAUCUCGGUGGACUUUUAAGAGUGCAACCGACAUAGAGCACAUGCAAGUGGGCAUAUGGGACAUGAAAUUUCUUCUUACAAAGAUUGCAUGAUUUUUAUAUUAGAGUUGUUCACGUGCAAUGUAUUUAGCUUGUUUUGCAGUUAAAUUAAUUGGAUAAGUAAACAUUGGCAUUUCUAAAUCGACUGUGAAGUGCUUCAUGUACGUGUAAAGUAUUAGAAAUUUCUUUCUUGGCAACUUGUUUUUUCCUUGCCAUCUACUGGUAGGUUUGACUAAAAUUAUAUUCCCUGUCAUGCUAAUUAAUUUUCAUGUGCAUGCUCAAAAGAAGAGUAUGACCUUAGUGCACCAAAAUCACUUUGAUUAAUUUGUGAUAGGUUUUUUUGCAUCAUUUAGAUAAUGUUUAGUUCUAAGAAAAAUUUAUAUAAAAAUGGUUUAUUUAUCUUACAUAUAUAUAUAUAUAUAUAUAUUUUUUUUUUUUUCAUUUUUUUUUCUUCUAUUUUAUUUAUUUAUUUUAUUUUCCUUAUGUUUUCCUCACAUUUUCCGGAACUAAACAUAGUCUUACGAAAUCAACAAUUGCCUUCAACUGAGUAGAUUCUGUUGUUUUAGCAAUGUUAGGCUGCUAACUUGUGGUGGUACGAACCAAAUGACCCAUGUUAAUCUUGGCUUGGUUUGAUUUGGCUCUAUCUCAGAGAGCUAAAGGAUCACGUCAACUCUGGUUUCUACUAUUCAGGUCCAUUCCCAGAUGAACUGGUUCAAAUUUGAGAAAAUGGUAACAGACCUUUAGUGAUGUUGGUUUGGAGCCAGUUGCCAAACCCGCCCUGAGCUUUACCACUAAUGUCAAGGGAGAAAGCCAUUUGAACAAAAACAAUAGCUUCAAGAGACUGAAUCGUGGAUGAAAUCUGAUCCACAUUUCUUCUCAUUUUGGGAAAAAAUGAGAACUUAACUACAAAGAUUCUACUGCCUCAUUCAUAGUGCUUUUCCUGAUCCAAGGUUGGUUCGUUUCCCAAAUUGUGAGGUGCACGUGCCACUCUCACGCUCAGGAGUGUAUCCACGUGGUGGACAUCAGAUGGUGGCUUAAUAUCUGGUGUCGGUGGCUUUACUUUACUAGGAGAGUAGUGUGUCUUCAUCUCAUUCACUGCCGGAGGGUGGCGUAAGCAGUGACGCUAAGGUGGGGCACAGUCAAUAUCAUUUGCAUUUGACCAUUAUAGUUUUCUCCCGGCUUGAAAGUAACCUUAUCGUGAUAAAGGAUUACUAGCACUAGUUCAGAUGACCGUCAUGUUAAUUCGGACCAUGUUUGUGUCACAUUAUCAGCAACCAUGUGUUUAUGGUUCAUGCUAUCUGCAACUAAACUUGAUAUAUAACCAGGUGAACUUCAAUCAAAAUUCUGGAAGUACUCUUGUGAUAGAUGGUGCCUGUCUGCAGAGUCCAUCAAUUGAAAAAUGGAGUGAGUGUAUCUAUAAGAGGGAAGGCUUGGCAAAUGUUCAGUUUUCUGGGAAUUCAACAAGGAUCUAAAAUAGAUUGUUUUCUUUGCCGACUUCAAUGGUUGAAAUUUGAGAAGAUUGUGUCCACAUAUCACAACUAUUACUGGUCCUUCUGUUGCAAUUUAUCCUGUAAGGCUCUAACAUGUCUUCCAAUUCCCACUUCCCUGUUACUCCAGGAAAGCUAUUUCUGUCAUUGUGAAGAAGAAAAGAGAAUGUACAUAUCGAUGCUUUUAAGUGACUGGAGCAUUCAUAUCAGGUGGUCUGCAGCCAUAUAUGCCACUUUGUGAAGGUUGGAACAGUCAAUCACUAGGCUAUAUAUUGGUGUGGCCCAGCCACUUCAAUCAAGGACAAGUCUUCAUACUUAAAGUCAAAUUCUGCCUUUAGUCUCAUUAUAAAUUGCUGUUUAAAUAUUAAGCAAACUUUUGUUUAAUGCGAUUAAGACAGUACUAACUCAAUACUUGUUCUAUUUUUGGAUGCAAAUGCUUGAUGGUUUCAUCAUUGGAUGGGAUAAAGGUGCAUUCAUGAUUAUGAAUACUUGUAGUUAUAUUUUCAUUCUCUUUUUUCUCAAUGAGACUUGUUGGCACAAUGUUGCUGUUCAGAAACCUACCUCUCCAUGGAAAAUAAGUUGCGAUUGAUAGUACUGGAUAUGUUCAAGAAAGCUAAAUAUAGAUAGCACAAAAUAUUAUCGAUAUAAAUAGCAUUAACAGCGUACGUAUGUCUCAAUGCUCAUCAGCUAUAAGCAUGGGACAAACACUUACUAUGAGCAACUUACGUCAAAAUUCCAGAAUAGGACAUAGAAGUGACAGAUCUAUAUAUAUAGAACACUGCAUAUGAGUCACAAGAAAGGAAAUUACGGGUGCAUAGCAGCUCUUAUUUUACAUACUACUACUCAUACUGAUCAAAGUCACUCAGUUGGGAUGGGUGGGAGUAGGAGGUUUGUGGGGUGGCUUGUGCGGAGGAGUUGGCAGCUUCUUUCCAGGACCUGGUUGCUUCUCUGCUGGAGUUGAAGGAGGCUUAAUCUUCCGAGGUGGCUUGUAUGAGUCUUCAGCAUUCUCAGCUGGAGGGUGACCAGGGUUGUGACCAUAAUGUGGUGGCUUCUCUCCCUUAGGUGGUUUGCCAACUGGGGUUGGUGGCUUGUAUGAGUCUUCAGCAUUCUCAGCAGGAGGGUGACCAGGGUUGUGACCAUAAUGUGGUGGCUUCUCUCCCUUAGGUGGUUUGCCAACUGGGGUUGGUGGCUUGUGUUCUGGGAGUGGCUUCUCCCCCUUGGGAGGUUUUUCCAAUGGGGUUGGUUUGUGUUCAGGAGGUGGCUUCUCCACUGGAGGCUUGUGUUCAGGAGGUGGCUUCUCCACCGGUGGCUUGUGUUCAGGAGGUGGCUUCUCCACCGGAGGCUUAUGCUCUGGUGGUGGCUUCUCCACCGGAGGCUUAUGCUCUGGUGGUGGCUUCUUGAAUGGGGGAUGCUGAGGGUAAUCAGCAAGUGAGGGGGCGGUGAGAACCACCAGGCCAAGCAACACCACUAGCAAAUAUGUAGGAGACAUCUUUGGGUUUGGGCUCAGAUGGUGCAAAACUAGGAGAAUUGGCUAGCCUUUUAUAGCGGAUCGUACUCAAUAAUGAAAUGACACGUGUCAUUAUGACCCAUGUGUAAUGGGGUCGAUUUGGGUCCUACAGUGUUGAAAACUUCGACAUCCAGUUUUGGCCUUUUGCUUUCUCUACAGCCGCCUUGCUUUUUCCCUCUUUCCUUUUGUUUUCCUCCUGCCCCAUUCUAUCAACUAAACACAAUUAUGUAGUUGUUUAAUUCUUAAAUGAGAUAUUAUCGGUCAAUCGUAUUAUAUUUUAUCAAGAGAGAACGGAGUGCAAUGCAGCUGUAAUUUUAUCGUUUACUUUUAUCUCUUGGACCACUGCAUUUUUGUUAAGAGGUGCAAUAAUACACGUCUUUAUCUGCCAUUCAAUGUUUACAGUAAAGAGAGGGCACAAAACUCUUCACUGCUCUGCAUGUGUCCCAAAAAUGCGAUUGGACAAAUUAUGAUUUGCAUGCUAAAAAGAGGCAAAUGAGGUUAAUUCGCACCAUAAUUAUUUGGUUUUCUGGACACCAUAAAAAGAUGUUAUACAGGCAGGGAAAAACCUUCAGAGUUAGCUACCAAAGAUAAUUAUCAAGCAGAUAUCACCAAGAGAAUUCCAUAGAGUCUGAAUCAAAGACAGAUUGCUCGCUCGUGGGGGUUCUUACUUUCUUUUGGGUAUAACUCACUGAGGUCACUGUCUUUUUUAUUUGCAUUUCACAGUUAGAGUUCUGCUCUGGAAGGUUUGUUCUGGAAACAUAUAAAAGGAGCAUCAUUUUGUUCUUGGGUAACCCAUAGUCGUGAGUGGGUCCAUUUGCAUGCUACUUAGUUGAAAAGUUGGACAAUUUGCUCCGACGCCUACCUCCUGGAUUCCAUGCUCGGUAAAACAAGAAUAAAAAAAAAUAUAUAAUUUACAAAUGGGGGAAAGAAAAAAUGUCGGAAAAAAUAGUAAAAUUCAUGUCACAUGCUAGUGAGAGAAGGGGUUGUUACACUCACUCGAAGUUCUUUUCAAAAUAUCGAAUGGUAUUUUACUUUAUGUGUCAGCGCAGUUGUGAAUGGAACGUGCAAAAGUCCAAAUUGGCGUUUUUAUUUUUCCCAUGUAGGAUGGUGACCUUUAAUAAAUAUUUAAAACAAAAGACGAAAAAAAAAAGGAGGGAAAAGGGAUCACAAAAGAUAAAAUAAUGUUUACAAAAGCUCAAUUAGUUUGCAAAUUACUGUUUGGAUUUUGAUAGUAUUUUAUUUGUCGUUCUAUAUUUGAUGUAAAAGAGAAUUUAAGAUAUUUCCGAAGCAAAAGCAUUAGUUUGCUCUGUGAUGUCCCACAUCGAAUAGGGGAGAAAGUUUCUGGCGCUAUAUAUGUAGAGGCUCCUCUUAACCAAGUAGAUGCGUUUUAAAACCAUGAGGGCCCCCUUAGGUCCAAAGCGGACAAUAUCUACAUGAUUGGGUGUAAGUCAUUACAAAUGGUAUCAGAGCCGAUCCCCGACCCCGGUGUGGGGGUUUGUUUGGCCCUGUAAGGGGUGUUUGUCUGUUUGACCCCACAAUCCCAUGGGACACAACGAGGACGUUGUGUCUGCAUGGGGGGGCGUUUGUGAUGUCCCACAUCGGAUAGGGGAGAAAGUUCCUAGUGCUAUAUAUGUAGAUGUUUCUCUUAACCAAGUAGAUGCAUUUUAAAAUUGUGAGGGCCUCUUUGGGCCCAAAGCGGACAAUAUCUACAUGGUUGAGUGUAAGUCAUUACAUGCUCCAUGUCAAUUUCAGCAUUUCUCAUAUGUUUCACACAUACACAGAAGAGCAUCGUUUUUUAAAGCAUGCAUUUAUGUUGGAUUAAUUUGGAUUUUGUGGGAACUGGGGCAAGGAUCACAUGGAAGAGAGGUUGACUUUUUUCAGUACUUCAAUGGUUGAAAUAUGUGAAGGCUUGAUUGAUACUAAAGCUUGAAAUUGCGACUCUGUCAUUUGUAAAAAAAUAUGACAGCUUCCAUGCUCUCGUUUGGUUGCAUUGUCCGGUCGAGAGGUGCAAAAAGCAUUCUCUCUCUUCUAAUAGUCUUUUCGUUUAAAUCAAGGGAUUUGCCUUCCCGGUCGAGGUCCAAUAGAGGGUAACGGUCACCUACUAAACAUUAAAUGCUCCAACAACUAGUGAACUGAUCGACCCCAGCUCGACUAGUUGAGGUUACUUUUUGGUUUUCUUGUCUCCCGAGGUUAGAAACCUAUAAAUAGAGAGCUUCACUUCAUUUAUGAGUAAGAGAACACCUAAAUUUAUUUGUUUACCUACUUGUUUUUGCCAUAAAAGCUCUCAUUUCUUUUCUUGGUGUAUUAAAUCUCCAUUUGCAUAUCCUUUAGUGCACCUUUGUGAUUCAUUCUAGCCUUGAGUUGUAUUUAAGCCUUUGUUGAGCUAGGUUGAGAGUUUCAUACUUGUUUAUUGAGUGUUAAAGCCUUCAAGUGAGUUAAAACUUGAAGAGAUUGUGUAAGAGCCCAUUGGAGUCGGAAUCCAAGUGUAAAGGUGAUUAAAAGCUUGGUUGAAGCUUCAAGUUAGUGGAACUCUCACUCGGUUAUGAGCUUGAGAAGAGUGGACAUAGACAAGGCAGUGUCGAACCACUAUAAAAUCUGAGUUUGAUUUCUCUAACCUUAUCUCUUUAUAUUUGCUUCUCUUGUGCUUAAAUUUUUUGUGUUUAAAAAGAAUUUUUAAAAACUCAAUUCACCCCCUUCUUGGGAGUUUUUCUCUUUUAAGAUCAGCUUUUAUUUUCUCAAUUGGUAUCAGAACUAUGCCUCUUGUUUAAGACUUAAUCGUCUAAGAGGAAAUGGCUAAUCCAUCAAGUUCAUCUCACAUUGAAAGUUUUGCAACCAAUAGACUUCUUUUUUUUUUUUUGCGGGAACUGAUUAUCCCUAUUGGAAAACUAAAAUGACUUGGUUUUUACAAUCAAUUGAUUUAGAUGUAUGAGAUGCCAUUGAAGAUGACCUAACUUUUCCUUCAAAACUAGUUGAUGGAGUCAUGGUUCCAAAACCUAAGCAAGAAUGGGAUGAGCGUGAUUGAAGAAAUUUUCAAUUAAAUGCUAAAGUCGUUUAUACUUUGCAAUGCUCUAUGGACAGAAAUGAAUAUAAUAGAAUAUGUCAAUGCAAAUCGGUUAAAGAAAUUUGGAGAUUGCUUGAAAUAACUCAUAAAGGAACAAAUCAAGUUAAAGAGUCAAAAAUCAAUUUACUUGUUCAUAGAUAUGAAUUGUUUUUUAUGAAAGAUAAUGAAACUAUUGUUAAGAUGAUCACUAGGUUCACCAACAUUGUUAAUGGUCUUAAAGCCUUGGGAAAGACCUACAAGGAAUCCGAAAACGUGAUGAAGAUCUUGAGGUCACUUCCAUCAAAGUGGCAUACCAAGGUCACCGCAAUUUAAGAAGCAAAAGACUUGAUCAAGCUACCUUUGGAGGAGUUCAUAGGGUCAUUGAUGACAUAUGAAAUCAAUUUGGCAAAGAAGUAACAAAAAGGUGAAGACAAAAAGAAGAAGAACAUAACUCUCAAAGCUACAACUAAGGAAGAAGAAGUUGAAGAAGAAAAACAAAUUGAAGAAGAUGAAGAUUUAGCCCUCAUCACAAGAAAGUUCAACAAAUUCAUGAGGGGUGAAAGGUUUAGAAGAAGAAGGUUCACUUCUAGAAGAGACUUUUCUAAAAAGGAAUCUUCAUCUAAUGGUGACAAAAAGAGAUGGGAAGAGAAAAGAGACUUGGUGUGUUUCAAGUGCAAGAAACCGGGACACAUUAAAUAUGAUUGUCCUCUCUACAAAAGUGAAGUCAAGAGGAAAAAGAAUAAGGCAAUGAUGGCCACUUAGAGUGAAAGUGAAGAUGAAUCAUCCGAAGAAGAAAAUGAGAAAGAAGUGGCAAACAUGUGUUUCAUGGCAAUAGAUGAACUUGAUGAGGUAAAAUCUAACCUUAGUGAUUAAGAUAUACAUGAUGCAUUUGAAGAAUUGUAUGAGGAUUUUUAAAAACUUAGUUUGAAAAAUAUUUCUCUUAAAAAGAAAGUUCAACAACUUGACAAAGAACUUAGAGAAGUAAAAGAAAAAUUUUCAAAUGUUAAAGUUUCUAAAACUCAUCUUGAAAAAGAAAAUGAGAUUCUAAGAAAGAAAAAUGAAUAGUUGAACUCCUCUCUUUCAAUCUUUUCUUCUAGACAAAAAUCUUUUGAAAUGAUUCUAACUAGCUAAAAAUGUGUUUUUGACAAACAAGGGUUAAGAUUUAAAUCUUCAAAAAAUCAAAAGUAUUUUAAAAACUAUUUUGUAAAGGAAUCCACAAGUGCAAGUCCUUCCACUACUUGCAACUUUUGUGGAAGAGAAUGGCACAUUAGUAGUACGCCCUUUAAGAAAUGGUUCUCAAAAGAAUUUAAAUGCAAAAACUAAAAAAGAUUUGGAUUGAGAAAUCCAAGGUCACUAACCCUCAAGGACCCAAAAAGAUAUAGGUACCUAAAUCAACUUGAGUUUUAUGUUGUAAGGUUCAAAGAAUGAUAAGUGGUUCUUAGAUAAUGGUUGCUCAAGACACAUGACCGGAGAUGAAUCCAAGUUUGCUUUUCUUAAAAAGAAAAAUGGAGGAUAUGUUACCUUUGGAGACAAUGCAAAAGAAAGGAUGAUUGGUCAAGGCAACAUUGGUAAUGGCACAUCCUCUCUCAUUGAAAGUGUUUUAUUAGUAGAUGGUUUCAAACAUAACCUUUUAAGCAUUAGUCAAUUUUGCGACAAAGGUUUUUAAGUGAUUUUUUAAGCAUCUCAUUGCAUCAUCAAGGAUAUUCAAAAUGAUAAAACCAUUUUCAUGGGCCAUAGAUGUGAUAAUGUUUAUGCUAUAAAUAUUUCAAAAUAUGAUGGCCAUGAUAGAUGUUUUUCAAGCAUGCAUGAUCAAAGUUGGUUGUGCCAUAGGAGAUUGAGACAUGCUAACAUAGACCUCAUUUCCCAACUCAACAAAGAUGAACUUGUUAGAGGCCUUCCCAAAAUAAUUUUUUAAAAAGAUAAAGUUUGUGAAGCUUGUCAAGUGGGAAAGUAAAUCAAAAACUCUUUUAAAAACAAAAACUUCAUUUCCACAUCUAGGCCACUUGAGUUGUUGCAUAUGGAUUUAUUUGGUCCCUCUAGGACACCAAGUCUUAGAGGAAAUUCUUAUGCAUAUGCUAUUGUGGACGACUUCUCUAGAUACACAUGAGUCUUGUUUUUUAGUCAAAAGAAUAAAGUUUUUUAUGAGUUUUCAAAGUUUUGCAAUAAGAUUCAAAAUGAAAAAGGUUUUUCAAUUACUUAUAUAAGAAGUGAUCAUGGGAGAGAAUUCGAAAAUAUUGAUUUUGAAGAGUAUUGCAAUGAGCAUGGAAUUGACCACAAUUUUUUGGCUCUUAGAACUCCUCAACAAAAUGGGGUAGUUGAAAGGAAAAAUAGAACUCUUCAAAAAAUGACAAGAACCAUACUAAAUGAAAACAACUUACCAAAAUAUUUUUAGGCCAAAACGGUUAACACUUCUUGUUAUGUUUUAAAUAGAGUAUUAUUGAGGCUCAUACUUAAGAAAACUCCCUAUGAGCUUUGGAAAAACAAAAAACCCAACAUUAGUUAUUCCAAAGUCUUUGGAUGCAAUAUUUUAUAAUAAACACCAAAGACAAUCUUGGAAAAUUUGAUGCAAAAUUGGAUGUUGGAAUUUUCCUUGGUUACUCAACUUCAAGUAAAGCUUUUCGAGUUUUAACAAAAGAACCAUGGUUGUAGAGGAGUCCAUCCAUGUUAUUUUUUAUGAAUCUCCAAGAAAGAGAGAGGAUUGAUGAUGAUUUAGGUUUGAAGACCUCUAUAGGAAGAUUGCAAAUCGAAGAUAGAAGACAACAAGAAGAAAAUGGAGAGAAUCCAAAGAAAGAAGGAUCACCAUUGGCACUACCCCCUCAUCAACAAGCGCAAGGUGAAUCAAGUCAAGAGCUUCCUAAAGAAUGGAAGUUUGUCAUCAAUCACCCACAAGAUCAAAUUAUAGGCAAUCCAUCUAGUGGGGUAAGAACUAGAUCCUCUCUUAGAAAUAUUUGCAAUAAUCUAGCUUUUAUCUCUCAAAUUGAGCCUAAAAAUAUAAAUGAUGUUUUAGAUGAUGAAAAUUGGAUAAUUGCAAUGCAAGAAGAGUUAAAUCCAUUUGAAAGAAGUGGAGUAUGGGAAUUAGUACCAAGACCUUCAAAUCAAAGUGUUAUUGGAACUAGAUGGAUCUUUAGAAAUAAAAUGGAUGAAAAUAGCAUAAUUGUUAGAAAUAAAGCAAGAUUGGUAGCCCAAGGUUUUAAUCAAGAAGAAAUGAUAGAUUAUGAAGAAACCUUUGCCCCCGUAGCUAGGUUGGAAGCCAUUAGGAUGCUACUUGCCUUUGCAUGUUUUAAAGACUUUGUUUUAUAUCAAAUGGAUGUGAAAAGUGCUUUUUUAAAUGGUUUUAUAAAUGAAGAAGUAUAUGUUGAACAACCACCCGGUUUUCAAAGUUUCAACUUUCCUAACCAUGUUUUUAAACUUAAAAAGACACUUUAUGGUUUGAAACAAGCACCUAGAUCAUGGUAUGAAAAAUUGAGUAAAUUUCUUUUGAAAAAAAUGUUUUAAAAUGGGAAAAAUUGACACAACUCUUUUUAUAAAAACCAAAGAAAAUGAUAUGCUCUUAGUUCAAAUAUAUAUUGAUGAUAUCAUUUUUGGUGCUACUAAUGUCUCUCUUUAUGAAGAAUUUUCUAAGUGCAUGCAUAGUGAGUUUGAAAUGAGCAUGAUAGGAGAACUCAACUUCUUCCUUGGACUUCAAAUCAAGCAACUAAAGGAAUGAACCUUCAUCAAUCAAGCAAAGUAUAUAAGAGAUCUUCUCAAAAGGUUCAACAUGGAAGAAGCCAAAACAAUGAAGACUCUAAUGAGCUCAUCCAUUAAGCUUGAUAAGGAUGAGAAAGGUAAAUCCAUUGACUCUAUUAUGUAUAGAGGCAUGAUAGGUUCUUUGCUCUAUUUGACCACUAGUAGACCUUACAUUAUGUAUAGUGUGUGUUUGUGUACUAGAUUUCAAUCUUGUCUUAAAAAAUCUCACUUAAGUGUCGUGAAAAGAAUCCUCAAAUAUUUGAAAGGGACAAUGGACAUAGGCUUAUGGUAUCCUAAGAGUGAUAACUUUGAAUUAAUUGGUUUUUUGGAUGCUGAUUUUGUCAGUUGUAGGGUUGAAAAAUAAAACACUAGUGGCACUUUUCAUUUCUUAAGACACUUACUUGUCUCAUGGCAUAAUAAGAAGCAAAAUUUGGUAGCUUUGUCAACAGCAGAAGCUAAAUACAUAGCAACUGGUUUAUGUUGUGCACAAAUCCUUUGGAUGAAAUAAACACUUAGUGAUUUUGAUUUAUCUUUUGAGCAUAUUCCUAUUAAAUGUGAUAAUAGUAGUGCCAUAAGUAUAUCAAAAAAUCUCGUGCAACACUCUAGGACUAAGCAUAUAGAGAUUAGACAUAAUUUUCUUAGAUAUCAUACACAAAAGGAUGAUAUAACACUUGAAUUUGUAAGCAUAAAAGACCAACUUGCCGAUAUCUUUACAAAACCUCUAAGAACAUUUUGUUGAUAUUAGAGGACAAUUAGGAGUGAUUUCUUUAUGAUCUAAUGUGAUGAAUUCUUGAUGAAUAUACUUUUUGAUUGCAUGAAUUUCAUGUCAUAUAUGCAUCAUAUAGAAAUAUACUUAGAUAAUGGUCAAAUUUCGACCAAAAAUCAAAAUUCCCAUGGCAUUAGGCAUAAAAAUUUUGGAAUUUCAACUGAAAAUGGUAGGAGGAGGAUCACAAAAUGAGAAAGUAUGCAAAAAUUGAAAAAUCAAAACGUUGACCAAGCGGUCAAUCGGACUAGACCGAUCGACUAGUUUGUCGAGAUUUAGGAUUUUUAAGAGACUCCAACGCUUCAAUUUUUGCACCGUUCUCCUCUAUUUCUUCACGGUUUCUCUGAUUUUGUCUUUUAGAGACUAAUUUGAGUGCGUUUUGGAUCAAUUGAAGCAUUUUGGAUUGGAUUUUAGGAAGAUUGAAAGUUAAGGUUUCGGAUUUGGGUCGCCUUCUCUUCCUCUCGCGUGUCACAAUCAGCUUUAGCAUUGUUCUCUUUCCAUUUUCACACACCUAGGGUUUCAGUUGUGAGCAUCUCUCUCUCUUUACCAACCACUACUCCCUUGCUUCUUCCAUAUGGCUCCUAGGCGAGAGUCCGCUACUUCUAGGGCACAAGGCAAGCACCCAACUGAGUCGUCUCAGUCAAAGGCACGUCGAAAAGUGAGAUUUGACAUUGCCUUGUUCAGUUCCAUGGAGGACUACCAACUAUACAAGCAACACUUUGCUUAGAGACGAGUAGUUCCCAAGAGAAAUAUUAAUUUUCCUCAACUUCAGCAUUUCGAAUUUAAGGGUCUAUUUACUAGGAUGGUUGGUUGUCUAUUGUCACAAUUUCGGAGCCGGUUUUCCUGACCUUAGUGCGAGUUUUUUACUCGAGGGCGACUUAUGGCAUGGGUGGCAUGAUCAUUUCUACUGUUGGAGGAGUUGAGAUCUGUCUGGACCCAGAGAGCAUCUGCCAUAUUUUCGAUAUUGCUCUGGUUGGACUCAAAGUAUACAAGUCCAAAAUGUGGCCCAUUGUGCCAGGAUUUGAGCUUAGAGAGGUCAUUCAGAGGAUUUGUGAACUUCCAGACGCCCAGGAGAUGGGCAAACCAUUGCCACACAGUUUGACGGUCAUCAACAGGGUGCUACACCAUAUAUUGUGCUCUAUCUUUCUACCACGAAGUGGACAUUGAGAUGAGGUCUCUUAUUAUGAGGCAUUCCUUAUUGACUCCAUUCUAACGGAGAGACGAAUUCAUCUACUAUGUCAUCAUUCACUAAGCCUCCUCACAGUGACAUACCACCUCAUCAGGCACCUCUUGCUCCUGACCAUGCUCCAUUGAUGGAUUUAUUUACUCAUAUUAGCUCUCUAGGCACUCGCAUGAAGGAGUUUGUUGUAGUUAGUGAUACAUGGUUCUACUCCAUAGAGGAUCGCAUGGAUCAGUAUCAGACUGGCUUCACGUCACAGUUUGAGUAUCUCCAAUAGAGGAUUGAGCAUAUUGAGGAUCACUUGAGCAUGAGAAGAUGAUGGCUUUUCUAUGCUCUGUGUUUCCACCUCCACCUCGUCAACCUUGAUUUCUUAGAGACCCAUUGUUUUCAUUUUGUAAUGUUGCCAAAAGGGGGAGAUAUUUAGGAUCUAGGACUCUAUAGGAGACUUACAUGCAUAUCAUUUUCAUAUCAUUGUUUGGAUCGUACAUAUUGGAUAGUGAUACUUUUUACUUAUAUAUGAUAUGCCUAUAUGUUUCAUGUCUUACAUUGUUUCUUAUUGCAAAUUAUCUCUAACAUGUCUUGAUUAUCUUUUUUUUAACUUCAUAAAUUUUGAUUGUUAACCCAUGAUUGGUUUGAGGGGAAGAUUCUUCUUCUCCUAGAUAACCAAGGUUUGUCAUCAUAAAAAAAUUGGAGAUUGUUAGCCCAAGGGUUCUCCUAAUCAUGUUUUGAUGAUAACAAACCAUGCUUAAGUUACUAAUUGGUUUGAAUUAUAAAGAAUUUCAAGUGUUAAUUUGAAAAUUCAUCAAAGAACCUAAUGGAUGCAAGAUCAAGAUUUUUGGAAGACCUUUAAUCAUAAGAAACAUAUGUAAGAUGAAUGCAUGGGUGCACUUAAGAUUUGCAUAUCAUUUCAUGCAUAUUUGGAAAACACGGUUUAUGCUUUAAAGUUACAUUUCCAUCAAAAUUUGAGAUCCAUCAAAUGAACCUUAGGAAAAAUGUUUUAAAAUUGGCAUAUAAUUUUACCUAAAGACCUUGCCUAAGUGUUAGAAGCAAAAGGACAAAAAAAAUAUAGGUUUUCUGGUCAAAAAUGGUGAACCAGUCAAGGCAUUGUCUAAAUCAGCUCAAUCGGCCAAGGUACCGGUCGAUCGGUUUCCCUUUCCCUGUCGAGAUCUAGUCAAGAGGUACAAAAAUCACAAUCUCUGUCUCUUUCUCUCUUUGUCUAUCUUCCAGUAGUCUUUCCUUCCCGGUCGAGGGAUUUGCCUUCCCGAUUGAGGUCCGAUUGAGAGUAAUAGUCACUUGCCAAAUAUUAAAUGCUCCAACAGUUAGUGAACUGGUCGACCCCCACCUUGCCCAGUUGAGGUUACUUUUUGGUUUUCUUGGCUCCCGAUGUUAGAAACCUAUAAAUAGAGAGUUCCACUUCAUUUAUGAGCAAGAGAACACUUGCAUUUAUUUGUUUACCUACUUGUUCUUGCCUUAAAAGCUCUCAUUUCUUUUCUUGGUGCAUUAAAUCUCCAUUUUGAUAUCCUUUAGUGCACCUUUGUGAUUCAUCUUAGCCUUGAGUUGUAUUUGAGCCCUUUUUUUAGCUAGGUUGAGAGUUUCAUACUUGUUAAUUGAGUGUUAAAGCCUUCAAGUGAGUUGAAACUUGUAGAGAUUAUGUGAGAGUCGAUUGGAGCCGAAAUCCAAGUGUAAAGGUGAUUAGAAGCUUGGUUGAAGCUUCAAGUUAGUGGAAUCCUCACUCAAUUAGGAGCUUGAGGAGAGUGGACGUAGCCAAGGAAGUGUCGAACCACUAUAAAAUUUGAGUUUGAUUUCUCUAACAUUGUCUCUUUAUAUUUGUUUAUCUUGUGCUUAAAUUUAUUGUGUUUAAAAAGAAUUUUUAAAUACCCAAUUCACCCCCCUCUUGGGUGUUUUUCUCUUUUAAAAUUAGCCUUUAUUUUCUCACAAACUAUUGUAGUAUAGUGGUUUUUAGGUGUCAUCCAUUAGGAUGAAUUGUUCUCGGUAAUUAAGGCGUGAAUGAGAGGAGAAUUAAUGAUUGUGAUUAAGUAAAAUUGAUUUGAAAAUUCAUGGUGAAAAAUCAAUUUAACAAUGGUUUCUAAUUGAGAAAAACAAUGAAAUGUGAAAUAAAAUAAAAUUAAUAGGAAAUGAAAUUCUCGAAGUUAGAAUUUUCUAAAAAACAAAUUCCAUGGUGAAUGGAUGUUGAGAUCUAAUUUUCAUCAAGUUAGAUUGAAAACCGAAAUUUUCAUAUAAACUGAUUUUUUAUUUAGUUUUAGGUCUAGAUUUAAUUUCCCUUAAAAUUAGGUUAUUUAAUCCAAGAAAUCAAUUCAAAUCAUAUAUUCAAUUCAUCUUAAAUUAUCUUCCAAUUAUUCACACAAUGCAACUAUUCAAUCUCAUCAAAUCUAGCUUUUAAGAAUUUAAUGAAUCUACCUAGUUUGCAUUGUAAUAGUCAUCCAUGACAAUUUGAAGAGAAAAAUAAUUCAAUUAAUCAAUCACUUGGAUCAAAUUACCUUUGCAAUUAAAGUUCAUUUCUCUAAUUCACCACAGAUUUUGUCUCUAGAUCCUCCUUUCUCAAAGAAAAAUGAGAUUUAGCCACACAUGAUUGGAGAUUUGGUCUCAUAAGGCAUGUUUAGCUAGUGAUAAAAUGAGAGAAAAUAAAGAAAAAUAGAGAAUUCGAUUAAGAAAGAAAAUCUAAAAAAUUCUACAAUUAGAAAUGUCCAAAAAGCUUUUUCAUGAGAAAAUCAAGUUUCUAUUUAUAGGCCAAGGUCAAGUGGACACUUGACAUCAUCUAAGAGGUCUUCCGGAAGCUUCUUCAUCAAGAAAUCUGGAGUUUAAUAAUAAAAUGGUCAUUUCACAAGAGCUCAAACAAUUUCGCAUGAUUAUGUGAAAUAAAAAAUGCAACAACAGCAAUUUACAUCUUCUUGGAGCAUUUCGCAUGACUGUGUGAAAUUUUCACAUGAUCAUGUGGAAUCGACUUGACAACUCUCAUUUAGCCUACAACAUAAUUCCACCUUUUGGUCCAUUUUUCAUAGUCAUGCGAAAUGGAAAUAUUUGAUUUUUAAGUUUUCUUUUGUCAUUUCUUUCAUUUCCUUCUCUUGAUUCCACUUCAACUACCUCCGAAUCCUGGUCCAAACCAAUUGCAUUACUUCUUUCAUUAUGCAUUUGGAUCAUCAUCAACAUUAUUUGUUCUCUUCAAUUUGAUUCAUCUCUUUUGUCACCAAUUUAUCAAAAUCAUACCUUGAAAUGACUCCAAAACUUCAUAAAACUUGUUAGUAACUCUUGCAAGGGCAACAACAUAUUAAUUAAGUGUUUUAGGCAUAGUUACUACUCAAAAGAUGCGAAACUCAUGAUAAUUAUUAUAUAAAAUAUGCUCUUUUUGAGUAGUAAUCAACUUUCUUGCAUAAGCAGACCUUUUAGGGUGGAGUACUAAAGACCAAUAUGCUUGUCCUUGUUGUAAUAAAGAAACUUGCUCUUAUUGAUUGCACCAUGGGAGAAAAUUUUGCUACAUGAGUUAUCAUCAAUUUCUUCCCACCAAUCAUAGAUUUAGACGUGACAAGAGGCCUCUUAAUGGCAAGGAGGAACUGACACUCACACUUAUACAAUUAUCGGGCAUUGAUGUGUUGCAACAAUUAGAAUAACUUACACCAAUUAUGUUGGGGAAGUCACAAAAGGCAAACAUGAAAACUAAAAGGAAAAAAGAAAAAUGUUACAUAUCACCACAACUGGAAAGAAAAAAGUAUUUACUUUCAUUUGCCAUAUUGGAAAGCACUUAUUUUACAUCAUAAUAAUUUAGACAUAAUGCAUAUUGAGAAAAAUGUGUGACAAUAUAAUUGAGACAUUGUUCAGUAUUGACGAAGAAACAAGGACAACCUAAAUAGUCAUCUCGAUUUACAAGCUCUAACUAUUAGAAAUGAGAUUCACCCAAUAGAAAGCAGGACCAAAUUUAUUUUGCUUGCAACAUGCUACUCACUCACCCCAAAUGAGAUUAAGGAAUUUUGCAAGUUUUUGAAAUCAAUAAAGGUCCCCAAUGGCUAUUCUUUCAAUAUCUCUCGUUAUGUGCAACUCAAUGAAAGGAAGAUAUAUGAGCUCAAAUUGUAUGAUUGUCAUGUCCUAAUGCAACAACUUCUCUCACUUGUAGUUCGUGGAGUUCUACAUAAGAAUGUUUGUGGAGUUAUCAUAGAAUUGCGUAAUUUUUUCAAGCAAUUGUGCUCAAAGGUGUUAGAAACAAAUCACUUACACCAACUUGAGAACAAUAUUAUUGUCAUACUAUGUAAAAUGGAGCAAAUAUUUCUUCCAUCAUUCUUUGAUAUUAUGGUGCAUUUACUUGUGCAUCUAGUAAGGCAAAGGUUGCAAGACUUGUGCAAUAUUGUUGGAUGUACCUAAUUGAACGAUAUUGUUAUAAUUUCAUAUGAAUCAUUUAAUUUUAUUUUAUAUUAUGUUCAGUUCAUUAACAUGUACAUUGGUCUACAUAUGGAUGAUGAUAGGUACCUAAGCACUUUAAAGUCAUAUGUGCGUAAUAGAACUUUUCUAGAAGGUUCUAUUGUAGAAAGGUACCUUGCAAAAGAAUGUACAACAUUUUAUUCUAGGUACUUGAAUGAUGUGGAAAUAAAGUAUAAUCACAAUGAUAGAAACUUUGUUGGUUUCAACACUAGAGGAGAUGAAAGGGGUUAUCUUUAAACAUAUUGGACAUGCAUUGGGAAAGCCCAUAUUUCAUUAACUUAGUUCAAAAGAGUGGUCACAAGCACAUUUAUAUGUGUUGACAAAUUGCGAAGAUGUCAUACCAUUCAUUGAGUAAAAAAUUUAUUUGAAUUUUAAUUAAAGCUCUAGUUUAUAUCCUUAAUCAAUGUUUUUUAAAUUCACAAGGAGCACAAGCAAACCAUCAAGGCUAGACCACAUAUACGUGUUUGAGACGUAGAUUUAAUUCAUAACAAGGAAUUUAUCAAGUGGUUUGAAAGACAUGUAAGUAUAUUCCUUAUUAUAAGGGAUUUAUUUCACAUUAUGUUUAUAUUGAAUCCAAACCUAUUAUUGAAUUGUAGGUUGAACAAUUACAUAAUGAAGGUCAUAUAUCUGAACACCUUCUCACAUUAUCAUGUGUUCCAAAUUCAUUAGUUACAUGCUUCAAAUGAUAUAUUGUCAAUGGAUUUAGAUCCCACAUUAAAGAACGUGAUAAAAAAGUUUUUAAAAAAAGACUCAGAAUAAUGGAAUUGUUGUAGUUGCAAAAACGUCAAGCUUUACAAGUGCAUGUGAUAUGAGUCCAAUUAUUAGUGAUGCUCUCUACUAUGGUGUUCUAACUAAAGUUGUUGAGUUACAUUAUCUUGGUGAAAAUAAGGUUGUUUUAUUCGAGUUUGAUUGGUGGGAUGUUACAAAUAUUGGAAAAUUGAUAAAAGAUGAUGAGUACAAUUACACAUUUGUUAACUUUGCAUGAAUUCUAACCACGAACGAACGAUUUGUACUUGCAUCUCCAGCAAAGUAAGUGUUCUAUGUGAAGAAUGCGAAUGAAUCAGAUUGGCAUACUAUCAUGGAGAUGCAACCUCAAGACCUCUAUAAGAUGAACGGGAUAGGAUCCAAUGGUGAUUUUGAACCAUUUCAACAAAGUGAACUACAUGAUCACUAAUAUAUCUCAGAUUUAGUUGAUGAAGAUAUAAUCAAGUGGAACAAAAGUGAUGUUUUAGGACUAAUCAUCCUAAAAAAUAUUGUAGUUUCUUAAAAAAAAAAUGAAAAUGAAGAAGAUAAUUGAACCUUUGUCAUACUUUAAAAAGCAACUAUGCAUUGUUCAUUUUGUAUGUUUUGGUUUUCUUCAUUUAAUUUCCUGAUUUUUGUGAUUCAAUGUCAUAUUAUUGAUCUUGAAAUAUUUUUCUAAUUUUUCAUUCUACGAUGGUUUCAACAAGGAUGACAUCAAGUCAAAAAAGGAAAUGUGGUCCCACACACAAUAUUGCAUUACAGGGAUUAAGGUCAGGGAAGAAGGUAAAAGUUGCAUUUAAUGAGUACAAUCAAUUGGUUAAACAGAAAAAUGGAAAACACUUAUCGAGCUACAUAGGGACACUUGUAUCUAACCAACACAAUGUACCUCUCCAAGCUAGUGAUUGGAAAAAUGUUCCAAAUGAUGCAAAAGAGAAAGUAUGGCCUUUGUUUUGGUAUGUUGUAUUUCUCACUAUAUGAUGUCAUUUCACUGUUAUUCUAUUUUGUGACUAACGUUUGAAUCAUAUGUAAGAAAAAUUUGAAGUAGAUAAAGACUGAAAAGAUUACAUGUUGGGUAUAGCCUCAAAUAAAUAUAGAAGCUAUAAAAAUAUGAUGAAUGCAAAAUACUAUGACCCUUGGCAUAAGGAUGCAUGAGGAGAGGUUAAUACAUAAAUCACCAUUUGUCUCUGAUGUUGAUUGGAAGUGGCUUGUCUCUGAUGCAUAAACCAAAUCCCCCACUGAAUGUUUGAUAUUUGAUAGCAGGAAAAACACACCCGCAGCUAUACACCUCCAUCAUUCAGAUAAUUAUAGUGGGGGAGAUGAUUCAUGGUUGCCCUUAUACCCUUUAUUUGCACCAUCUAUUGAGAUUCUUUAUCAUGGCCAGGUUUUACUGCAGCAAUAAGAUAUGGUGGCAACAAUUUUAUCUAUAGGUGCGGUUCCAGACCGCCUCCAUAGGUGCGGUUCCUGACUGCCUCCAUAGGUGCCUCUUCUUGUAAUGUUUGUUCUGGGAAUUACACUUGAAAGCCUUAUCGUGAUAAGGGAUUACAAACACUAGUUCAGAGGACAGCCAUGUUAAACUUCCACUAUGUUUGUGUCACAUUAUCAGCAGCCUAGUGUUUAUUGGUCAUGCUAUCUGCAACUAAUAUAACCCGGUGAACUUCAAUCUAAAUUCUGAAAGUACUCAUGUGACAGAUGGUGCCUUUCAGCAGAUAUCAUCAAUUUAAAAGUAGUGUGUGUGCCUAUAGGUGGGAAGGCCUUGGCAAAUGUUCAGUAUUCCGGUAAUUCAAGAAGGAUAUAUCUAAAAUAGAUUUUCUUCUUGCCCAUUUCAAUAGUUAAAAUUUGAGAAGAUUGUGUCCACAUCACACAAAUAUUAUUGGUCCUUCUGUUGCAAUUUACCUCUGAACAUGUCUUCCAAUUCCCACGGUCCUGUUACUCCAGGAAAACUAUUUCGGUCAUAUUGAAAAAAAAAAUAUUAAAGAAGGUACACAUGCUUUUAAGUGGACUGGGGCAUUCAUAUCAGGUGGUCUGUAUCCACAUAUGCCACUUCGUGAAAGGUGGAACAGCCUAAUCACUAGGCUAUUUAGUGUGGCCCAGCCACGUUAAUCAAGCACAAGUCUUCAUACUUAAAGUCAAAUGGUGUCUUUAGUCUCAUUACACAUCGCUAUUUGAAGAUUAACUCAUCACUAGUGUAAUGCGAUUAAGACAGUCCUAACUCAAUAUUUGUUCUAGUUUUGGAUGCAAAUGCUUGCUGGUUUCAUCAUUGGAUGGGAUAAAGGUGCAAUCAGGACUAUGAAUACGUGCAGUAAUACUUCAUUCUCUUUUUUCUCAAUGAGACUUCUUGGCACAAUUUUGCUGCUCAGCAACCUACCUUUCCAUGGAAAAUCAGUUGUGACUGAUAGUAAUGGAUAUAUUCUAGAAAGCUAAACAUAGAUAGCAUUCAAUAUUAUCGAUAUAACAUUAACAGCGUAUGUCUCAAUGCUCAUCAGCUACAAGCAAUGGACAAACACUUUGAGUAACUCACAGCAGUCAAAAUUCCUAAACAGGACAGACGUGACAGAUCUAUAUAUAGAACACUGCAUAUGAGUCACAGGAAAAGAUAAUACGGGUACAUAGAAGCUCUUAUUUUACAUAUUACUCAUACUGAUCAAAGUCGCUCAGUUGGGAUGGAUGGGAGAAGGAGGUUUGAGGGGUGGCUUGUGCGGGGAAGUUGGCAGCUUCUUUCCGGGAGCUGGUUGCUUCUUUGCUGGAGUUGAAGGAGGCUUAAUCUUCCGAGGUGGCUUGUAUGAGUCUUCAGCAUUCUCAGCAGGAGGGUGACCAGGGUUGUGACCAUAAUGUGGUGGCUUCUCUCCCUUAGGUGGUUUGCCAACUGGGGUUGGUGGCUUGUUUUCUGGGAGUGGCUUCUCUCCCUUGGGUGGUUUGCCAACUGGGGUUGGUGGCUUGUGUUCUGGGAGUGGCUUCUCCCCCUUGGGAGGUUUUUCGAAUGGGGUGGGUUUGUGUCCUGGUGGUGGCUUCUCUCCCUUGGGAGGUUUACCAAUUGGGGUCGGUGGCUUGUGUUCUGGGAGGGGCUUCUCUCCCUGGGGAGGUUUAGUGGGUGGCUUGUGUUCUGGAGGUGGCUUCUCCACCGGAGGCUUAUGCUCUGGUGGUGGCUUCUCGAAGGGGGGAUGCUCAGGGUAAUCACCAAGUGAGGGGGUGGUGAGAACCACCAUGCCAAGCAACAACACUAGCAAGUAUGUAGUAGACAUCUUUGGGUUUGGACUCAGACAGUGCAAAACUACGAGAAAUCGCUAGCCCUUUAUAGCGGCUCGGACCUAAUACUGACAUAAUAUAAAAUAAAUAUUAUAUUUUAUCAAGAGAGAACAGAGUGUAAUUUUAUCAUUAAUACCGAUCGAGGCCAAAGAAAGAAGACCCAUAAUCCAUUUCCCACAAGCAUACACAAUGCAGCUGUAAUUUUAUCAUUUACUUUUAUCCCUUGGACCACUGCAUUUUUGUUGAGAGACACAAUAACACAUUUUUAUCUGUCAUUCAACAUUUACAGUAAAGAGAGGGCACAAAACGCAAUUAGAUAAAUUAUGUUUUGCCUGCUAAAAAGAGGCAAAUAACUUUAUUUGCAACAUAAUUAUUUUGGUUUCUAGUGACCCCGGGGCCUUUCGGUUGGUUUGGGAUCGGAAAAUGAACAUCAUAGGGGGGGUUGUGCCCUUAUGGGCAUAUAUAUCUGAUAGCUUCAACUGGCCUUGUUCCUAGAAAGAAAUUGCCAAAGAUAUAAACUUAUUCCAGGCUGAAAGUAGAUGAGAGUCAUAAUGAACAUCAACCUUUGUUCAGUUUGAUUCAAUGCCCCCAUAGUGUUCAUUUCACAGAUCUGAAUGAUUAUAUCCGUUGAAUACAUAAAUUAAUGAAGACAAAUAUGAAACCCAAGAUACAUCUCUGCAUAACAACCCCAACCCUGGUUGCUAUGUUUCCCUUCUUCUAUUCACAUGAGGAUACUGGUUAUAAUUGUCAAACUUGCAACAAGCCCUUUGACACCUAACGUCAAUGGACGAAUUAAAAGUCUCCUUCAAACGUCUAUUUCACAGCAUGAAGCUUAUAAAGGAUGCUGACAACCUUCAGAGUUAGCGACAAAAGAUAAUUAUCAAGGAGAGAUAGUUCCAUGAGAAUUCCAAGGAGUCUGAAUCAAAGACAAAUUGCUCACUCAAGGGUUCUUAUUUUCUUUUAGGUACAAAUCUCUUGAGUGUUGUUAAAGAAACACGUCACUGUCAUUUUGAUUUGCAUUUAACAUUUCACUUUUGUUCUGGAAGGUUUGUUCCGGAAACAUAUCAAAUGAGCAUCAUUUUCUUCUUCGGUGACACAUGGUCGCGAGUACGUGGGUCCAUUUUCAUGCCACUUAGUUGAAAAGUUGGAAAGAAAAAACAUGCCAACAAGAAGAUAGUGAGAGAAGGGGCACUUCAAGCCUUUAACAUGAACAAACAGUAAAUAAAAGAUGUUUCUCCACUCAUAAAAGUGUGUUAGAUAGCAAUAUAACGAAUCACAUCCAAAAUCUUUACUAGGCUCAAACAUAAAGAAGACUCAUUUUUAAGAAAAGAUAAAAAUGGCAUUGUCUGAUAGUAUCCAAUACACGAGAUGGCACUUAAUUUGUACAAGAUCUGUCAAUGCUGACGCACAUUUUCUGAUUAAAAAAAAACUGAUCAGUCAAAAGCAAUGAAGAGAAGUGAUGACAAUGAAUGAUGCUUCCAAUAUUUUCACCCCUUAUAGUGUUCUUCAUGAUUCAGAUAUAUAAUUGGAAAUAGAACAACCCUAUGCCAUACAUUCGUCUAAGUAUGGUGUCUAAUUUUUUGUGUCAGCGGUUGCGAAUGGAGCGUGCAAAAGUCCAAAUUGGCGUCUCUCCAUUUCCACAUAGGAAGGUGACCUUUAUUGACAAAUACCCAAUAUUUGUAGACAUUCCUUAAAUAUCAUAACUUCUUGUUGAUUUGAAAAUCAUUUUUCAACUACCAUGUUUUAAUAAAUAUUUUUUAAAAUGUAUUUUUAUCAAAGUCCACCAUGAUGGAUAAUAUUCACCAUGCAAUAAUUAAUAAAGUACAAACUAAGCGAAAUGAAAAGCAUUUUCUUUGCUUUGAGUUGAUUUUGGUUGCAUUGAGUUGAUUUUGGUUUCAUGGUUUUUUCAACUCUUAUUUUGAUUGGAAGAUGUCAAGAAAAGAAAACAUAAAGAAAAAUUAAAAGGGAAAAAAGAAGAAAAAUAAAAAAAAAUAGAUUUAAAAGUUAAUAAAUUAUUUUUUAUAUUUAUUUUAAUUCAUUUCACUUAUUUUUCUUUUACUAUAUAAAAUUUAAAUAAUUUAAAUUUUAUAAUUAAUUUAAUUACAUUUCAUUUUCUUCUAUAUUUAAAUAUUGGAAAAAUAUUUUACUUAAUAUUUUUUUCUUUAAUUUCUUUGGCAUUUUGGGAACCAAACUUAGCCUUUAAAAUAAAAAACAAAAAAAAAAUGAAAAUAAGGAGGGAAAAGUGAGAAAAGAUAAAAACAAUAUGUAAAGGAUUUGAAAAGUAUUAGUUUGUAAUUACUAUUUGGAUUUCAAUAGUAUUUUAUUUGUCUUUCUAUAUUUCAUGUAAGAGAGAAUUUAAGAUAUUCCCCAAGGCAAAGCAUUAGUUACCUGCAAUCAGUGGUGAUAAGGCUCCAAGCCAAUUUUGGGCCCCAUAUCUUAAGACAGUACAAUUUCCAUUUCAACAUUUCUGAUUUCUCAGAUGUUUCACAUACCACAGAAGAACAUUGUUUGUGAAAAUAUGCAUUUAUGUUGGAUUUUGUAUGCUGUGGGGACUGGGGCAAGGAUCAUAUGGAAGAGUGGUUGACUUUUUCUGUACUUUAACGGUUGAAAUAGGAUAAGCACGGGCAUUUGUGAGGCUUAAUUGAUUUUGAAGCCUGAAAUUGCGUUUCUGUCAUUUUGUCAAAAAAAUGGCAGAUUCCAUACUCAUAUGUUUGGCCUGUGGCCAUGUACAGAUGCCAUUUAGUGACCAGUUUGUAACUGUCAAUCGUUGCGUUUUGACUCUGCCUCAACAACAUCUGCCAUUGACGGGUUUUCAUACUUGCAAAUCAAAUAGUCUUUCGUCCCAUCAGGAAUUUCGGUUUAAAUAUUAUUAAGCAUACGUUUGGCUGACAAUCAUUAUCCAGUUCAUGAUUUGGUUUCUUACCCUUAAUCAAUGGUUUCUAAGUGAAUAUAUGUAGAAGGAAAUCCGAAGUGUAGACAGUAGUAUCGAUAACUCUCAAUAUUCUCUAUAUAAUAGAAUAAACAGCGUCAUAGUGAUCGUCGCCUACAAGCAAGGUACAAAUACCAAAACGAGUGACUCACAUAGACAUCUCCCAACAAGAUGUAGUAGUGACUGACACAUGGACACAAUUAACUCGUAGAAAAGGAUAAGACCAUUGCACAGCAGCUCUUAUUUUACAUACUACUUAUGCUAACCAAAGUCAAUUAGUUGGGAUGGGUGGGAGAUGGAGGUUUGUGCGGUGGCUUGUGGGGCGGAGUUGAUGGCUUCUUUCCAGGAGCUUCUGGCUUUUUCAUCGGAGCUGAAGGAGGCUCAAUCUUAUGAGGCGGCUUGUAUGAGUCUUCUUUACUCUCGACAGGAGGGUGGCCAGGGUUGUGAUCAUAAUGUGGUGGCUUCUCUCCCUUAGGUGGCUUGCCAACUGGGGUUGGUGGCUUGUGUUCAGGAAGUGGUUUCUCUCCCAUGGGAGGUUUAGCAAUUGGGGUUGGUGGCUUGUGUUCUGGGAGUGGCUUCUCUCCCUUGGGAGGUUUAGUAGGUGACUUGUGUUCUGGAGGUGGCUUCUCCACCGGAGGCUUGUGCUCCGGUGGUGGCUUCUUGGUUGGAGGGGGCUUGGGGUAAUCAGCAAGAGAUGGGGUGGUGAGAACCACCAGUCCAAGGAACAACACUAGCAAGUAUGUGGGAGACAUUUUUGAGUUUGGGCUGAUCAGAUGAUGCAAAACUAAAGCAUUACGUGACCUUUUAUAGCAUGUAGCUCCCAAUACCCACUAAGUAUUGUGGGGUCCAUUUGUGCCCUACGGGGUUGAAAACUUAGACAAUUGGGCAAGGACCCACCUGACUAUGGAGGACUAGUGAGGUGUGAUCAUAGCUUUAGGAUUUUUCUUCCUCUGCAGCCGUCGUGCCGUUGGCAUGAUUUUCUUAAUCUUAAAUAAAGGCAUAGUUAUAGAGUUGUUUAAUCUCUAAAUGGGAUUUUAUAUAUAUCUUCAGAUAGCCAUUAAUAUAUUUGAUGAAGAAAGAAAGACAAGUGCAUACAACAUGUAUACGACUAGCUUUCAUGGAGUUCAUUUAUGAUCAGUUUUCCUGUACAUGUAAACCAGGAUCAUAUAUAUGUUUCUGUUCCACAACUAUUUUGGAAUCUUGUUUAUCAGUUUUUAUCAUUAUAAUGUCACAUAGGCUGCCAACUUGGGCGCUAAAAGAACCAGUUGGGCUAGUUCGUUUCAGAAUUUCAAUGUGGAUUCAGGAAUUGUUUUGUAAGAUAUGCGAAAUAGUAGAGGGAUGAAUAGUGUUUCAUUAAUAAAAGUGUCCUGUAAAUUAGAAGGUGUCAUAGAAACUAUAAUCAAUAAAUAACUUUUUUUCCCCACGGGUGGUGUUUCUUGUGGGGAUCAGUGACUGGUUUAGGUUCACCCAAAAUGAGUUCAGACUAAAAUUGGUUUGAGUCAAUGCCGUGUCUCUUUUUUCCAGAAAUCAACUAUUUUAUGCAUUGAAUAAAUCAUACAAAGAAAAUAUGAACGCCCGCAAAACCUAAACCCUGGUUGCUAACUUUCUAUGUUUCAGUUCUAUUCACGCAAGAAUAUUAGUUUAAGUUUGGGAAAAAUGGCAACUUACCUAGUGAUUACUUGGUUUUGGUUUGCGACUAUUUACGCAACCAACCAUGAGUUUGACUUUAACGUCAUGGGUUGAAGCCUCCUACAGGAAGGGAGAAAGCUCCACAGCUAGCUCCAAAAGAGAAUUAUCACAUUGAUAGCUCCAGAGAUUCCCAAGGGGACUGAAUCAAAGACAAGUUCCUCACUUUUUCUUCUUUUGAGGCCAAAUAUGAACCAAGGAUCACACAACCUCAUUCAACUUCAUAAGUUUGAUUUCAUGCAGUUGAACACUGGGUGAAGGCCAUGACAAGAAUUGAUUCAAAAAUUCUAUCACUCUUUUAAGUAAUGGAAGAUUAUUAUCUCUGAUUGGCAUCACAACAGCACAUGCUCCUAGAUCUUUCUAGACACUCCAUGCAAUGAAAGCACAAUGGAUCUUGUAACGAUAGAAACUAAGCCAUGCUACAGUACUAGAUGAUGAGGUAAAACUAGUAGACACGGGUGGCAGCCUAUAUGGGAGGGACACAAGUCUAAUUGAUUUGCAUUUCAGCAUUAUAGAUAGGUAUGUUUUGGAAGAUUUGUUCUGGAAAUACCGCACCAAGUAGGAUUCUUUUUCUCUUUAGUGGGUCCACUUGCAUGCCAAUUAACGAGUUGAAAAGUAUGAGCACCUACCUCGUGCUCGUGGAACCGAAGGUCAGUGAAGUGGGGCUCCUUUUGGCCUCGUGUAAACUUGAUUCAGAAGUGAAGUUAAUAGUCUUCCAUUCAGAUGGAUACAUGGGAAUUUUUCUCUUUUAUUUAUUUAUUUAUUUUUUUUUUGUGUGUGUAUGUCAAAGGAUAAUGAAUGAAGCGCGUUAGCUUGUUUUCUGACUGGAACCGCAGAUGUCCAAAUUGGAGUUCCUUCAUUUCUUACUUAGGAUUGUUACAUGUAUAAACAAGGUAUAAGAAAUAUGCCAACGUGUCUUGAGGAGUUAUUGAUUAGAAAUAACAAGUCACCCGACUGUAGAGUUCCAAGAUUUGAAUCUUCAGACCCUAUAGCAGCCUCUGGGGUACGUGGCAUCCUAUAGCAUAUUAAUGAAGGCUUUUUCGAUUUAGACUUCACAAUACCAAUUAAUAUGUAUGCACAAAAUGGAGAUGACCCCAAAAAAAACAGAAUCGCCAUAGUUUAUGAGGUUAAGGUGAUUCUCCACUUAAUAUCUACAUUAGCUAAUUAUGUAAAUCAAAUGAACUUCUAUUUUUCCUUUUUUUUUUUGGUUUAUGUCAAAUAGUAGCCCAUAAUUAACCCAACCAUUAGCCUGUUUGAAUUGAUUUCACAUGCACAAUGUUGUAGUAGUUCAUAUUUUGAAUUUUAUUUUUACAAAGGUAGUUAAGGAAAAUGAAGUAUAAUAAUUAUAAAAGCAGACUAUAUACACUACAAUAAUUGUUAGAAUGGUAUCUCAAAUUCUAAUUUAAAAUAUUAUUUUUUGUAAAAGAAAUAUUAUAUAGAAUAUUUCCUAAUUUUAUAAAUGAUUAUAAUUAGAUCUUUAUAAAAUAAGGAAAGUUGGUAAGAAUAUCUUUAUAAAUAUUUUAGGUCAUGAGAGAAAGAAAUGGGAUAAAAAUGUGAUGAAGAGGUGAAAUAAGAGAGUUGAUUAGGAUAUAGAUGUGAAGAAGAAAGGGAUUCAAUAUAUAUAUAUCUUUCAAUUACCACAUUAAAACCCUGUGAACCUUUUAUAUGGUUUACUUUAUUUUUAUAUUCCUCCUUUAAUAUAUUUACAUUAAUGCUUCCAUUGGCACAACAAUAACGAAUUACAAAUACAAGCAACAAGUCCCAUGUUUUAUUACCAAAAGCAGGUAAAAUCCACCUAAUAUAUUACAAUAUAUUCAUCCAAUAUUUUAGACCAAUUCUUCACCAUAAAUAUCAUAAUGUGGCUUUUGUUCUUUCUUAAAUUUAAAUUGAAUUGUCUUAUAUCAAUUUGUUUGUGAUUUUUUCAUUAACUUCACUUUCAUUUGGUUAUCUUUGGUUUUUGAAAAGUAUUAAGGAAUUAAUUAACAAAAUAAUGUUAAGAAAAAUAAUUUUCUCUCUUUUGAUUUUGAUUUUGUAGUAGAAAAAUAUAAUUAAAAUUAUUUAAAAAGUAUGUAAUUUUAAAUUAUUUAAUAUUUAGAUAAAAAAAAUAAGUCUAAUGAGUUUAAAAUAACAUAUAAAAAUAAUUUAUUUAUUUUAAAUUUAUUUUUUAUUUUCCAUUAUGUUCUCUUUCUCUUUUACUUUUUCAUAUUUUUUCUUACGAAGAAUCAAACACAACCUCAUAUUAUAUGUCAAGUGUUUGUCUAUAUUUGAGCAAUGUUAGAUACGGCCAUGGAUUCAUCAAACUAAACUGAUUUUAAUAGAUACUUCACAAAUUGAUUUAUACACUAAAUCAUUGGAUAGCAAUGAUGCAUUGGAAUUAAACGUAGGAUGAAGCUCGAAGAACACUGUUUGUGUAACAACAUAUUUAUGAAAUUAUGCAAAGGAUGAGCUUCGGGGUAGUAGUACAAGGUCAUUAAUGGAGAGCCGUGUUAAACCUUGAUUGUGAUUGGAUUCCGUUAUCAGCAACAGCAACCUUGUUUGUAACCUUGAAAGUCAUUCUGUCCACAUCGAAACUCCAAUUUGACGUUUGUAAUUACCAUUCCUGGAGUGUUCCUUGAUUGAAAUUUAAAUAAUAAUUGCGGCCCACAAGGAAUAUUUUCGAUUCUGUGGGAAUUUGACAAGGUUUGUUAGAGAAGACUGGUGACAUGUUGACUUCAAUGGUUCAAAUAGGAGACGUAUGUGGAUUUGGGGGGUUUAAUUGAAACUGAGUCCCUAUGGCUUUUUAAUAUUUGCAUUGAGCAGUCUCCAUGUGACUUCCUAAUUCCCACCAACCCUCCUGUCCAUGCUGUGAAACUAAAUUGUAAUUUAUCAGCCUUUGUCAAUGGUUUCUAAAUUAAAGAUAUAGACCAUGCAUGUACUUUAAUAAAAGCAAAUCUAAAGUGUAGAUAGCAGCAAUGGUGACACCCAAUAUUCUCCAUAAAAUAGAAUUAGAAUAAGCAGUGUUACAUUGUUCAUGAUCACCUACAAGCAUACAAGAACUUCCAUGAAUAACUCAUAGCAAUUGCCAACAGGGCGUCGUAGAGACUCAUACAUAGAACACUAUCCACCCAGAGGAAAGGACAAGACCAGUGCGCUGCAGCUCUUAUUUUUCACAUGUAUACCACCACUCGUAAUAACCAAAUUCACUCAGUUGGGAUAGGUGGGAGAUGGUGGUUUGUGGGGUGGCUUGUGGGGAGGAGUUGGAGGAGGCUUUAUUUUCUGAGGCGGCUUGUAUGAGUGUGCAGGAGGAUGCCCGGGAGUGUGACCAUAAUGUGGUGGCUUCUCUCCCGUAGGUGGUUUGCCAAAUGGGCUUGGUGGCUUCUCUCCCUUAGGAGGUUUACCAAUUGGGGUUGGUGGCUUGUGUUCUGGGAGUGGUUUCUCUCCCUUGGUAGGUUUGCCAAUUGGGGUUGGCGGCUUAUGUUCUGGGAGUGGCUUCUCUCCCUUGGGAGGUUUGCUAAUUGGGGUUGGCGGCUUAUGUUCUGGGGGCGGCUUCUCUCCCUUGGGAGGUUUGCCAAUUGGAGUUGGCGGCUUAUGUUCUGGGAGUGGCUUUUCUCCCUUGGGAGGCUUGCCAAUUGGGGUUGGCGGCUUAUGUUCUGGGGGUGGCUUCUCUCCUUUAGGAGGUUUGCCAAUUGGAGUCGGCGGCUUAUGUUCUGGAAGUGGCUUUUUUCCCUUGGGAGGUUUGCCAAUUGGGGUUGGCGGCUUAUGUUCUGGGGGUGGCUUCUCUCCCUUGGGAGGUUUGCCAAUUGGAGUCGGCGGCUUAUGUUCUGGGAGUGGCUUCUCUCCCUUGGGAGGUUUUGUUGGUGGCUUGUGUUCUGGAGAUGGCUUCUCCCCUGGAGGCUUGUGCUCCGGAGGUGGCUUCUGAAAUGGCGGGGGCUUGGGGUAAUGAGCAAGAGAUGGAGUACUGGUGAGAACCACCAUUCCAAGCAACAAUACUAGCAAGCAUGUGGGAGAC
rnacentral:lncRNA from 1 species